AACGUAAUCAGCCUUGAAGCAAUCAAAGACCUGGUAAAGAUGAAUAAAGUGUCUCCUGAUGAAGUUCAAGUGAUCAAGAAGGAUGAGGCUGAUAUUAUUUUGAGAGGCUUGAUUCAAUUGCUUCUGGAGAAAAAGGAGACUCAAGUACUGAAAAUAGACUCAGGAUCUUCUGCUGAGAAACUCUCCCUGACCUGAAUUUGAAGGGAAAGGUGGGCAUAAAUGCGGGAGCACCUGAUAGAGGAGGAUAACAAAAUUCGCAGAUCAUGUCCCCUGGUGCGAAACCAAGCUCAUCGUGUCUCCUGGUGCUAAACUACCUUUGUUUGGAUUGCAGUUUUCUAAGAAAAUAUUUUCACGUUUUUCGGACACAUUUUCGAUUACUUUUUUGAUACAUACAUCAAAUUGCUAUAAUAUAUUUUUCAAGAAAAAACUCCAAAAAAAAAUAGAAAUCCGAACAUAACUAUUUCGUAUAUUACAACUCUUUCAAGAGCAUUUGAUACACUAAACUUCUAGGGUACUUGGUACGCUAAAAUUCUCAUUAUAUAACAAGCCACAUUAUGAUACAUUUCAAAUUCUCUAGAGGCAGAAAACUAUGAUGUGAUUUGUCUACCACAUAUGGGGCAAAGCACAGAUUAAAGAAAAUGUAGGAAGAACCAGUCUUGGUUCCUCGUAUGAUAAAAUAAUUUCAUUAUUAGUUCCCCAUAUUGCAUCUUUACCAUAUGAUUCCUUAAGGUAUAAAAAUUUAACUUUAGUCCUUUACCUUUUAAUUUUUUAAAUUCGGUCUAUGAUCUUUAUGAAAUUUGCACUUCAAGUCCACUCUCCAGCAUCCAAUGCUUUCAAGAGUAUAAUGUUAGAAAUAAAAGGGAUCAAAUAUGUCAAAAAAAAUUAAGAAUUGAAGAUCUAAAUGAGAAGUAUGCAAUUCUUAAGGAAGAAAAUAUUAUCUAAAGUGAAACAUACUAGGCUAUAGUAAGACUAGCCAAGCAUACAUGGACUAAAAACUGCAAUUUUUACUCGUACUCUGUCCAUCAAUGUGCUCUUUACCCUUUGCGCUUAGAAUAAAGCUUGAGAGUUGAUACAUGAUUUUUAUAUAUUUCAACUCGUUUAUUAAAUUAAAGCUUUAACUUUCAUUUUGUUUCAUAUUAGUAAUUAUCGAGUACCUUAAUUAACUCAAUUGUAAGUAUUUGAAUGUAGAUAUUAAGAGAAAGUUGAAAACAUAUUUGCUUUUAGAGAAAAUGAGGAACUUACUUUGCUACAUUAGCCGUGAACUCAAAAAAGAUUUUACAACAUAUGACCAUCAUUUUUUGGUGUAUAAAAUGUACAAACGAAUAUUUCUAGUUUAAAGUCUUCGUUUAAAUAGAAUUAAUAUUCUUAUGGAAGAAAUAGCAAGAGAAGUUAGACAUUCAAAUUAGAUAGAAGUGUAUAAUGUGACCAAGCAUAUUGAUUAGGGAAAAUCGUUCCAAACGUCCCUCACAUUUUGCAAAAUAACUUUUUUCGUCCCUCACUUUUAAAAAUGUAAUUUUACAUCCCUUACAAAUUCACAUUGGUCAAAUUUGGUCCCUACUUAGAUUUCCAACUAGUUUUUGGUCGGAAUUCACCACGUGUCUUGCACGUGAUCAUAUUUUAAGGGCAAAAUUGUCAAAUUAAAUUUUAUAUAAUUCGAUUCAUAAUCCUUCGCAUUUCAUAAAAUAAAUUUUUUCGUCCCUUACAUUUCACAAAAUAAAUUUUUUCAUCCUUCAAAUUUUUCAAAAUGAAUUUUUUCAUCUUUUUAUUGAUCAUGUGUGUGAAUAAUUUUUUUAAAAUCUAUGUAUAUAUCUAUUUGAUUUCACCUAAACAGUACGAAUAGUAUGUGAAAUCAAAUAGAGAUAUAUUACAUACUAUUCAUACUGCUCUAGUGAAAUCAAAUAGAUAUAUAAAUGGAUUAAAAAAAUUGUUAGUUUUUCACUUAUAUUCAUUUUUUUUAACUCGAAAUUUGAAAAUAAAGAAAACAUUUAAUCCUAAAUAUUAUCAAGUGUUUAUAUCGAAUUAAAUUUGGACAAAAAAAAUAAACAAAAGAAAAUUAUGACAAAAAGAAAUAAGUGAUUAGCAUUUUCAAAUUUUAAAAUAAUCACAAGGCAAGUAAUUCAACUGUUGGUCUUAAAAGUGUCGAGUAAAAAUUUCAUAUUUAAACUGAAAUUUGUUAGCAUAAUUAUAGAAUUCGAGUUAGGACCCAUUAAUUAGAUGACCUUAUUAUACAAUUCAAUAAAUAAAUUAUUACCAAAAGAGAAAUGUCACAAAUAUUAAAUAGGUUCAAAUGGUGAAAUCAUAUAAAUAUGUACAUGUGUUUCAAACAAAAUUAUUAGUUUUAAACCCCUAUAUAUAUUUAUGAAUAGCAUGUUAUAACUACAUUAGCAUGUUUAGAUGAAAUCAAUAGAGAUAAAUUACAUGUAUUCUAACUGUUCAGUAAAAUCAAAUAAGCAUAUGCGUGGGUUUAUAGAAAAAAGCUAUUUCAUACACAUGAUCAAUGAGGAUGAAAAAAUUCAUUUUGAAAAAUGUGAGGAAUAGAAAAUUUCAUUUUGUAAAAUGUGAGGACUAUGAAUCAGAUUAUAUAAAAAUUUGAUUUGACAAUUUUGCCCUUAAAAAAUGAUCACAUGCAAGUCAUGUGGUGGAUUCCGGCAAAAAAUUAGUCAGAAACCUAGUAGGCGAACCAAAUUUGGUCAAUGUGAAUUUGUAAGGAUGUAAAAUUACAUUUUUAAAAGUGAGGGAUGAAAAAAGUCAUCUUGUAAAAUGUGAGGGACGUUUUGAACGAUUUUCCCUUUUGAUUAUAACAUAUUUGUGUUAGAAAUUGUGCCUUAAAUUUAAGUUUUUUCACGCAUUUUUCCUAAGCUUCAUUAAUACAUUCAUUCCCUUUUAGAUUCAUUCUUAGAUUCAUGUAUCUCUUGGAAUUUACUAGUUCUUUGAAAGAACUUCUUUCAUAUAACUUCUAAAUUCAGUACUUGUAAUAAUGAUGGUACGUAUAUCUAUAUUCUUGUGCCUUCACACAACUUAGUUGGGCACUCUCCUUCCCACAGUAUAGGAGUAGCGUAAGAUAAAUCUGGAUGCUUAACCCGAAAAAAAAUGGAAAAAUCGUUCAAAACGUCCCUCAUAUUUUGCCAAAAUACUUUUUUCGUCCCUCGUUUUUUAAAAUGUAUUACAUCCCUUACAAAUUCACAUUGGUCAAAUUUGGUCCCUACUUAGGUUUCCGACUAAUUUUGUUGGAAUUCACCACGUGCCUUGCACGUAUCAUUUUAAGGGCAAAUUUUCAAAUCAAAUUUUAUAUAAUUCGAUUCAUAAUCCCUUACAUUUCAUAAAAUAAAUUUUUUCGUCCCUUACAUUUCACAAAAUGAAUUUUUUCAUCCUUCACAUUUUUCAAAAUGAAUUUUUCCAUCUUUUAUGAUCAUGUGUGUGAAUAAUUUUUUUAAAUCCAUGUAUAUAUUUAUUUGAUUUCACCUGAACAGUACGAAUAGCAUGUAAAAUCAAAUAGAGAUAUAUUGACACACUAUUCGUAUUGCUCAAGUGAAAUCAAAUAGAUAUAUACAUGGGUUUAAAAAAAUUGUUAGUUUUUCACUUAUAUUCAUUUUCUUUUACUCGAAUUUGAAAAUAAAGAAGACAUUUAAUCCUAGUGUUUAUAUCGAAUUUAAAUUUGGAUAGAAAAACUAAACAAAGAAAAGUAUGACAAAAAAAAUAAGUGAUGGCACUUUCAAAUUUUAACACAAUCACAAGGUAAGUAAUUCAACUGUUGGUCUUAAAAGUGUCUAGUAGAAAUUUCAGAUUUAAACUGAAUUUGUUAGCACGAUUAUAGAAUUCGAGUUAGGACCAUUAAUUAGAUGACAUUAUUAUACAACUCAAUAAAUAAAUUAUUACCAAAGAGAAAUGUCACAAAUAUUAACAGGUUCAAAUGGUGAAAUCAUAUAAAUAUAUACAUGGGUUUCAUACAAAAUUAUUAGUUUUAAACCCCUUAUAUAUCUAUUGAAUAGCAUGCGUUAACUACGAUUAGCAUGUUUAGAUGAAAUCCAAUAGAUAAAUUAUAUGUUAUUCAUACUGUUUAGGUAAAAUAAAAUAGGCAUAUACGUGGAUUUAUAGAAAAAAAGCUAUUCGUAUACAUGAUCAAUGAGGGAUGAAAAAAUUCAUUUUGAAAUAUGAGGGAUGGAAAAAUUCAUUUUUUCAAAUGUGAGGAAUGAAACAACUCAUUUUGUAAAAUGUUAGGGACGAAAAAAUUUAUUUUGUGAAAUGUGAGGGACUAUGAAUCAGAUUAUGUAAAAAAUUGAUUUGAUAAUUUUGCCCUUAAAAAAUGAUCACAUGCCAAGUCACGGGUGGAUUCCGACAAAAACUAGUCGGAAACCUAGAUAUGGACCAAAUUUUGGUCAAUGUGAAUUUGUAAAGGAUGUAAAUUACACUUUAAAAGUGAGGACGAAAAAAGUCGUCUUAUAAAAUGUGAGGGACGUUUUGAACGAUUUUUCCAAAAAAAUAUAUGAAAACAAGAAAGAGUCUUAAGGUGUCCUAAGGCAUUUACAUUGAAUUGCACUCUUGAGAUAAAGAGUGCAAUAUAUAUGCUAUAUCAUCACUUUAUUAUCCCAUCUUUCAUAUAUUAUCACUCAUUAUAAAUUACACUCUGCAUAGUAUAAUAGCAUGAACCUAUAAUCAAAUCAAGUAUUUAUCUUAAUAGUUCUCAAUCACAUAUCUCAUAAAUAAAUAAAUCUAUUUUUUUGAAAAGUAAUUUCAUUUAUUUUUGGAAAACAAAUUUUUAACUUUUGUUGAAAUUUUUGCAUUCUAAAAAUUUUUUAUUUUCUGAAAAAAUAAUAUUAUUAAUUUUGAAAACUAUAGUAUAUAUUUUUAUGUAUUUCAAAAAAAUACAUUGUUAUUUUCUAAAAAUAAUUACAUAAUUAUUAAACAAAUACACAACACUUUUAAAAAAUUAGAUAAGAGGUUAAAGAAAACAAAUGAUACAGUAGAAGAAAUGAUGGAGGGGAGAGUAAGAAAUUGAGAAAACGUUAACAAUAUUUAUAGACAAAAUUUUGAGAAUUGAAGCGAAAAAAAAACACUGUUGCAAACCGGUGAAAUUGAAACAAUGCUACCUUAUUUUACCACUGCAAACAUGUUGAAAAUUGGAUAAAUGAAACUUUGCAAAGCUUUGAAUAAUUAGACAAAUUAGACCCACUCUUUCAGCUUUUUUUUGCUUCAAUUAUGCAUGUAGUGACUAUUAUGCAUGUAAUAGGCAUUAUAUUCUUACUAUGAGAGAGUUUAUAAAGGGUAAUUGUGGAUACCCCAAACAAUAUUUGACCCCAAAAGGGCCAAAACUAGGGUUCAAUGAACUAAAUUAUACGGCUCUCGAACACCAUAUACUAAGCCUUUUGAACGCUGAAUAAAAAGUCCAAAACUUCCCCAGUGAAAGUUGUGGUGUGUUGUGGACUUUUUCUCACUUCAGCCCACCUCUAACCGAUCCUGUGUGGCCAAUAAUUAUCAGCAACCUAGGUGAAGAAUAUUAAUGGUUUUGUUAUAAUCAUUCCAAGUCAUGUACUUUCAUAGUUAGGAGUUUAUUCUCGUUGCCCACUAUGUUGAUUGUAGCACUUCAAAGUUGAUUAUAAGUAGGGAUAAUUUCAUAAACGUCCUCUAAGGUUUUAGACAAUUUCACUGAGCUCCCUUGAGGUAUUAAAAAUUGUACUUACCGCCCUUGAUUUGAUACAUUUGGUAAUCAAACCUUAGAACUGGUCAAAAAUUUAAAUGAACAUCCUAAAAUGUCAUUGGUUUAUAUAGUUUAUAUUGCUUUCCAAAACAAUUGUAAAAUAUAUAGCAUCAAAUAUAAAAAAAAAGCAUCAAAUUUUCAAUACCUAUAUUUAUUAUUUAAUAAACAAUUAUUACAAUAGUUUUAUCACUAUGAAAGGCUACUGUACAUAGUGUUUUACUAGGGAUACAUAUUCCCUGAAGGUUGGAGAAGAAAGUAUUAUCAUAAUUGUUUUAGAAUUUGUAGAUUUUUGAAAUGUUAGAGGUAUCAUAAUUUAGUAGUAGUUUGGACAGUUUCUUUUUAAUCACUGUUGUUUUUUUGUGCAAAGAAAAAAAAGAUCAACAAAAGAUUAGAUCAGAUUCAAAGUUGUCAAAAAAAGGUCACUAAUUCAACAUUUGGUAAUGAUAACGACUAGAAGCAAUAUUUAUAGUUUAUAGUUCUGUGGUUUUACUUGUAAACUAUGAAAAAACGAGGAAUAAGAAGAGAAAAGAAAAAGAAAAAAUAAUUAUAAAUAUCAUUCUUUCUAUAUGCAUACCUAGCAAAGGGAGUUUUUAUUAAAAUGGUAAGACUAAUAUUGUCAUUUUAAAUGGGCAAGAAAGGUAAGUGUAAUUUUUAAAACCUCAAGGGAUCUCAUUGAAAUUGUUAGAAACCUCAGGGAAGGUUUUUGAAAUUAUUCCUUAAAUUUAAUCAAAAGAGAAUAUGAAAAUAUUCAUGGACAUAUAUCAAUUGCCAAGAAAUAGAUGGAUUGGCUGGUUCAAAAAAAAAGUAUAAAUAUGAAAUUUUGAAUUCAAAUCCUCUCCUACUGUAUCAUUUGAGUCUCCAAAAGGCAAAAACCUGAGUAGAGUUGCUCACAUAUAAAAAAUGGAGCAAGUAAGAAUCACAAGGCUAGAUAUCGGUUACACAUUGUGAAUGAUAUCUUCUCCCAUCUAAAAUAUUGCCCCUUAAUUGAAGGCCGAAACUUGAAUUAAAGAACAAGAAAAGGGAUUGUCAACUAGCCAUGCUUGACCCGAUCACUAUCCGGUCAAUCUGUCAAAUUCUUCACAUGGACCCCCUGAAUGUGGAAGAAAGAAUAUAACAAACGUUUAGAGUCGACUUGAUUUCUAAUAGCCCAGUAAAUGGUAUUUGCCCGCAUUUCGGUUCUAACUCUUCAGACUAAUACCACUAAUUCUUAGUCGACUCGUGGAAGUUUUCCACUUAAAUACUAAGAAUUGAUAUCAAACAUUUAAAAAUAGGUCUGUGGUAUUAUACCCAUGACCCCUGUAUUAAAAAGCAAGGAAAGGGAUGGUUCCCUAGCCGUGCCUGACCCGAAGAACAGCCUGUCUCCCAUCUCUCCCAUUUUCCAAAUGGUCCCCAGAAUGUGGAAGGAAGACUAAUGAGUAAUGAGAAGACUAGAAUUAAUUUCCAAUGGCCCAAGUAACACUCAAAUGGGCAUAUAACUUGUGUUUGAACAUGAGAUUAUUUGGAAUAAUUUUUUUAAAAAGUAUUAUAUUAUUUUUUUGAUGUGAUAUAUAUGAAAUAAAAAUAUGAUUGAAAAAUGUGUUUAUGAAAUAAGUAGAUAAUUGUGUACAAUAAUGAGCGUGCAUUUAAGUCCUGACUCUUGAAAAGAAGUACUACUACUAAUUAGUAGCAAUUUUCACUUCUUUAAUUCAAUCAUUUUCUUUGACCAUUGUAUAUUGGUAACAUUAAUUUUGCAAGUUAUCAUUUUACUGUUUAUAUUUAUUAUCUUAGAGUUUACAUUUAUUAUUGUAAUGCAUAUAUUUUAUGAUAUAAUUGACACUAGAAAUUGCAGAAAUCCAAAUUCUCUGCUGCCACAAUUUCAAGGGUUGAAGAAGCCCUCAAUUUUUUUUUCUUAUACUUUUUACUUUGUUGGUCAUGGUUAUUAAUCUCCAAGAUCAAUGGUCAUGAUUAUUAAAACGAGAUAAUUAGAAGAGAAAGUGAUCGAAUUUAGUGGUUUGCUCAAGAAAGAAACAAUGGAAGAAAAUUAGAGAGCUAGUAGCUUGAAGGUUCAUUAUUUUUUGAUCAUUUAUAUUGUGACGUCUCUUGGAUCAUUUAUAUUUUGAUGUUUCUUUGUUUUCUGUUCUUCCUAAUUAUAAAGUUUAACAUAUUAAACUGUGGAUGCUUGAAGCAAAAAAAAAAAACAUAUUAAAACAGGGACGCGCAAUAAGAAAAGGGACCCAUUGUGUGGGAAUGGAAUACAUUAAUCAUUCCCAAUAAUUCUAUGAAAUUACCCACUACUUUAUUGAGGCAAUAAUAUAGAUGUAUAAUAGAGAAGGGCUGCUCCGUCUGGACCACUCUUGUUUUGGACAAUAAAAUCAUCAAAGUGUCUUAACCACUGCUGUUAUUGUCUUAAAACAUUGACUUUUAUGUGAUCCCUAAUAUCAAAUUUCCCUAAUAAAAUGUUGAUGACAGAGUCAACCAAUCUUGUUUAUCAAUUUCCUCCAUUUGUAAUUAGUUCAAGAUAAAUUUGGAUUUUGGGUGCCUUCAAUAAUUCCACCUAGUUGAAUAAUUGAUUAUCAUUGCCAAUUCCACCUAGUUGAAUGGUUGGUUGUCUCAAUACUCUUCUUCACCUUCUCACCAGAAACAAAUAAGCAAUUUUCAGGAAAGAAAUACUUUGCUAGCUCUGCAGUUAGUGAGAUUUGUUUCUCUCUUAAAAUAUGGGAAUGAAACUGACGAAAAUCCCUCCAAAAGGGAUGGAGAUGGCCUCCACUUGCAGCAUCGAUCGUGUCUUACUUGUUCUAGAGUUUAUUCUGAACAACCUAUUCCGAAACAGUUAUGUUCAUUACUAUGUUGGUGAUGCAAUCAAAGACAUGAAAUUUCUCAAAACAUUUCUUACGUGUGCUAGAAAGUGGAGCCUUGUUCAUUUGUACUUGCAAUCUGACAAUGUUGUGAAGAGGGUAAGUCUUCCAUCUUUCUUAUCUUGUAUCGAAGAUACCUUUCACAAAUAUGAGGAUAUUCACCCUCUUUCCCAUGAUGAGAUGGCUCGAGUGUUCUGCAAAAUUGAGAAAGAGAUCAUAUCACUCAAGCAAGAAAUCAUCCAAAUUUACUUUGCUUUGGCAACUUUGGCAAGCAACAGGUCAUUUCAAUCAAAUUCUUGUAUGACAGAUAAUGAACUGUUGGAAUUCAUAGACCUCAUCCUGCAAAAUCUAGCAGAUUUGACAAAUGACGAUAUGAAUUGGAAAAUUACUAAUAAAUGGUCUAUUUAUGCUGCUUUGAGUGCUCAAGUCCAAGAUCUUGAAGCAAAGCUGACAUUCUUGAAAAGCUUCAUUCCCUUUGCCAAAAUGCGAGGAACUGCAGAUUUUCCCGCCUUGCUAUUGGCUCACUUUGAACUGGUGGCUUUGACCGCAGCACGCCUCUCUUACAUGUGUUCUUUUUGGGAUGAUCAUGAGGAAAUUGAAAAUCCUGAGUUCUUCUACAGAAGUACUUGCAGCUUCAAACUCCUCAGCAUCAGAGCGGUUGAUUUUCAUGUCUACGAGAUUUAUAAGGAAGUACUUGCAGCUUCAAACUCCUCAGCAUCAUUACAUAGAGCAGUGAUGGAUGAGCGGAUAUUGAACAACUUCAAUGAUUCUCUGAUAGGUCGUCUCUGGGAGUUGUUGUGCUGCAGCUCUAGCUUUGUGGAUUCUAUGAAAGAUCAAAUGCGAAUACUCUAUGCAGGACUGAGGUUUUUGAGAAGCAUUUUAAGGGAGCAUCAUGAGAUGAUGGAUGAACAAAAUGAAAAAAUUGAGCUCUCCUGGGUGAGGCAGGCAUUAUAAUAUUCGCGCCCACUCUGAGUAGAGUGAUAGAAGGAGAAGUUAGCUUCUCAAGAUCCAUCCAGGUUCUUCGUUUUCGUGGUAUGCUGGCCAAUACCAACAUCCAUAUCAAGCAUUUUAAGGAUCAGAUCAGUGGCUCAAGAACUAUAGAGAGUCUUCUUAAUUCCUCUCAUAGCUUAAGAGCACCAGAAGUUAGCCAGACUUCCAGCCGCAUGCUAUCAAAAGGUAAAAUGCCAAUAGACCAUGAAGUCAUGGUUGGUCUUGAUGAUGAGGCAGAAAAAGUAAUUGAACCACUUAUCAAGCAUUUUGAGGAUCAGCUCAGUGUCUCAAGUACUAUACAGAGUCUUCCUAAUUCCUCUCAUAGCUUAAGAGCACCAGAAGUUAGCCAGACUUCCAGCCGCAUGCUAUCAAAAGGUAAAAUGAGAGACCAUGAAGUCAUGGUUGGUCUUGAUGAUGAGGCAGAAAAAGUAAUUGAACGACUUAUAUGGGGAUCAGAACAGGUGGAAAUUGUUCCCAUAGUGGGAAUGGCUGGGCUUGGUAAGACGACUUUAGCCAAAAAAGUUUACAAUGAUACUUCAGUAAAAUGUCACUUCCACAUUCGCCUUUGGUGUACUGUUUCUCAAGAAUUUAACAAGAAAAGCUUGUUAACACAAAUUUUAUGCUCUGAUGGAAAACACUCUAGGAUGGAUGAUGACUUGAAUGAAGAUGACUUGCUUGAAAAGCUCCGUCAAAGGCUAUUGAAGAAUCGGUAUCUUGUUGUUUUUGAUGAUGUCUGGGACAUUAAGGUAUGGAAUGAGCUGAGAAUUUCAUUCCCAGAUGACAAAAACCAAAGUAGAAUCAUCUUCUAGUCGAUCUUCUAAUGUAGCUUCACAGGUUCAAUAUGGUGGAGAACCUCACUAUCUUCACCCACUCAGUGAGAAACAAAGUUUCGAAUUGCUGCAGAAGAAGGUGUUUGGAGAAGAAGAAGAAUGUCCUCAAGCAUUGCAUGGAUUGGGAAUGGAGAUUGCUGAAAAGUGCUGGGGAUUGCCACUUGCACUUGUUGUUGUAGCUGGAGUCCUAGCAACUAUAGAGCAUGAUAUUUUGGUUUGGAAAAAGUUUGCUGAAAGUUUUACUUCAACCAUGGUGUCUGGUACAGACCAGUGGAAGAAGUCGUUGGAGCUCAGUUAUGAGCAUUUAUCAUAUCACUUGAAGGCAUGCUUGUUGUAUUUUGCUGCAUUUCGAGAAGAUGAAAAAAUUGGUGCCAAGAAGUUGAUGCGUCUCUGGAUUGCAGAAGGGUUUGUGGAAAUAAUUGAAGGAAAGAGAUCAGAGGAUAUGCAGAAGAAUAUUGAUGGACCUAAUUGGCCGAAACCUGUUAUGGUAGUAAAAGCAGAUCCAUUGGUGGAGUCAAAACUUGUUACAUUCACGAUUUGAUAUUUGAGUUCUGUAAGGGCAAGGCGAAAGAAAAGAAAUUCCUUCAGGUCCUGCGAGGAUAUGAUGAGCUUUCUACCUUUAAUGAGCCUCCCAACCUACCUCGGUUGUCCAUUUGCUCCAGUGGCGAGAUUUUAUAAAGUCAAGGCUAUUUUGUCCGCAUUUAGGUACUCUGCUAUUCUUUGAUGUACUCCAGUAUAUGAAAGUUUAAGUUGCUUAAUCUCCUUCCUUUUUUGCAUCUACAAACAUCUUAAGUUCUGAAUUUAGAGGGCAUUAACCUAAGGCUGAAGGAGCUUCCAGCUGAAGUCGAAUCACUUCUUUGUUUGAGGUACUUAGCCCUUAGAGCUUGGAAAUGCAAUUCAUUCCACCAUCUAUAGCCAAGCUCUCACAUUUGGAAACCUUAGUCUAAAUUCUCAGAUGGUUUCAUUGCCAGAUAGCAUCUGGAACAUGAAGAAGUUGAGGCAUGUACAUGUAACACUCGUUAUUGGUCUUUCUUCCAACGACAACGGUGUUGAAAACCUCUCCACUUUACCCAAUUUAGACACACUCUCUUGUUUGCGUCUUUAUAAAGAGGGAGAGAACUUAUUGAGAAGGAUUCCCAACGUUCGCCGACUUAAAAUUUCCGAUGAACAGACUGGAAAUGGAGUGUUGAACAUGAGUCGACUAGAAUGCCUAGAAUCACUCACCUGGUGGGCAAUUACUCCUCAGGUUCAUGGGAACAUGUUGAGCUCCUUUCCCAUGAAUUUGAAGAAGUUGUGUCUUUACGUCUGGGUCUUCCCUGUAGUAAAAUGUCAUUGAUUGAACGACUACCCAACUUGAAGUCCUCAAAUUAAGAGCCGUCAAUGGAGGCCAAAAUGGGAGCUGAUGGAAGGAGGAUUCCCUAAACUCAGGGUCUUGACUUUGGACUGUGUAAAAGUUGCGGAGUGGAUGAGGCAGACCCUGACAGUGGUGAUUACUUCCCGUGCCUUCAGCAAUUAAAACUCCACGAUAUUUCUAAUUUGAAAAUGAUGCCUGCUUGUUUAGAGUAUAUCUACUCUUGAAGAAAUUAAGGUGAGUUCUUGCAGAGAUGGCGUCAAAUCUUUAGUACGGAAAUUGAAGCCAACAGAAAGAUUAUGGAAAUGAGAAUUGAAGAUCAUCAUCAUAGAUUGAAGGGCAUCAGCUGGUGCAAUAUCUGGUAAUUUUUUUUUUUUGUCAUCACCAUCAAUUGGCUUGUAGAAAUAAUCAUGCUUUUUUUUUAAACAAGUUUAAUUUAUAUUUACCAUUUGGUAGCUUUUUUGUACUUCAGUAGUUGCCUGUAAUGCAUGCACGAGCACAUUGAAAUUGAUGAGCAAACAACUAAUUAUUAAUUGUUCUUUUUUUUUCUUAAUGAUAUCAUCAGGGAGUGCAUGCUACGGUGGUUUUUCCUCUUGAGAUUGUAAUUGUUCAUCUGUGCGGUCUGGCUUUCUUUGAUACUUUUGUGGAAGAUGGAGGUAAAAGUUGGAAAGGAUCAAUGGCUCUUUCUUGUCAAGAUAUGGUGGAAACAAUCAAUGAGAUUAUUCAGAUAUUUUGCUGUUGGCCUAUUUUGUGUAAUUUCGUUUUGCUGAAUUUAAUGAUGGUUUUGUGCUAUUUCUUUCAAUUUGCCGUCAAGGAACUUUGUUAUCUUUUUUUUUUUUUUUUUUUCUAUUUGAGGUUCAAACUCCAUCAUUUUGGAUUGACAAUUUAUGUUUGAGCUCAUGAUUCUUGGAAGAAUAUGAUAGCCCAAUUUGGAAACCUCUAUGAUCAUCUCUUUUCUGCUCAAUCUUAGGUUUGGAUUUAGAUUUGCUAAAUUUUCAGAAUCACAUUUUACUUCUUCAAGUAAGAGAAUUUUUGCAAAGAAUGAAGUAUGAGACUUGAGUUCCUUUAAGAAGGAUGUCUGCAACUUGGUUUUUCUGCUGCUUGAGCUAAUUGCUCGAAAGGGCAUUAGUAAAAUAAUUGAUUCUCCAAAGAGCUUUAAAUGUGAUAUGUUUGUAUGAAUAUUUAAUUUUCCAUUUUUGAAUUCCACACCAUAUGUUUUAGAUGAUUUAUAGAGCUAGGGAUAAAAUACCCAAAUUGGAGGGAAAAUGAGUAUAAAUUUCACAAUUGUACAAUGGGUCAAUGCCUUUAUUUAUACGCUAUGUCGAGUGAGUACAAUGAAUUUUGGGCUAAUUAACAUAUAAUCAAAAGAAAAAAAAAUGGGAUUUGGAUAUUUUCAUAGUUAAAAAAAAAGUGCAGCUAACUAAAUUCUUCGUGAUGCGAAGAACCAAAAAAAGUAAUCUCACUCUUUCUAAAUACAUGAAUGAAAUUUAAUUGGAUAAAAUAGGAAUCACAUUUUGCCAACAUCGGACGGAAACACAUAAACGAUUAAACGUUGGAACUACCAAAACAAACAGGAAAUGGGGUUCUACGGCGUCCUAAAAAACUGGGCUCUUAGGGACGAUGCGUAAGCGCAUAUGCUCCUCUCAAGCUGAAAAAUAGACUCAUUUAAUGUUUAUGGGACAUUUUGGACUCUCUCUCACCUCAACCCACAUUGUAUUGAUCUUGUAAGGCCCAAAUUUUAGCAACGGUUUCACGUAUGCAUUUCUCUAGUUUCUAAUCUCAACUAUGAUUUGUUCUAAAUACUUGUGAAUUGUGAUGAAUUGAUGAGAAUGGACUUCAACUCGUAAUCUAUUUUUUGCUUCUCUUUAGGGUAAAUUUCUCUUUACUACUACUUGAUAACACUUUGUGCUAGUAUAUCAAGACUAUAAAUGAGUAUGUUAUCUUUUUAUAGAGCUUCCAAAGGUUGAGAUUAUGAUUUUUUACAGCAAAUCAGGUCUCAAUUAGUCUUUUAUAGGUUAGGGAUAUUAACUGUCAGUUAAUAAUCUUUUCAAGUCAUGCCCCACUUUCAUCACACAUGCUGGCUAAUGCUUAGUUAACUUUAGCCAAAUGAGAAAGUAAGGGUAACAAGUAACAAUAAUGUGGUUCCACUUGCAAAAACUAGGACGCCCAAGCUGUAGGUCUUACCUAAUGAAAAUGAACAAAUUUGUAAGACGACGUCAGAUGGACCCUUCUCAACUAUGAAAUGAUUAAUUGUCUAAUUGUGAAUCUACAAUACAAAAUAUGAUAGAAAUUGCUGACAUAACUUUAGAAGGAUUUGGCUGACUCUCUAGUGAGUUCUUUCUUCAUUUCGUAAAAUGCGUAUUUAGAUGUAUGACACACGUCUUCACUUACUAAGAGAGGACAUGGUCAAUUUAAAUUUGACUAAUCCUAACUCUUGUUAAUAAAUGAAGAUACGUAUCAUACAUCUAGAUGAAUACUGCGGAAAAUGGAGAGAGAAUCAACUAGAAAUGAGUCAAGUCUCACUUUAGAUUGGGUUUCAAUUUUGGCGCUUGUUUUAUUCCGUGGAUCUUUCCAAUACAAAAUAUGGUUACGCUUGGUUUGUGAGGGUAUUACUAUUAUUUAGAGUGAAAUUGCUCUGGCAAGAACAUAAUUGUUUUGGCAAUAUAGCUAACCCUUUUCUAUAAUUUGCUACUAAGAUGUACUAUCGAUAAGGUUUUGUUAAACAAAUGAUUUAUAUGUUUUGUUGGAGGAGAAAAUUGAUAGCAAUAUGAAAUUUAAACAGUUAAAUUUCUAUUCUUUUUAAUUAAUUUUAAAAAAAUUAUCUUAGUACCUAUUCCUAAAACAAAUGCCCACUAUGUGCAACGCUUAUGCUCCUAUGCUAAUUUCAUCAAAAUAGAUCUUAUAAAUUUUAGUUAUAAACUUAACAAUUUUCAUUUGAAGUUUAAAAACACCAUGUAAGAUAAUUUUUAUAGGCUUUUCAAUGGUGUUUUGUUAUAUAUGUGACCAAAAGUAUAUUCAUGACAUCCUUCUUCAACAUUUUUACUCUAACCUAGUCUUUUUUUUCAGAGACAAUAAUUAUUGUAUAAUCUAUUCUAACCUAGUUUUUUUACUCUAACCUUGUGUUUGGAUUGUAAAUUAUUUGAGAUAAUUUUGUGAAAAAGUAUUGUAGCAUUUUUUUGAUAUGAUGUAUGCGAGAUAAAAAGGUAAUUGGAAAAUGUGUUGAUGAUGCAAGCAAAUUAGUGUGUAUAAAUAAUUUACGUUUUUCGCAAAUACAUUUUUCAAUUACUUUUUUGAUACAUACAUUAAAUUGCUAUAAUACAUUUUUCAAGAAAAAACUCCAAAAAAAUAGAAAUGCGAACAUAACUAUUUCGUAUAUUACAAUUCUUUCAAGAGCAUUUGAUACACUAAAAUUCUCAUUAUAUAACAAGCCACAUUGUGAUACAUUUCAAAUUCUCUGGAGGCAGAAAACUAUGAUGUGAUUUGUCUACCACAUAUGGGGCAAAGUACAAAUUAAAGAAAAUGUAGGAAGAACCAGUCUUGGUUCCUCGUAUGACAAAAUAAUUUCAUUGUUAGUUCCCCAUAUUGCAUCUUUACCAUACAUGAUUCUUUAAGGUAUAAAUAUUUUAACUUUAGUCCUUACCUUUUAAAUUUUUAAAUUCGGUCUCUUAUCUUUAUGAAUUUUGCACUAAAAGUCCACUCCUCCAGCAUCCAACAUGCCUUUCAAGAGUAUAAUGUUAGAAAUAAGAGGGAUCAAAUAUGUCAAGAAAAAUUAAGAAUUGAAGAUCUAAAUGAGAAGUAUGCAAUUCUUAAGGAAGAAAAUAUUAUCUAAAGUGAAACAUACUAAGCUAUAGUAAGACUAGCCAAGCAUACAUAGGACUAAAAACUGCAAUUUUUACUCGUACUCUAUCCAUCAAUAUGUUCUUUACCCUUUGCGCUUAGAAUAAAGCUUGAUAGUUGAUACAUGAUUUUUAUAUAUUUCAACUCGUUUAUUGAAGUAAAGCUUUAACUUUCAUUUUGUUUCAUACUAGUAAUUAUCGAGUAUCUUAAUUAACUCAAUUAUAGAUAUUUCAAUGUAGAUAUUAAGAGAAAGCUGAAAACAUAUUUCGCUUUUAGAGAAAAUGAGGAACUUACUUUGCUACAUUAGCCCAGUGAACUCAAAAAAGAUUUUACAACAUAUGACCAUCAUUUUUUGGUGUAUAAAAUGUACAAACGAAUAUUUCUAGUUUAAAAUCUUCGUUUAAAUAGAGUUAAUAUUCUUAUGGAAGAAAUAGCUAGAGAAGUUAGACAUUCAAAUUAGAUAGAAGUGUAUAAUGUGAACAAGCAUAUUGAUUAGGGAAAAUGAUCUAUUUCAUCCCUCACAUUUUGCAAAAUUAUUCUUUUCGUCCCUCACUUUUAAAACGAAACAAAUUCAUCCCUAAUAUUUAAAAAUUAAAACUAUUACAUCCCUGAACCAAAUUUUUAAUCUGAAUCAAACUAUCCAAUAAUUCUAUAAUAAAUUUUGGAGUUAGAAUUGAUGGAUCAUUCAGUCAACUCCAUCACAUUCACAUGACAUUUAUUAAACCAAAAAAAAUAAAAAUUAUAACAUAAAAGGUCAUUCUUUGUUCUGGAAUAGUAGGGUUUCUUUUUUGGAUAAAUCUUUUCAUGCAUCAUUAGUAUAUACGCUUGCGAGUCUAGAUGUAUAUCACAAAUACAAAAUUUGGUAUUUAAAUUUAAAUUGAAAUAAUGUGACAGGUACAUAAACCCGUCAGUGUAUAAAAUGAUAAUGUAGGAAAAAAUUAAUUGUUCUUUUUUAUGUUAUAAUUUUUUAUUUUUGUGGCUUAUUAAAUUUCAAUUGAAUAUCAAGUUGAGUUAACUAAAUGAUCUACCAAUUAUACCCCCAAAAUUUGUAAUCAAGUUGAUAAGUGAUUUGAUUUAGAUUGAAAAUUGGGUUCAGGGAUGUAAUAACUUCAAUUUUUAAAUGUUAAUGAUGAAAUUGCUUCGUUUUAAAAGUGAGGGAUGAAAAGAAUAUUUUUGUGAAAGGUGAGGGAUGAAACCGGUCAUUUUUCCUAUUGAUUAUAACAUAUUUGUGUUGGAAAUUGUGCAUUAAAUUUAAGUGUUUUCCAUGCAUUUUUCCUAAGCUUCAUUAAUACAUUCAUUCCCUUUUAGAUUCAUUCUUAGAUUCAUGUAUCUCUUGGAAUUUACUAGUUCUUUCAUAUAACUUCUAAAUUCAUGUACUUGUAAUAAUGAUCGUACGUGUAUCUAUAUUCUUGUGCCUUCACACAACUCCUUUGGGCACUCUCCUUCCCACAAUAUAGGAGUAGCGCAAGAUAAAUCUGGAUGCUUAACCCCAAAAAAAAUGGAAAAAUCGUUCAAAACGUCCCUCAUAUUUUGCAAAAUAACUUUUUUCGUCCCUCGCUUUUAAAAAUGUAUUACGUCCUUUACAAAUUCACAUUGAUCAAAUUUGGUCCCUACUUAGCUUUCCGACUAGUUUUUGAUCAGAAUUCACCACGUGCUUUUGCACGUGAUCAUAUUUUAAGGACAAAUUUAUCAAAUCAAAUUUUAUAUAAUUCGAUUUGUAAUCCCUUACAUUUCAUAAAAUAAAUUUUUUCCCUUACAUUUCACAAAAUGAAUUUUUUCAUCCUUCACAUUUUUCAAAAUGAAUUUUUUCAUCUUUUAUUGAUCAUGUGUGUGAAUAAUUUUUUUAAAUCCAUGUAUAUAUUUAUUUGAUUUCACCUGAACAGUACGAAUAACAUGUGAAAUCAAAUAGAGAUAUAUUACACACUAUUUGUAUUGCUCAAGUGAAAUCAAAUAGAUAUAUACAUGAGUUUAAAAAAAAUUGUUGGUUUUUCACUUAUAUUUAUUUUCUUUUACUUGAAAUUUGAAAAUAAAGAAGACAUUUAAUCCUAAAUAUUAUCGAGUGUUUAUAUCGAAUUAAAUUUGGAUAGAAAAAAUAAACAAAGGAAAAGUAUGACAAAAAGAAAUAAGUGAUUGACACUUUUAUAUUUUAACACAAUCAUAAGGCAAGUAAUUCAACUGUUAGUCUUAAAAAUGUCGAGUAGAAAUUUUAGAUUUAAACUGAAAUUUGUUAGCACAAUUAUAGAAUUCGAGUUAGGACCCAUUAAUUAGAUGACUUUAUUAUACAACUCAAUAAAUAAAUUAUUACCAAAAGAGAAAUGUCACAAAUAUUGAAUAGGUUGGUGAAAUCAUAUAAAUAUAGACAUGGGUUUCAUACAAAAUUAUUAGUUUUAAACCCAUAAAAAUUAUUGUUUGUGGGGUUCCUCACCUGACAGACCAUGAAAAGUAGGCAACAAAUGUAUUAGACCAGGUUUUAAUUCAAAAGCUGCAUUCUCACUAAGGCGAGGGAAAGUUAUGCAGAGAGGUUGUUCGGUCAAGUUUGGAGCAGCCAUCUCCCGUAUUGUCCGUGCAUUUGCCAUGGUGACUUCCUCCUGGUCCAAAUCACUCGAGUGAUCACUAUGCAGAUUUAACGAUUCCACCUCCGGAUCCAGUCCUUGAGGUGCACCACUGGGUUGCUCCUCUCUGAGCUGUCUAGUCUCUUUCCUAGUUCGGCGUGCAGUCUUCUCUACUUCAGGGUCAAAAAUUAAGUCGCAUGUACGAGAAGAACGAGGCAUAAACUAGAAAAAUACCAGAAAGAAAGAAAGAAAGCAAGCAAAAACAAAUUAGAUUUAAAAAGGAACAAAUAAAUAACGCCAGUCCCCGGCAACGGCGCCAAAAAUUGACAGGUGCCGAACCUGUACAAUAAUAAAUAUCUGCUCAAGCAAAAUAUAACUUCUGUAGACAGUGAUAAGUAGGGUCGAAUCCACAGGGACUGGUGAUAUUUGUUUCUUUUAAAAUUCCAAUUGGAAUAAGGGGGAUUUUAUCGGAAUUAAACUAAAAAUAAUUAAAUAAUUCACUGGAACAAAUGAUUAACUAGCACGAAUACGAAAAGGAAUUAAAUCAAGAAUAUAUAAAAAUUCUAACCAAGGAUACAACUACUCAGGCACAGUCCAAUUAUCCGAUCAUUGAUACAAGAGAGGUUCACUUAAUGUAUUAAUAGGCUAGUUAUAGCCGUUGACGAAGUCUGACGACCAAUUUUUCCUUAAUUUAUUGAUAACCAAGGUACGACCGUUGAUUACCCCUAAUCAGAAAAUACUCCUAGGUACGACCAUAGGAAUUAAUUUCCUAAUUGCAUUAACAACUAGAAAAACCUAGCCCUAAUCAAUAACACGCUACGAGGGUUAUUUAAAUUAGAUUGCACGCCCCCUGAUGUGUAAACACACUAGUUGCCACUAAUAUUAAUCAAUCAAACAAUUACGGAUUGAAUUGACUAAAUUGGCACGAGAUUAAUAAAUCACAUUGAACAUCGGGCCAUUGACAUCCAAUUAAUAAAUAAAUCCCAUGAGAAUUCAAGCAGACAGCAUGCAAAUAUUAAUAAAUUGAGGAAUGCGUGAAAACUAAUUAGAUCUCACAGAAUUUCGGGACUGCGCCGUCGAGUUGACCCUUGACUAGAUUGAAGGUUUAGCCACGCCGCAUAAUUAAAUCACCACACGAAUUAAAUGAUUGCAACAACAUUGCCUUUUUACUAGAAAGCAAGGAAUAAAAGAUGUUUCCCCGUUGGGAAUAUUGUCAAACACCUGGCGUGUGUCAGAGGCCAGUCAGAGAGAAAAAGAAAGAAAACUAAAAACUGAACUAAAAGCUAAAAAACUCCCCGUUUGCUUCUGUAUAGAGAAACAAAAAGGAAGUUGACUAAAAACUAUCUAGUCUCUGAUCCCACAGCAAUUGGGAAACAAGCAAAAGAUUACAAGGAAAAAGCUUCUCCUCGUGUGUUUCUCUCAAAAGCCCAAUUGAAGAAAAGCCUUUUCUUCCUCGUGGUCCCCGCUGAUGUCCCUCUUAAAAGCCAUAGGAGAUUACUAAUGCUCUCUCCCGUAAGACUUGAGCCAAUGAAGUACACAAGGUGGGCCCUUAGCCCAAUUGUCUUUUGUUCCCUUUCUUUUUGGUAGUUUUCUACUCCAUUCCUGGAAUUAGACCCAAGUACCAAAUAUAAGUAAAUAUUGGCAAUUAACACAAUAUUUGAUAGGUAUAACAGGGGAAAUGAGUAAUAAAAUUACUAUCAAAUAAUGCCCUAUCACCCAUACAUAUAUCUAUUGAAUAGCAUGUGUAUAACUACGAUUAGCAUGUUUUGAUGAAAUCCAAUAGUGAUAAAUUAUAUGUCAUUCAUACUGUUUAGGUAAAAUAAAUAGGCAUAUAAGUGGGUUUAUAAAAAAAAAAAAAAAGCUAUUCGUAUACAUGAUCAAUGAGGGAUGAAAAAAUUCAUUUUGAAAAAUAUGAGGGAUAGAAAAAUUCAUUUUUUCAAAUGUGAGGAACGAAACAACUCAUUUUGUAAAAUAUUAGGGAUAAAAAAAUUUAUUUUGUGAAAUGUGAGGGACUAUGAAUCAGAUUAUGUAAAAAUUUGAUUUGACAAUUUUGCCCUUAAAAAAUGAUCACAUGCAAGUCACGUGGUGGAUUCUGACCAAAAACUAGUCGGAAACCUAGGUAGGGACCAAAUUUGAUCAAUGUGAAUUUGUAAAGGACGUAAAAUUACACUUUUAAAAGUGAGGGACGAAAAAAGUCGUCUUAUAAAAUAUGAGAGACGUUUUGAAUUAUUUUCGCAAAAAAAAUAUAUGAAAACAAGAAAGAGUCUUGAAGGUGUCAUAAGGCAUUUACAAUGAAUUGCACUCUAGAGUUAAAGAGUGCAAUUCAUAUGCUAUAUCAUCACUUUAUUAUUCCCUCUUUCAUUAUAUUAUCACUCACUGUAAAUUACACUCUACAUAGUAUAAUAGCAUGGACCUAUAAUCAAAUCAAGUAUUUAUCUUAAUAGUUCUCAACACAUAUCUCAUAAAUAAAUAAAUCUAUUUUUGAAAAGUAAUUUCAUUUAUUUUUGGAAAACAAAUUUAUUAACUUUUGUUGAAAUUUUUGCAUUCUAAAAAUUUUUUAUUUUCUGAAAAAAUAAUAUUAUUAAUUUUUGAAAACUAAUAGUAUAUAUUUUUAUGUAUUUCAAAAAUAAUACAUUGUUAUUUUCUAAAAAUAAUUAGAUAAUUAUUAAACAAAUACCCAACACUUUAAAAAAUUAGAUAAGAGGUUAAUGAAAACAAAUGAUACAGUAGAAGAAAUGAUGGAGUGGGAGAGUAAGAAAUUGAGAAAAUGUUAACAAUAUUUAUAGACAAAUUUUCGAGAAUUGAAAGUGAAAAAAAAACACUGUUGCAAACUGGUGAAAUUGAAACAACGCUACCAUUAUUUUACCAUUGCAAACAUGUUGAAAAUUGGAUUCAAUUCAAGGGACCACUGCAAAAGUUUUGAAUAAUUGGAUAAAAUGAAACUGCUGCAAAGCUUUGAAUAAUUGGACAAAUUAGACCCACUUUUUCAGCUUUUUUUUGCUUCAAUUAUGCAUGUAGUGACUGUUAUGCAUGUAAUAGGCAUUAUAUUCUUACUAUGGGAGAGUUUAUAAUGCAUGGGUGUAAUAAAGGGUAAUUGUGGAUACCCCAUAUUUGACCCCAAAAGGGCCAAAACUAGGGUUCAAUGAACAAAAUUGUACGGCUUUCGAACACCGUAUACUAAGCCUUUCGAACACCAAAUAAAAAGUCCAAAACUUCCCCGGUUGAAAGUUGUGGUGUGUUGUGGACUUUUUCUCACUUCAGCCCACCUCUAACCGAUCCUGUGUGGCCCAAUAAUUUUCAGCAACCUAGGUGAAGAAUAUUAAUGGUUUUGUUAUAAUCAUUCCAAGUCAUGUACUUUCAUAGUUAGGCGUUUAUUCUCGUUGCCCACUAUGUUGAUUGUAGCACUUCAAAGUUGAUUAUAAGUAGGGAUAAUUUCAUAAACGUCCUCUAAGGUUUUAAACAAUUUCACUGAGCUACCUUGAAUUAUUAAAAAUUGUACUUACUGCCCUUGAUUUGAUACAUUUGGUAAUCAAACCCUAGAAUUGGUCAAAAAUUUAAAUGAACAUCCUAAAAUGUCCUUGGUUUGUAUAGUUUAUAUUGCUUUCCAAAACAAUUGUAAACAUAUAGCAUCAAAUAUAAAAAAAAGCAUCAAAUUUUCAAUACCUUUAUUUAUUAUUUAAUAAAAAAUUACAAUAGUUUUAUCACUAUGACAGGCUACUGUACAUAGUGCUUUACUAGGGAUACAUAUUCCCUGAAGGUUGGAGAAGAAAGUAUUAUCAUAAUUGUUUUAGAGUUUGUAGAUUUUUGGAAUGUUAGAGGUAUCAAUAAUUUAGUAGUAGUUUUGGACAGUUUCUUUUUAAAUCACUGUUGUUUUUGGUGCAAAGAAAAAAAAAGAUCAACAAAAAAUUAGAUCAGAUUCAAAGUUGUCAAAAAAAGGGGUCACUAAUUCAACAUUUGGUAAUGAUAACGACUAGAAGCAAUAUUUAUAGUUUAUAGUUCUGUGGUUUUACUUGUAAAAUAUGAAAAAAAAAGAGGAAUAAGAAGAGAAAAGAAAAAGAAAAAAUAAUUAUAAAUAUCAUUCUUUCGAUAUGCAUACCCAACAAGGGGAGUUUUAUUAAAAUGGUAAAACUAAUAUUGCCAUUUUAAAUGGGCAAGGAAGAUAAGUGUAAUUUUUAAAAUCUCAAGGGAUCUCAUUGAAAUUGUUAGAAACCUCAGGGAAAGUUUUUGAAAUUAUUCCUUAAAUUUAAUCAAAAGAGAAUAUGAAAAUAUUCAUGGGACAUAUAUCAAUUGGCCAAGAGGAAAUAGAUGAAUUGGGUGGUUCAGAGAAAAAAGUAUAAAUAUGAAAUUUUGAAUUCAAAUCCUCUCUCACUGUAUUAUUUGAGUUUCCAAAAACUUGAGUAGAGUUGCCCACAUAUAAAAAAUGGAGCAAGUAAGAAUCACAAGGCCAGGUAUCGGUUACACAUUGUGAAUGAUAUCUUCUCCCAUCUAAAAUAUUGCCCUUUAAUUGAAGGCCGAAACUUGAAUUAAAGAACAAGAAAAGGGAUCAUCUGCUAGCCAUGCUUGACCAGAUUACUACUAAUUAGCCUGCAUUUCGGUUCUAACUCUUCAGAGUAUUACCACUAAUACCACUAUCGUGGAAGUUUUCCACUUAAAUACUGAGAAUUGAUAUCAAACAUUUAAAAAUAGGUCUGUGGUAUCAUACCGAUGAACCCUGUAUUAAAAAGCAAGGAAAGGGAUGGUUCCCUAGCCGUGCCUGACCCGAAGAACAGCCAGUCUCCCAUCUCUCCCAUUUUCCAAAUGGUCCUUCAGAAUGUGGAAGGAAGACUAAUGAGUAAUGAGAAGACUAGAAUUAAUUUCCAGUGGCCCAAGUAACAUUGAAAUGGGCAUAUACUUGUGUUUGAAUAUGAGAUUAUUUGGAAUAAUUUUUUUAAAAAGUAUUAUACUAUUUUUUUGAUGUGAUAUAUAUGAAAUAAAAAAAGUGAUUGAAAAAUGUGUUUAUGAAAUAAGUAGAUAAUUUUGUACAAUAAUGAGCGUGCAUUUAAGUCCUGACUCUUGAAAAGAAGUAUUACUACUAAUUAGUAGCAAUUUUCACUUCUUUAAUCCAAUCAUUUUCUUUGACCAUUGUAUAUUGGUAACAUUAAUUUUGCAAGUUAUCAUUUUACUGUUUAUAUUUAUUAUCUUAGAGUUUACAUUUAUUAUUGUAAUGCAUAUAUUUUAUGAUAUAAUUGACACUAGAAAUUGCAGAAAUCCCAAAUUCUCUGCUGCCACAAUUUCAAGGGUUGAAGAAGCCCUCAAUUUUUUUUUUCUUAUACUUUUUACUUUGUUGGUCAUGGUUAUUAAUCUCCAAGAUCAAUGGUCAUGAUUAUUAAAACGAGAUAAUUAGAAGAGAAAGUGAUCGAACUUAGUGGUUUGCUCAAGAAAGAAAACAAUGGAAGAAAAUUAGAGAGCUAGUAGCUUGAAGGUUCAUUAUAUUUUGAUCAUUUAUAUUGUGACGUCUCUUGGAUCAUUUAUAUUUUGAUGUUUCUUUGUUUUCUGUUCUUCCUAAAGUUUAACAUAUUAAACUGUGGAUGCUUGAAGCAAAAAAACAAACAUAUGAAAACAGGGACGCGCAUAUGUUAUUGUCUUAAAACAUAGGCUUUUAUGUGACCUCUAAUAUCAAAUUUCCCUAAUAAAAUGUUGAUGACAGAGUCAACUAAUCUUGUUUAUCAAUUUCCUCCAUUUGUAAUUAGUUCAAGAUAAAUUUGGAUUUUGGGUGCCUAGUUGAAUAAUUGAUUAUCAUUGCCUGGGGUCCACCUUGAUGCCAAUUCCACCUGGUUGAAUUUGAAUGGUUGGUUGUGUCAAUACUCUUCUUCACCUUCUCACCAGAAACAAAUAAGCAAUUUUCAGGAAAGAAAUACUUUGCUAGCUCUGCAGUUUGUGAGAUUUGUUUCUCUCUUAAAAUUUGAGAGUGAAACUGACGAAAAUCUCUCUUAAAAUAAGAGAUGGAGAUGGCCUCCACUUGCAGCGUCGAUCGUGUCUUACUUGGUCUAGAGUUGCUUCUGAACAACCGAUUCCUAUACAAUUUUUUUCUUUCGGAUGUUGGUCCAAGAGUUAUUUCGGAUCUUCGUGAUGCAAUCAAACACAUGAAAUUUCUCAAAACAUUUCUUAUGUGCGCUAGAAAGUGGAGCCUUGUUCAUUUGUACUUGCAAUCUGACAACGUUGUGAAGAAGGUGAGUCUUCCAUCUUUCUUAUCUUGUAUCGAAGAUACCUUUCACAAAUAUGAGAAGGAUAUUCACUCUCUUUCCCUUUUUGAGAUAUAUGGAGUGUCACACGCAAUUGAGAAAGAGAUCAUAUCACUCAAGCAAGAAAUCAUCCAAAUUUACUUUGCUUUGGCAAGCAGCAGGUCAUUUCAAUCGAAUUCUUGUAUGACAGAUGAUGAACUGUUGGAAUUCAUAGACCUCAUCCUCCAAAAUCUAGCAGAUUUGACAAAUGACUAUAUGAAUUGGGGAAUUAAUCAAUAUGAUCCUUUGCUUGCUGCUUUGAGUGCUCAAGUCCAAGAUCUUGAAGCAAAGCUGACAUUCUUGAAAAGCUUCAUUCCCUUUGCCAAAAUGCGAGGAACCGCAGAUAUUCCUGCCUUGCUAUUGGCUCACUUUGAAGUGGUGGCUUUGACCGCAGCACGCCUCUCUUACAUGUGUUCUUUUUGGAAAAAUGCUGAGGAAAUGCACAAUCCUCAGUUCUACUACAGAAGUACUUGCAGCUUCAAACUCCUCAGCAUCAGAGCGGUUGAUUUUCAUGUCUACGAGAUUUAUAAGGAAGUACUUGCAGCGUCAAACUCCUCAGCAUCAUUACAUAGAGCAGUGAUGGAUGAGCGGAUAUUGAACAACUUCAAUGAUUCUCUGAUAGGUCGUCUCUGGGAGUUGUUGUGCUGCAGCUCUAGCUUUGUGGAUUCUAUGAAAGAUGAAAUGCGAAUACUCUAUGCAGGACUGAGGUUUUUGAGAAGCAUUUUAAGGGAGCAUCAUGAGAUGAUGGAUGAACAAAAUGAAAAAAUUGGAGCUCUCCUGGGUGAGGCAGGCAUUAUAAUAUUCGCGCCCACUCUGAGCAGAGUGAUAGAAGGAGAAGUUAGCUUCUCAAGAUCCACCCAGGUUCUUGGUUUUUGUGUAUGCUGGCCAAUGCCAACAUCCAUAUCAAGCAUUUUAAGGAUCAGAUCAUGGCUCAAGAACUAUAGAGAGUCUUCCUAAUUCCUCUCAUAGCUUAAGAGCACCAGAAGUUAGCCAGACUUCCAGCCGCAUGCUAUCAAAAGGUAAAAUGCCAAUAGACCAUGAAGUCAUGGUUGGUCUUGAUGAUGAGGCAGAAAAAGUAAUUGAACCACUUAUCAAGCAUUUUGAGGAUCAGCUCAGUGUCUCAAGUACUAUACAGAGUCUUCCUAAUUCCUCUCAUAGCUUAAGAGCACCAGAAGUUAGCCAGACUUCCAGCCGCAUGCUAUCAAAAGGUAAAAUGCCAAUAGCUCGUGAAAUCAUGGUUGGUCUUGACGAUGAGGCAGCAAAAGUAAUUGAACGACUUGUAAGCGGACCAGAACAUGUGGAAAUUGUUCCCAUUGUGGGAAUGGCUGGGCUUGGUAAAACAACUUUAGCCAAAAAGGUUUACAAUGAUAAUUCAAUUAUCUAUAACUUCCACAUUCGCCUUUGGUGUACUGUUUCUCAGAAUAUAACAAGAAAAGCUUGUUAACACAAAUUUUGUGCUCUGAUAAAGAGCAGUCUAGGAUGGAUGAAGAGCUUAAAAACUUGAAUGAACAUGAAUUUCUUGACAAGCUCUACAAAAAACUGAAGCGGAAGAGGUAUCUUGUUAUUUUUGAUGAUGUCUGGGACAUUAAGGUAUGGAAUGAGCUGAGAAUUUCAUUCCCAGAUGACAAAAACCAAAGUAGAAUCAUCUUCACUAGUCGAUCUUCUAAUGUAGCUUCACAGGUUCAAUAUGGUGGAGAACCUCACUAUCUUCACCCACUCAGUGAGAAACAAAGUUUCGAAUUGCUGCAGAAGAAGGUGUUUGGAGAAGAAGAAGAAUGUCCUCAAGCAUUGCAUGGAUUGGGAAUGGAGAUUGCUGAAAAGUGCUGGGGAUUGCCACUUGCACUUGUUGUUGUAGCUGGAGUCCUAGCAACUAUAGAGCAUGAUAUUUUGGUUUGGAAAAAGUUUGCUGAAAGUUUAACUUCAACCAUGGUGUCUGGUACAGACCAGUGGAAGAAGUCCUUGGAGCUCAGUUAUGAGCAUCUACCAUAUCACUUGAAGGCAUGCUUGCUGUAUUUUGCUGCAUUUCGAGAAGAUGAAAAAAUUGGUGCCAAGAGUUUGAUGCGUCUAUGGAUUGCAGAAGGGUUUGUGGAAAUAAUUGAAGGAAAGAGAUCAGAGGAUACUGCAGAAGAAUAUUUGAUGGACCUAAUUGGCCGAAACCUAGUUAUGGUAGGUAAGAACAGAUCCAUUGGUGGAGUCAAAACUUGUUACGAUUCACGAUUUGAUAUUUGAGUUCUGUAAGGGCGAGGCGAAAGAAAAGAAAUUCCUUCAGGUCCUGCGAGGAUAUGAUGAGCUUUCUACCUUUAAUGAGCCUCCCAACCUACCUCGGUUGUCCAUUUGCUCCAGUGAAGAAGAUUUUAUAAAGUCAAGGCUAUUUUGUCCGCAUUUAGCCAGUCUGCUAUUCUUUGAUGCUACUCCAGGAUAUAAGAAGUUUAAGUUGCUUAAUAUCUCCUUCCUUUUUUGCAUCUACAAACAUCUUAACGUUCUGAAUUUAGAGGGCAUUAACCUAAGGCUGAAGGAGCUUCCAGCUGAAGUCGAAUCACUUCUUUGUUUGAGGUACUUAGCCCUUGUAGCAGAGCGCAUGAGAUUCAUUCCACCAUCUAUAGCCAAGCUCUCACAUUUGGAAACCUUUUGUCUAAAUUCUGAUGAGAUUGUUUCAUUGCCAGAUAGCAUCUGGAACAUGAAGAAGUUGAGGCAUGUAUGUUUGUGGACUGGCUUCGUUAUUCGUCUGCCUUCCAAUGACAACGGUGUUGAAAACCUCUCCACUUUACCCAAUUUAGACACACUCUCUUGUUUGCGUCUUUAUGAAGAGGGAGAGAACUUAUUGAGAAGGAUUCCCAACGUUCGCCGACUUAAAAUUUCCGAUCGUCAGACUGGAAAUGGAGUGUUGAACAUGAGCCGACUAGAAUGCCUAGAUUCACUCACCUGGCGGGGCAAUUACUCCUCAGGUUCAUGGGAACAUGUUGAGCCUCCCUUCCCAUGAAUUUGAAGAAGUUGUGUCUUUACGAUCUGGGUCUUCCCUGUAGUAAAAUGUCAUUGAUUGAACGACUACCCAACCUUGAAGUCCUAAAUUAAGAUGGCGGUCAAUGGAGGGCCAAAAAUGGGAGCUGAUGGAAGGAGGAUUCCCUAAACUCAGGGUCUUGACUUUGGAAUGUGUAAAAGUUGCGGAGUGGACAGAGGCAGACCCUGACAGUGAUGAUUACUUCCCGUGCCUUCAGCAAUUAAAGCUCCACGAUAUUUCUAAUUUGAAAAUGAUGCCUGCUUGUUUAGAGAGUAUAUCUACUCUUGAAGAAAUUAAGGUGAGUUCUUGCGGAGAUGGCGUCAAAUCUUUAGUACGGGAAAUUGAAGCAGCACAGGAAUAUAAUAAUGGAAACGAGAAUCUGAAGAUCAUCAUCAUAGAUUGAAGGGCAUCAGCUGGUGCAAUAUCUGGUAUGUUUUGUCAUCACCAUCAAUUGGCUUGUAGAAAUAAUCAUGCUUUUCAUUUUUUUUAAGCAAGUUUAAUUAUAUUUACCAUUUGGUAGCUUUUUUGUACUUCAGUAGUUGCCUGUAAUGCUUGCACGAGCACAUUGUGAUGCGAAGAACCAAAAAAGUAAUCUCACUCUUUCUAAAUACAUGAAUGAAAUUUAAUUGGAUAAAAUAGGAAUCACAUUUUGCCAACAUCGGGCCUAAAACAAAGUAAAAACAUAAACGAUUAAACGUUGAAACUAUCAAAACAAACAGUAAGCCCAUAUGCUCCUCUCAAGCUGAAAAAUAGACUCAUUUAGGGUCCGUUUGUUUCGGGUGAAAAUGUUUUCCGGGAAAAUAUUUUCCUAAUUUCCCGUGUUUGGUUGCACAGAAGUUACUGAAAACAUUUUCCUAUGUAAAAUAUUUUCACUCAUCUUAUGGAAAACAACUUCCCUUCCAAACUUACUGAAGUUGUUUUUGGAAAUGCAUGCAUCCCGCCUGUAGUAUGUUCCAAACUUACUGAAAACAUCUUGUAGUAUGGUUUUUUUUUUUAGUGUAAACAUGAGGACUCGAACCCACCCAAGAUCUCUUCCUUACACUCCCUCCCCCGUACCACCCAACCCAACCCAACCCUCCCCCUAGUAUAUUCAAAAUAAAAAUAAAAAAACCUCAUCCUGCUCAUCCUAUGCUAGUAAUUAAUAACGUAUAAUAGGGACAUUCUUUUCUAGAGAAACUUUCAGCAGUGAGAGUGCAAGAUAUAUGUCACAAUAAGUAUUGCAUGUGAUUGAUAUUUGACACUAAAUAGCCAGCAAUUUGUUUAUUGCUUAAGGAAAUAUUUUUUAUUCAUAUAUACAUUUCUCCAAGAUUUUUUAAAGUUAAACAAUGAGAUAAAUUUUUUUAUUUUGCAUGGGAAGAAGUAUGUAGUUAUAAUGUGUAGAAAGUAAAGAUAGAGAUAAAAGUGAAAAUAUUUCAAAAGUUAAACAAACACCAGAAAAAUGAAGUAAGAAAAUAUUUUCAAUAAGCUAACCAAACACCUGAAAAUGAUGAAAGGGAAAUGAUUUUCAUGGAAAAUUACUUCUACGGAAAAUAUUUUCCCAAGGAAAACAUUUUACUUCCAACCAAACAGACCCUUAAUGUUUAUGGGAUAUUUUGGACUCUCUCUCACCUCAACCCACAUUGUAUUGAUCUUGUAAGGCCCAAAUUUUAGCAACUGUUUCACGGAUGCAUUUCUCUAGUUUCUAAUCUCAACUAUGAUUUGUUCUGAAUAUUUGUGAUGAAUUGAUGAGAAUGGGCUUCAACUCGUAGUCUAUUUUUUGCUUCUCUUUAGGGUAAAUUCGCCUUCUAUUUAUUGCGAAUCAAGACUAUAACACUUUGUGCUAGUAUAUCAAGACUAUAAAUGAGUAUGUUAUCUUUUUACAGAACUUCCAAAGGUUGAGAUUAUGAUUUUUUAGACGGAUUUGGGUUCUCUCUAAUGAAUUCUCUCUUCAUUUCGUAUAAUGCACAUUUAGAUGUAUGACACAUGUUUUCAAUUACUAAAAAAGGACAUGAUCAAUUUAAAUUUAACUAAUUCUAACUCUUGUUAAUAAAUGAAAAUGCCUGUCAUACAUCUAGAUGAGUACUGCAGAAAAUGGAGAGAGAAUCAACUAGAGAUGAGCCAAGUCCCACUUUAGAUUGGUUUUCAAUUUUGGCGCUUGUGUUUAUUCGGUGGAUCUUUACAAUACAAAACAUGAUUACUCUUGAUCUGUGAGGGCAUUACUAUUAUUUAGAGUGAAAUUGCUCUGGCAAGAACAUAAUUGUUUUGACAAUAUAGCUAACCCAUUUCUAUACUUUGCUACUAAGACGUACCAUCGAUAAGGUUUUGUUAAACAAAUGAUUUAUAUGUUUUGUGGGAGGAGAAAAUUGAUAGCAAUAUGAAAUUUAAAUAGUUAAAUUUCUGUUCUUUUUACUUAAUUUUAAAAAAAAUUAUAUCUUAGUACGUAUUCCUAAAGAAUGCCCACUAUGUGCAACGCUUAUGCUCCUAUGCUAAUUUCAUCAGAAUAGAUCUUAUAAAUUUUAGUUAUAAACUUAUCAAUUUUCAUUUGAAGCUUAAAAACACCAUGUAAGAUAAUUUUUAUAGGCUUUUCAGCGGUGAUUUGUUAAAUAUGCGACCAAAAGUAUAUUCACGACAUCGUUCUUCCUCUUUAACUUUUUGACUCUUAGCCUGUCGUUGGAGCUCAUUUAUCCCUAUCCUCGGCAAAGUCAUUGCUCGGCCCAUAUGCUCGAGAGAUUAACUUUUAGUCAAAUGAGAAAGUAAAGACAAGGAAAGAGCAUAAUUCUUCUCGAAGAAAACAGGGACACGAAUCAAAUUCUUCCCUGGAACCAAUGCCAAUUGUGAGGGAAAGGUAUGCGGCAAUUGUAAAGGUUCGGAAGCAGUGAGCCCACCACUUUGAUAUGCCUCCAUAUACCCUUAUUAUAGUGGAUGGAUCAUGGAUGACAAUUUGAUAAUGCCGUGCUACCUUCAACUUUUUCGAGGGAAUUUUCUUUUUUUUUUUUUUUUUGUUCAGAUAAUUUGUAUUGAGAAACUUAUCACUUGUGUAUUUUGCCCUUUUACUAAGCAAGCAACUCAUUACUCGUGCUAAAGAAAUUAUUAUUGCGAUGUUGUAAGCUCCUAUCUAAAUUAACUACGAUAUAUUUUUAUCCAAACACAAUCAAGUAGUAUUUCAGCUUAAUAGAAGACUUUAUUUCCUCUAAAUCUUGCAGUAGAAAAAAAAAAUUAACAUUUACGUGGGGCAAGGCAAUAUGCUUGUCAUCAUAUACCCAAGUAAUUAUGUUACUCAGUACAUUGCUUAAGAAACCGUAUUGAAAUGUAAAAACUUCAUUGUCACUUAAUUACUAAGUUGAGGUUAAUUUGGAAAAAGCAAAUGAUAUUUGGACUUCAGAAAAGCUUUAGGUACUCCACACUUGUCCCUUUUUUUGGUUAAAGAUGACAUAAAGAUCCAAAGCCUAUGUUCUAUAAUAACUUGAAUACCAAAAUUACCCCGAGGGCAUAGUACUAGUAGUGUCCUUAUUUAAAUGUUAAAUCAAACAACGAAUUAUUCACCUUGUAUAAAAUUAUAGGGGAUUACGUGGAUAAAUACGAAUAUCAUGAGGGGAUAAAAUAGAUAUUUAUGCAAAUCAUAAAAGAGUUAAGUGAACAGUGUAAUAUUUUAUCAUACACAUUUUUAAAGCAAGUGUGGUCUAAUCGCUGUAACUGAUUAUGCAUUUCGUCCAUUUUCCGCUUUAUAUAAAAUCAUAGGGGGUUACGUGACUAUUUUGAUACCUUAGAUGGAUUAUCUGACAUUGUGCAAAACUAUAAGGGAGUUAUAUGUAAUUUACCCUACAAUUUGCUAAAUAACUCAAACUCUUGGUUUUCAAAAGUGCAGUUUAUCUACUUUUCUUUUUCAUAUGUUCUUGCAUCAGGGGAGUUAUAUCUAAUUUAUCCUACAAUUUGCUAAAUAACUCGAACUCUUGGUCUUCAGAAGUGUGAGUUUAUCAGGUUUUCUUUUUCAUAUGUUCUAGCAUCAGGAUGGUUCGAAUUUGAUGGCUUUAUAUAUAGACAUAAUUCAUUGUCACUUACUUUGUGUACAUUUUCUGUAACUAUGAUAAUACAUUGUUUGGAAAUAAAUCCAAUAUAAUGGUGCAUAUUAGCACAUUAAUCAUAACUUUACAUUAAAAGUGUGUGGAGUUAUAAAGAAAAUUUUAAUUUAAGAAAAAUUGUGUGGAAAUCCAUAACUUUACGUUAAAAUAUAAGCAUAUUAACGGAAUCAGUUUUGUGACGUCGGAAAUUUCUGUUUAACUUAAAGUCCUUAUUUAUUUUUCCUACUCAAUGGUUGCAUCAUGGUAAGAAGUGGAAUAAAUUUUUAUUCUACACGCUUUGGACGGUAAAAUCAUCAAAAUGUCUCAAAUCACAAAAAAAACAGAGCCCAGGUGCGGAUGCAGGGUCCUUCCCAGAAAUAUGAGGAUAAAUAGUCCAAAAACAAUAAAAAUUUCUUGCCUUGAAUCUUUCAAAACGAAACGCAAAUGGGGGGUGCAGGUCCUUUCUUCUCAACAGCCUAUUGAGUAUAAAAAAAAACUCCAAAAGAAAUAUUCAAUACUUGCUUGCUCUGCAGUGGGUGAGAUCUGUUUCUAUAAAAGGUGAGAUUCCUGUAAACUUGCAAAUUGUACAUUUCUAAAUACCCUACUACUCAACCACUGGGCCAAUGGCCAGUGACCACCAGAGAGGGGUUUAAGUCCCUCCUUAGGCUGUAGGUGAGGGUUUAUAGUGAAAAAAAUCUAAGAGUUAUGCCAUAACAUUCUCUUGAUCUAGUUGGGUCUGUAUACCUACUAGCCCUUACAACAGUUUUCUUAGGCCCCCUAGAUUAGGAUAGAAUAGAUUAUACAAAUGUAUCGUUACUGACAAAAAAAAAAAAAAAAAAACCCUACUACUCAACAACAACAACAACAAUUAACAGGUCAAAUUCCAGCAGAAAUUCAUGUGAUAUAAAGUUAGUCAAGAAAAUUAAUAUUAGAAUCGAUGGAGAUCUAAUGCAGAGGAUGGUAAAGUGGCCUGAUGGUUAUGUAUAACUUUUAAAGGUGUAGGUGAGUUAUGUAUAUAAAAAAAAAUCUAUAAGGUACAAAAGUGUAAUUUACCCUAUAUAUAUAUUAAAAUUAUUUUAACAAGGAAGAAGUAGGAAUUUUUUUUUCAAAUGCUGAGAGGAGGAAGGAGAAUUAGAUUCCAAGACUUUUAUAUCUUAGAAUUUCGUUAGUUAAUAAAAUCAUUUUAGGCUUUUAAUAUAAAUAAUCAUUUUGACACUGUUCUUCAAAGCGUGGAGUCGUGUACAUUUUACCACACGAUGAUUAUACGAAAAUGCACUAAAUUGUAUGGGGUUACACUAUAAUUUAUUCGUUUGUUUGUUGAUGAAUAUAAUAGGAAGGAGGCUGAUCAGUCCAGGCCAUUAAACUGUCUCAAAUCCUAAAGUCAUCAAACUGUCUCAAAUUCACCACAACAACGCAUCUUGCAAGUGAAACUGCUCUAACACGCAUAUGUAUUCACUCUUUUAUUUUUUUUUUUUUUUUGAGGGAUACUCUGAAGAACCAAUCCCACUUUUACAGUUAAGAAGCCAGUGUACAUUUUACCACACUCUGACAUUAAUAUUGUGUGAAACCACAAUAAUUUUGGAUGGAUUAUUAACUUUAGGUGCAAAAUAUCCAAAAUAAAAUUUAAGGCACAAUUUCAUGGUAAUUAGUAAUUUUAAAGUGCAAACUAUCCAGAAAUAAAAAUUUGAGAUGCAAAGUGGAAAUCAUUCAAAAGGGUGUAAAGUGAAAUUGGUUGCUUAUCAAGCAAUCUUACAAGGAGGGAGGGUGAAAACAAGGAGUCUACUAUGGAUUUUUGCAGUUAAUUGAUUAACAUUUUAUAGUUUUGCUUGUUCAUAUAUCAAGGUUUGAGGACUUUGUCAAGAUGUAAUUAUUUUCAUUCAACUCAAAGAAUCCAUUUAGCUGAAAUAUCUAAUAAAGUCAUUUUACAAUUUUCUUAGCAAUUACAGAUUAAAAAAAUUGUGAUUUCGUAAAUAAUCAUAGGAUGCAAAACUUAUUAUGCAACACAACUUGAAUUUUGAAAGAAACUAUCAAUGAAAGUUAAAGUUCCUUUGGCCCUUUUCUGUUCUUUUUCUCUCUUGGACUAUGGUAACUAGGCCAACAUGUAAGAAAGUCUUACCUAAUGAAAGGCCAACAUUUGGUUCAGCACUUUUCAUGUAAAUCUUCUAUAAUUUUAAAUAUUAUAAAUAAAUUUUUCCAUAUUUUGGACUAAAAUAUUAAAGUAACAAAAACAGUCCUUGACAAUGGAGUCAAACGAAAUGUCAAGAAUACUUUAAUAUCCAAAUAAAAUAUUUAUUAACCACAGAUUAUGUAUCACUUUUCGAAGCAUAUGAGAGUUAUGUUAAAAAGAACUAAUCCACAAGAUGCAAAAAUGUAUUUAUCCUAUAUUUAUAUAUCUUAGUCACUAAAGUUAUUUUAGGUUUUUGUCUUGGCAUUUUAGCUAAUUCCACCACGGAGGGCAACGCAUGUCAUUUUGAGACUAUAUAUAUAUAUAUGUAUAGAGGUGUGAGGGAAGGGAUGAGGCCUAUUACAUAGCAACUAGUGUGGGUUUAGUUACACCCAUUACAUCUUUAGCUAAACAGUCUAAGGAUUAGCAAGGAAGUUCCAUCCCAUCUGCCGUCAUAAUUGACAAGUAGUAUGCAGUGUGGGGUGCAGGUCCUUUGUUAACGUGCAAUGCCAGACCGGUUCUUCUCAACAACAAAACGGGUAUUAAAAAAACUAUGCAGUAGUAGUCAAUAAAAUUUCUUUACUUUAUUCAAACCAAGAUCAUUUCCAGAUUAUUUGACCGCUCUCUCUCGUUAACUUUGUUGAUUGAUCUGUUCUUCCUUGGUCUUGAUCCGUUUGCCUGUCGAAUAAUUUAUUGUCUCAUUUCUCUUCUUCACCUUCCCUCCAAGGAAAAAAAAAGGGAAAUUUCAGGAGAGAAAUACUUGCUUGCUCUGCAGUCGGCGAGAUCUGUUUCUCCCUUAAAAUUUGAGAGUGAAACUGAGGAAAAAUCCAUGCUCCGUUUCGGGUACAAUGCGUUUGGAGAAUGCAAUUUUGGAGCUGCGUUCCUGGAUAUAAGUGAAAAUUUUUUUUUUAUUGGAAAAUAGUUUUUUUUUUUAGGGACGGGUACCCUAUGACCCGUCCAUUUUUUCGGGUACCCGAAAACAUUAGGAGCGGGAGAAUGCAAUUUUGGAGCUGCGUUCCUGGAUAUAAGUGAAAAAAUUUUUUUUAUUGGAAAAUAGUUUUUUUUUUUUAGGGACGGGUACCCUAUGACCCGUCCCUUUUUUCGGAUACCCGAAAACAUUAGGAACGGGUUAGGAUCGCAAAAUGGCUGAUUCGAUAUUUUAGAAUCAGGUCAGCCAUAUCUUGUUAGGGGCGGGUACCCGACCCGUGCCCACCCUAGCUCUGGGUCUUCCCUGUAGAAAAAUGCCAUUGAUUGAACAACUACCCAAUCUUGAAGUCCUCAAAUUAAGAGUCCAGUCAAUGGAGGGCCAAAAAUGGGAACUGAUGGAAGGAGGAUUCCCUAAACUCAGGGUCUUGACUUUGGAAUAUGUAGCGAUUGUUGAGUGGAUAGAGACAGACCCUGACAGUGAUGAUUACUUCCCGUACCUUCAGCAAUUAAAACUCCACAAAAUUUCUAAUUUGGAAAUAAUGCCUGCUUGUAUAGGGCGUAUAUCUACUCUUGAAACAAUUAAUGUGAGUUUUUGUGGAGAUGGCGUCAAAUCUUUAGUAUGGGAAAUUGAAGAAGCACAGAAAUAUAAUGGAAAUGAGAAUCUGAAGACCAUUUAUGGAAAAUAUUGAAGGGCAUCAGCUGCUGCAAUAUCAGGUAAUUUUUUUUUGUCAUUACCAUUAAUUGGCCUGUAGAAAUAAUCAUGUUUUUUUCAUUUAAAGGAGUUUAAUUUAUAUUUACAUUUUGGUAGCUUUUUUGUACUUCAGUUGCCUAUACUGCGUGCACGAGCACAUUGAAAUUGAUGAACAAACAACUAAUUAAAUGCUCCUUUUUUUUUUUUUGCUUUUGUUAAUGAAAUUGAUGAACAAACAACUAAUUAGUGCUGUAUUUUUUCUUGAUGAUAUGUCAUCAGGGAGUGCCACGGCACGUAGCAGUUUUUCUUUGAGAUCGUAAUUCGUCAUCUGUAUGGUUUGGCUUUCUUUGGUGCUUUUGUGGAAGAUUGAGGUAAAAAUUGAAAGGAUCGAUGGCCUCGAGAGAACUUCUGCGUUUUUUGCGGGCAAGGAAUCUAAACACAUAAUUAGGAGCGUCCUAAAGCCCCAUGUCUUUGGAUGGCUACAUCUACAUCUUUUCCUAUCAAUUCCCCUUCUUUGGGUGGCUCAAUUAGAUUUCAUUAGUUGGCUAAAUUUUGGUUGUAAAAAAUUCUCAACUGCUUACCGCUUUAAUGUUCUUUGGUUUCCUCUUUUUCCCGUUGUCUGUUGGGUUGUAUGGUAUGAUAGGAAUAAAUUUUUGUUUGAUUGUAAGCAAUAAAGAUUUGCAAGUUUAUGUAACACAGGCUGUUUAUUUUGAUCAGAGAAACCCAAAAAAUCGUAAAUAUUGAUUCGAUCUGAACCGCAAAUUUGGAAUACUUGAAUCGGUUUUAAUAUGUGUAGUUCGGGUAGCAGGAUUUAGGGGUGGCAAUUCCUGACACGACCCGAAAACACGACACGAAUCUAACACAAAAUUAAUGGGUUUGGGUUAAGGUUUGGGAGGUUCGGGUCAGAAUUGGGUCGAACCCGAUGAACCCGAAAAGAAAACAGGUUGAUUUCGGGUCAACCCGUGGUGACCUGAUAUGACCCGAUAUGACCCGUUUACAAAUUAAAAAUAAUUUAAUACGCAUAAAAAUUAUUUGAUCUAACUAAACUAAAUCAUUCUUUUUUUCAAAGGCACUAAAUCAUUAAUUACUUAAUCCUAAAUGAAUUUAUUUAACUUGUGUGAAGUUAAAAUUAUUAUAUUUGGACAAAUAAUAUAUUAUAUUAUUGUUUACUUUUAUGCUAUUUUAAUUUAUUUUAUAUUUGAUUUGGGAUAAAACACUUUUACGGUGUUUAAUUUAUUUUAGAUUUGGUUUGAAAUUAUUUAUUUAAAUUUUUAUUACUUGAUGAUGUAAUUAAUUUUGUAAGAAAUUGAUUUUAUUAGAAAUUACAGUGAUAAAUUAAUAAAUUAAAAUUAAGUUUCGGGUCAACCCGCCAACCCAAAAUUUUCGAGUUCGUGUCAGGUAUCCUGACUCGUUUCGGGUUGGUGGAUCAGGUUCGGGUCAGCGGGUUUUUUGUUAUUCCCGACCCGACCCGACCCGCCAACCCGAACCCAACAUGAUUGCCACCCCUAGCAGAAUUAACAAGGCUUUGAAAAUCGCAGAUACCUGAUCCAAUUCAUGUGUAAGGAUAUACUUAUAAUUUUGUCCAUUAAAACUAAAAGUAAUAGAGAAUAUAUAAUCAUCUUUCAUCAAAUAUUUAUAUUUGAGAUGAUAUACUUGACUAUCUCAACAAUAUAAGAGUCUUAACUUGUUUAACUUGCUAAUUAUAUAAUAUAUUUAGCUUUUGUUGCUGAGAAUAAGUGAUAUUUACAAACUUGUUUUUGUGAGAACCCGUAAUUUGCAUUUUCUCGGUUUCCGCAUUUUUCAUGGCUUGUUUUCUGCACUUUCUGUAUCCGAAAAAUUUUCUAGAUAAAUUUUAUGAGUAAAUAUAGUUUUUAGAUGAUUUUUCUAGUAUCGAAUAGAUUUUGAGAAACUAAGAGCGUAUUUUGGACGUGGGACCCACUAGUGCGAAAAGUUCGGAAAAUUUCGGCCAAUUAGGUUGAGUUUCGGAUACUGGUUGAAAUUUAUCGGGUGUUAAGAGAAAAGUAGAGGAUGAGAUGUGAUUGAUGUGAGAGAAACUUAAAGGAUAGAAAUGCUUUAAAUGUAGUGACAAGUGUCACUUGGUGAGUGGUGGCACUUGUAGGACAACUAUUCAUUUUCUUGACUUUUUGACCAAUUGCUUAAAUAUCUCAAAAAUCACACAAAAUUCAUUCUUGUCUUCAACUUCUUGGCCGGCUCUCUCUCUAGGAAAAGAAAGAAAACUUCUCCAAUUUUCAAGCUUCCAUCUAGUGCAAAUCAUCCAAACCAAGUGCUUAAAUUUGUUUCUACUCCAUAAAAUCCCUCCAUUUGGUGCUAGUAAGUGUUUUAUGGAAGUGUCCAAGGAAGCUAAGGUGUCCUACAACUCUCCCUCUCUUGUGUUCUAGGUAAGUGGUGAUUGAACUUCCUCCUACACCUAAUGAAGCUUAAGUUGUGCUUAGUGGUAGCUAAAGUGCUGAAAUUUGUGGUUUAUUUCUUGGUUUGAGAUAAAUUGAUGAAGUUUUCAAUUUAAUGGUGUAUUUUCUGGUUUAAUGUGAUCAUGAUGCUGUGGUUAUCUAUGAUGGUUGGUAAUGCAGGGUAAUGACUCUAGUAGGUGUACAUGAUUGGUAAUUGCAAGCAAUUUUGGGUUUGGAAGGAAUUUGAGAAAGUUAGGAUUUUAUAUCCCCAAUUCUGUCCGGUUUUGUAUCUCAUGGUUAGAGGCCGAAUUGGCCUUGGCUUAAAACAUUAAAGUUGUAGGUAUUGAUGUGUUAGAGGUUCCUACAAAAUUUCAGGUCAAUCGGAGUAGUGUAGAAUGAGUUAAGCCGAAAUUACUAUUGCUGUUCUGGGUUCAUCAGGAUGGCCGAACUGCGCCUGUAAUCGGCUAUUUUGACUGGAAUUGCUUUCGAUUUGGUUGUUGAGGUCUUCUGAUGAAAUGUAUCUUGAUGUCUUAGCUACCGCCUGCCUUUGGAAUCAAUGAAUUUGGACUUGUACAGACUGAGUUGGACUAAUUACAGCAUAGUGUAAUUUGUAAACCUGCAAUUAAGGUUCUGGUUUGGUAUUUUGCAUAUUUGACCUAGUUGUGCUAGGAUUUGGACUGAGUGUCCUUCUACAUUGUUGUAGCCCUGUCUUUUGGCUUCGAAAUGGUGGGUCUUGCACCCUCAUCCGACAAUCGUAGUGUCUUUGGUGCAAAACAACAUGACGUCAAAAACUGUUUUCUUGGGUUAAAGCUUAUUUCCAUUUCCGGAUUUUCUGGUUUUCCUUUAAUGCUUAUAUAUUCUUAUGGAACCUUAUUUUGGUAAUACUUGGCCUUGGUUAUGACUUGUAAACGAAUCUUAUUGUGUUUAUUUGAAUAGUUUUAAGGCUUGUUUUCAUUCCGAUCAUUUCCUAGCUAACUUUUGUACUUGUACUACUUUGAGCCUAGUGAACGGCUUUUGGGAAAUGAGAUGACUUUUGUGUGAGAUGUUGGGACUGAUUUGAGGUAAUAGUGAAGCCUUAAGGGCUGGAAAAGUAAGAAAUUUAGGGGAAGUGCUGCCCGAUUUUCUAGGCCGUUUGGUUCCUUUAAGUUGGAUUUGCCUUUUGGUAGAAAUGAAAGGCUUUUGGGCUGUUUGCGCCUAAGUCUUCAUGUUACCUUUUUGUUUCCAAGAAAAUCAUGUUUUGCACCCUUGCAUUAGUAUUUAUUUGGCAAGGCAUACGACGUGUAGUCGAGCCUCACUUGUGCAUUCCGUUUGCUCGAUUUGGAUAUGAAACCUUCAAUUGGUUUAUUUUGAUUAUUUUAGGGUUUCUUGGCGAUUAAGGCCAAUCUGAAGUGAAACUUUUGAAGUUGAGCCUGUGAGUGUACCACUCCCCUCCAUUGCUGUUUAACUUGAUUUCUGCUCUGCAAUCUGUUUAAUUUGUUUGAGACGAGAGUGUACUUUAUCACACUCGUUCUCUUGUUGUCUGUUCAUAUGCAAUUUACCAUGCAAAAUUUGAAUCUGUUAUCUGUGUCUGCAUCUGUUCGGAUUUCUAUGACCUAUGAGCUCAAUCCUGUGGCUAAGUUAUUCGAGUCGGGCCGGCAAGGGCCUGGACGAUUAGAUAACGAACCACGGUAGUCUGUUCGGGGAUUUUGGGUAUUGAGACCCUUGAUUCCGGGUAUACUCGAGUAUUACCAUUUCUGUUCGUUUGCGGUGAGCGGGCCCGGUAAAGGGGUGUUUGGUGAACGGGAUUCGGUGUAAAGAGGGGUCUACGGACGUUGGUUCUAUAUACGUUGGCGGAGUGUCAACUUCGAUCAAGCUUCGGUGACGCAAAUGGGAAUUUGGCUCCUGAGAGCCACCUGUAUCCUUUCUGUGUGAAUCAUUAGUUACUUUACUUUACAUCUAGCAUGUGUAUCUGAUUUGUUAAAUGUGAAAUGCCAUGAUUUUUCUGCUAUAUGUCUGGUACCUCAUUGAGCGCAAGCUCACCCCUUUCUGUUCCUUUUGUUUUCCUUACAGGAACCUCUUUUGGAAAUCAUGAUUUUGAAAAGCGAGUUGAGCUAGUUAGAUAAUCUUUUGUUCUUUUGUAUAGCUCCUCGAGGGGAAACAAACUCUAAAUGUACUUCGUUUCACUUGUUCCAUCUGAAUUGUAAACCUAGCGACAUGUAUAUAUGAAAAUGUUUUUUUUUUCCAUGUGAUUUUGGUAAGUUACUGUUAAGCUUGGCGGUUUUCAAUCAUUCAAUUCUUUUGGAUCCUAUCUCGUGUAAUAUCGGAUUUGUGUGAUUCGACUCCGUAGUCCUGGCGAGAGCUGGGCAGGCGGUCCGCCGAACCCUUUGGUUCGCCUUAGGGUAAGGUGGGGCUGUCACAUUUUUACUAUGAAUAUGCAAGUAUUGAUGGUUAUGUGAUAUUUCUUAACAAAUAAUGAAUUAUAUUUAAAUAAAGUCUUUUAAGUAUUUACUUAUUUUCUUAUUCUCAAUUAUGAAAAUAUGAUUUCUUUUUUAACUUUGGUAUCGAGUCUAGUACCUUCGGAUCCGUGAACCGCUUUGCCAAAUACCCGGUCAUUCGAGUACUCUAUGACCGUGGACACUGUUAUAAUUUAAUUUUUUGUUGAACCAAUAGAACUGGUUUGAGUUACAAAUCUGUUAGGCGGAAAGGGCACCCAACCCGUGAAAUAUAAUCACGGACUGAUGAUGACUCCUCUUUACUCUUUGUUCAUGGCUUAAGGCCCUUGUUAGUAGUUAUAUAAACUCAAAUCAAAGAUUCCAUCAAACUAAAAUCUCUAUUGGAGUCAUUUUACUAUUUUCUUUUGAAAAUAAAAACUAGCUAUUGACUUUUGGAUUAUAAGAUUGAUUUUUGGAGCAUGCAUAUUGAACGACAAUGCUCGAAUUUUCAACAAAAAAGAAAAAAAAACAACGAAAUAAAGCUAACACUGGUGACUAAUUAUAAAUUAUCAUUCUCUUUUUCCCUUUCACUUGAAAAUGAAAGAAACUAUUUUUGUGCUAACAAAAAUUUCUGUUCGACUUUAAUUUUUUUCCUUCCUUUUUUUUUUUGGCCCCUUAUAUGCUCUUUUUCUCUUGAAAAUUCCAAGAAAGUCUUACCUUAUGGAAAGCGAAAAUCUUUUAAAUUUUUUUUUUAAAAAAAAGUGGUCUAGGUGUAGGGUCCCUUUCUUAGUGGACAAUGCCGACACUGGUGCUUUUUACCCACGAAAUGAGAGUGAAAUAAUUCAUUCAAAAACCAUAAAGUAAUGAAUUAAAAAAUUAUUUGCUUUUUCUCAUGAUUCCAGCACUGUCACCACUAUGAUUGUUUGUUGAAUAAUUGAAUAUUCCACAAGAAAAAUACUUGCUAGGCGAGAUUUGUUAAUAUUUCUCCUUAUGCUACACUAAAAAUUUGAGCUCAUAUGUAAGUAGAUAUUAAUUAUAAUAUUUUCCUUGACGGAAUUUAAAAUAGAUGAUCAGUGUUAAUGUUAAAAAGUAUGUCUACAUAUCAUAAGGUUUAGGAGUAUUUUUUUUUUUAAUCAAACUACUUGAUUUGAUACUUUGAUCAAACAACUUGAGCUCAGUCAGUCAAUAUUGAGACAGUUUCGCUGCUAAAAUGCUGGUUUCCGAGAGAUUCAUUUGCAGUCUUACCUAAGAGAUAAAUACAACAUUAUAAAUACCUUAUUAAUUCAUUAUCUGUGUAUAAUAUUAUUAAAUUUAACCACAAGAGAAUAUGAAAAUGUUCUUGCGACAUAUAUCAAUUAGCCCAAAAUUGUUCAGGUCCCCGAAAAUCUGAAUAUAGUUGCUCACGCAUAUUAAAAAUGGAGCAGGUUAGAAUCACAAGGCUACAGAUCGAUUAUACAUUGUGGAUGAAAUCUUCUCCCAUCUAAAACAUUGCCCCUUAAAAGGCUAAAGCUUGAAUUAAGGAACAGGAAAAGGGACCGUCCAGUGGCCAUUCUUGACCAGAACACUAUCUGGUCUCCGUCAAUCUAUCGAAUUCUGCACAUGAAUGUGGAAGAAAGACUAAUGUUAAGAGUUCAAUUGAUUUUCAAUAGCUGUAACAGUAUAUUAUUGUAUUAGCAUGCAUUUCGGUUCUGACUCUUGAGACUUCUGACACUAAGUGCGUUUGAUAAAAUUGAAAUAUAAAAUAUAAAAUCAUUAAAUUAUUAAGUAUUAAAUCUGAUACAUUUGAAUGUAUAUCAUAUUAAGUGAUAAAUAAAUAAUUUAUUACUUAUUUUUUAUAAUAUAUUUGCCAAUUAAAUUUAGUACUAUUUAAUUAAUUCAGAUGUUUAAUUUUUGAUUAUCAAAUAUGUUUGAACCUGUUAAAAUCUGAAUCUAUUAAAUUUAAGUAUUAAAUUGAAUUAUUAAACAGGACCAAAAUCUCAACCAACUCGUGGAAGUUUUCAACAUAAAUAAUAAGAAUUGAUAUCAAACAUUUAAAAACAUGGGUAUGCCUUAGCCAUGAACCCCUGUGUUAAAAAGCAAGGAAAGGGAGGGUCCUCUGGCCGUGCUUGACCCGAAGAACAGCCAGUCCCCUUCUCUCAUUUUCCAAUGGACACCCUCAAUGUUGAAGAAAGAGUAAUGAGAAGACUUUCAAUUAAUUUCCAAUGGCUCAAGUAACACUGAAAUGGGCAAAUACUUGUGUCUGGAUAGGAGAUUAUUUCGGAUGAUUUUUUUUUUAAAUAUUGUAUCAGUUUUUUUAUAUAAUAUAUAUGAGAUAAAAAGAUAAUUAAAAAAUAUGUUUAUGAUACAAGUAAAUAAAUUAGUAUAAAUAAUUAGCGCGCAAUUAAGUCCUGACUCUUGAAAAGAAGUACUGCUGCUAAUUAGUAGAAUUCUUUACUUCUUUAAUCCAAUCAUUUUCUUUGACCAUUGUAUAUUGGUAACAUUAAUGCACUCAUUAAUUUUGAACGUUAUCAUUUUACUCUUUAUAGUUAUUAUCUUAGUGUUUAUAUUUAUUAUAAUUAGGACUGUCAAUGGGGUCAGGCCACCUGACCUCGGCUGGUUCGGCCCAAAACAAAUCCGAUGAACUCGACCUUUCACUGAGCCGAUUUGAGUUUGACCCUAAAAAUUGCACCUGAAUUAAAUAUGAGCCGAGUUUAGACCUCAUUAGGCUCAAAUCUAAUAUUGGUCCAGCCCUUAAAUUAGCUAUAUAUAUAAUAUAAUUAUAUAUUCAAAAAUAUUAUUACUAAAUAUUAAAUAUAUACAAAUUACAAAACACAAAAAUACAUUUGAAGACUUCUCUACUAACUUUCUUGAGAGCCGAUAUUGAUAUUGCGUGACUAAAAGUCUAACUUUUCUUAUUGGUUCAGUAAAUUUUUUGGUUGAUUUAUUUUUGGUCUAGUAACAUUAAUCAUCGAGCAUGUUUGGAUUUAAGUUACAAAGGUAUGAAGAAGUUCCAACUUUUGAAAAUGUAUUGGCUUAUGACCGCAUAUUUUAUUACUAUUUUUCAUAUACUUUGAACGAAUUAGAUAUAAAUAUUGUUGACAAAUUCUUGAUUUAUGUACUUUUUAAGAACUGUUACUUGUUCAUGUUUAGUUUUAAUGUUAUAGUCUUGUGAAUAUUAAAUUAGUUUUACAACUCAAUAGUUUUGGUAAUUAUAUAAGAAAAUUGAGGAGCAAUAAUUGAACUUGAACUAAGCCUGAAUAAGGCUCAAAAUCGGAAUAUUCUAUGAGUUGAAUAUAAUCAUCACAUUUAUUAACCCGAAGUUUGAAAGUGUUACAAAUUAAAUGAGUUGAAUCUGAACCUAUGAAAACCCGACUCAUAUGGCCUGAUUGACAAGCCUAAUUAUGAUAAUACAUAUAUUUUAUAAUACAAUUGAUGCUAGUAAUUGUAGAAAUCUCAAAUUCUCUGCAUCCAAAAUUUCAAGGGUUAAAGCCCUCAAAUUUUUUUCCUUCAACUCUUUACUUUGUUGGUCACGGUUAUUAAUCUCCUAGAUCAAUGGUCAUGAUUAUUAAUAGAAGGGAAUUAGGAGAGAAAGUGGUCAAAUUUUUAGUGAUUUGCUCAAGAAAGAAAACAAUUGAAGAAAAUUGGAGAGCUAGCUUGAAGAUUCAUGCUAAAAGAAAAAUAUGAAAAGAAAAACCAAAUAAAUCUAUAUUUGUGCUUAUAUCCAUACUCUCUAUAAAAGUCUCUUGGAUCAUUUAUAUUUUAAUGUUUCUUUAUUUUUUGAUCUUCGUCAAAUUCCCACAUUAAAUAAGAUAAUGUUAAACUGUAAUGUUUAGUAAUUGAAAUACUCACUUUUUUCAAAUAAUAUUUCGCUUGCAUCAUAAAUAUAUUUUUCAAUCAAUUUUUAUAUAUUUCUAAUCACGUUUUUAUCUUACAUACAUAACAUCAUAAAAAAUAUUAUAAUAAUUAUUCCAAAUAAUAUUUCAAAUAAUACUCUAUUCAUAUUUCAAACAUGGAUGAAUUAAAAUACUCAACCCUUACUCCACAUCUGCUAUCAAAACAAGGCUUCUUAAUUACGAAGUUUAACAAAUUAAACUGUGGAUAGUCGAUUUUUUCCUACUCACUGAUUGCCUCGUGACAAGAAGUGGAAUUAUUGCAAAAACAGGGGCUUACAAUAAUUGGAGAAGGGGCAGGAACGGUUACCGUUAUUUUAGGUUCAUGGUAAAGAUUUGAUAAAAAUAUAUAUAUAAGAUUCGGAUUGUAUCUUAUAUAUUAUUUUUCACAUCAUAUGUAAGACUUAUAAAAUUUUAUUGUAUAAUUACAUGUUAUUAAAAAUAAAUUACACCGUGUUCAUACAGAGUUACACGAUUGUGCAUUUUACACAAAACCAUUACACAAAACCUUCACGCCCUGCCCCUGUCUGUGGAGCCGGGACCCCAUUGUGUGGAAAUGUAAUACAAUAAUUCCCAAUAAUUCUAUGAAACCGGCCCACUGCUUAUCAAAGGUUCAGAAGCACUGAGCCCACCACUCGCAUAUGUCUGCUAAUACAACUUAUAUUCCACUUUAUAUUCCUCUCUAUUAUAAACGUAUAAUAAUGGAGUAACAAUGCUUAAAUUUUUCAAAGAAACAUUCAAUUUAUAAAGAUUAAAGUAAAACAAGUCUGAAUUGAGCAAUUGGUUAAUUUUUUACGCUUUUUCAGUAUAGGUGCAGGGACCUUUGCUAAUGGAAAAUACCAGAGUGGUUCUUCUCAACUCCAAUAUGAGUAUGAAAUAGUCCAAAAAUAAUAAACUUGUCAAUGAAAACUUCUUUAAUCUACUAAACACAAGAUGGCUUUAUGAUAAUUCCAACAUUUUCUCUUUUGCCUUGCUGAUCUUUUGUUUCUUACUCUGUUUGUUUGUUAAACAAUUGAGUACCUAAUUUCUUUUCUUCACUACCCUACAAAAAAAUAAUAAUAGAAAAUAAAAUGAAAGAAGAGUAAAUUUGAGGGAAGAAAGACUUGUUGGCCCUGGGGUGAGAUUUGUUUCUCCUUUACCUGUACUAAUAUUUGAGAGUAGACAAGUAUUUGAGGAUGAGAUCCUUCGAAUUUUUUUCAGAGUACAAAAUUAAUGUGUUUGUAAUACAACAUUGGUUAUCGAAAUGACCCAAUAGAAAAUGUUUCAAGAAUGCAUUUUUUUCUGUGAAAAGAAGUACUACUACUGAUUAGUAUAAAUUUUCACUUCUUUAAUCCAAUCAUCUUCUUUGACCAUUGUAUAUUGGUAACAUUAAUUUUGCAAGUUAUCGUUUUACUGUUUAUAUUUAUUAUCUUAGAGUUUACAUUUAUUAUUGUAAUGCAUAUAUUUUAUGAUAUAAUUGAUGCUAGUAAUUGCAGAAAUCCCAAAUUCUCUGCUUCCACAAUACCAAGGGUUGAAGAAGCCCUCAAUUAUUUUUCUCAUACUUUUUGCUUUGUUGGUCAUGGUUAUUAAUCUCCAAGAUCAAUGGUCAUGAUUAUUAAUACGAGAUAAUUAGAAGAGAAAGUGAUCAAAUUUAGUGGUUUGCUGAAGAAAGAAAACAAUGGAAGAAAAUUAGAGAGCUAGAUUGAAGGUUCAUUGUAUUUUGAUCAUUUAUAUUGUGACGUCUCUUGGAUCAUUUAUAUUUUGAUGUCUCUUUGUUUUCUGUUCUUCCUAAUUAUAAAGUUUAACAUAUUAAACUGUGGAUGCUUGAAGCAGAAAAAAAAAAACAAACAAUAAGCGUGUGGGAAUGGAAGGUGGAAUUAUUGCAAAAACAGAGACCCCACCGUGUGGGAAUGGAAUACAAUAAUAAUUCCCAAUAAUUCUAUGAAACUGGCCCCACUACUUGUGAAAGGUCUGCAAGUGGUUUUUUGCUUUAUUGAGGCAAUAUAAACGUAUAGUAGAGAGGGGGCUGAUCCGUCUGGGGUCCACCUUGAUGCCAAUUCCACCUAGUUGAAUGGUUGAUUAUCUCAAAAAAACAAAAAAGAAUGGUUGAUUAUCUCAAUACUCUCCUUCACCUUCUCACCAGAAACAAAUAAGAACAGCAAAAAAUUGUAAUUUUCAGGAAAGAAAUACUUUGCCAGCUCUGCAGUUAGUGAGAUUUGUUUCUCUCUUAAAUUUGAGAGUGAAACAGACGAAAAUCCCUCCAAAAGAGAUCGAGAUGGCCUCCACUUGCAGCGUCGAUCGUGUCUUACUUGGUCUAGAGUUGCUUCUGGACAGAUGCCGAGACAUUAAUUUUCUUUGUAUGGUAAUGAUACAGAUCCUUUGGAUGUUCGUGAUGCAAUCAAACAUAUGAAAUUUCUCAAAACAUUUCUUAUGUGUGCUAGAAAGUGGAGCCUUGUUCAUUUGUACUUGCAAUCUGACAAUGUUGUGAAGAAGGUGAGUCUUCCAUCUUUCUUAUCUUGUAUCGAAGAUACCCUUCACAAAUAUGAGGAGGAUAUUCACUCUCUUUCCCUUAGAUUAGGAACGGAAACAUUUGAAUGGGUUAUUCACAAUUCUAUUGUUGAUCGUGGAGUGUUCGGCGAAAUUGGGAAACAGAUCAUAGUACUCAAGCAAGAAAUCAUCCAAAUUUACUUUGCUUUGGCAAGCAGCAGGUCAUUUCAAUCAAAUUCUUGUAUGACAAAUGAUGAACUGUUGGAAUUCAUAGACCUCAUCCUCCAAAAUCUAGCAGAUUUGACAAAUGACUAUAUGAAUUGGGGAAUUAAAGGAUAUGAUCCUUUGCUCGCUGCUUUGAGUGCUCAAGUCCAAGAUCUUGAAGCAAAGCUGACAUUCUUGAAAAGCUUCAUUCCCUUUGCCAAAAUGCGAGGAACCGCAGAUAUUCCUGCCUUGCUACUGGCUCACUUUGAAGUGGUGGCUUUGACCGCAGCACGCCUCUCUUACAUGUGGUCCUUUUGGAAAAAUGUUGAGUACAGAAGUACUUGCAGCUUCAAACUCCUCAGCAUCAGAGCGGUUGAUUUUCAUGUCUACGAGAUUUAUAAGGAAGUACUUGCAGCUUCAAACUCCUCAGCAUCAUUACAUACAGCAGUGAUGGAUGAGCGGAUAUUGAACAACUUCAAUGAUUCUCUGAUAGGUCGUCUCUGGGAGUUGUUAUGCUGCAGCUCUAGCUUUGUGGAUUCUAUGAAAGAUGAAAUGCAAAUACUCUAUGCAGGACUGAGGUUUUUUAGAAGCAUUUUAAGGGAGCAUCAUGAGAUGAUGGAUGAACAAAAUGAAAAAAUUGGAGCUCUCCUGGGUGAGGCAGGCAGUAUAAUAUUCGCGCCCACUCUGAGCAGAGUGAUAGAAGGAGAAGUUAGCUUCUCAGGAUCCACCCAGGUUCUUGUUUUUGUGAUAUGCUGGCCAAUACCAACAUCCAUAUCAAGCAUUUUAAGGAUCAGAUCAGUGGCUCAAGAACUAUAGAGAGUCUUCCUAAUUCCUCUCAUAGCUUAAGAGCACCAGAAGUUAGCCAGACUUCCAGCCGCAUGCUAUCAAAAGGUAAAAUGCCAAUAGACCAUGAAGUCAUGGUUGGUCUUGAUGAUGAGGCAGAAAAAGUAAUUGAACCACUUAUCAAGCAUUUUGAGGAUCAGCUCAGUGUCUCAAGUACUAUACAGAGUCUUCCUAAUUCCUCUCAUAGCUUAAGAGCACCAGAAGUUAGCCAGACUUCCAGCCGCAUGCUAUCAAAAGGUAAAAUGCCAAUAGACCAUGAAGUCAUGGUUGGUCUUGAUGAUGAUGCAGCAAAAGUAAUUGAACGACUUGUAAGCGGAUCAAAACAGGUGGAAAUUGUUCCCAUUGUGGGAAUGGCUGGGCUUGGUAAGACAACUUUAGCCAAAAAGGUUUACAAUGAUAAUUCAAUUAUCUAUAACUUCCACAUUCGCCUUUGGUGUACUGUUUCUCAGGAAUAUAACAAGAAAAGCUUGUUAACACAAAUUUUGUGUUCUGAUGGAAAACACUCUAGGAUGGAUAAGUUUCAAAAUCUGGAUGAAGAUGACUUGCUUGAAAAGCUCUAUCAAAGGCUAUUGAAGAAUCGGUAUCUUGUUGUUUUUGAUGAUGUCUGGGACAUUGAGGUAUGGAAUGGGCUGAGAACUGCAUUCCCAAUGACAAGAAUGGAAGUAGAAUCAUCUUUACGAGUCGAUCUUCUAAUGUAGCUUCAGAGGUUCAAUAUGGUGGAGAACCUCACUAUCUUCACCCACUCAGUGAGAAAAAAGUUUUGAAUUGCUGCAGAAGAAGGUGUUUGGAGAAGAAGAAGAAUGUCCUCAAGCAUUGCAUGGAUUGGGAAUGGAGAUUGCUGAAAAGUGCUGGGGAUUGCCACUUGCACUUGUUGUUGUAGCUGGAGUCCUAGCAACUAUAGAGCAUGAUAUUUUGGUUUGGAGAAGUUUGCUGAAAGUUUAACUUCAACCAUGGUGUCUGGUACAGACCAGUGGAAGAAGACAUUGGAGCUCAGUUAUGAGCAUUUACCAUAUCACUUGAAAGGCAUGCUUGCUGUAUUUUGCUGCAUUUCGAGAAGAUGAAAAAAUUGGUGCCAAGAAGUUGAUGCGUCUCUGGAUUGCAGAAGGGUUUCGUGGAAAAAAUUGAAGGAAAGAGAUCAGAGGUCAUUGCAGAAGAAUAUCUGAUGGACCUUAUUGGCCGAAACCUGGUUAUGGUAAGUAAAAGCAGAUCCAUUGGUGGAGUCAAAACUUGUUACAUUCACGAUUUGAUAUUUGAGUUCUGUAAGGGCGAGGCGAAAGAAAAGAAAUUCCUUCAGGUCCUGCGAGGAUAUGAUGAGCUUUCUACCUUUAAUGAGCCUCCCAACCUACCUCGGUUGUCCAUUUGCUCCAGUAAAGAAGAUUUUAUACAGUCAAGGCUAUUUUGUCCGCAUUUAGCCAGCCUGCUAUUAUUUGAUGCUACUCCAGGAUAUAAGAAUUUUAAGUUGCUUAAUAUCUCCUUCAUUUUUUGCAUCUACAAACAUCUUAACGUUUUGAAUUUAGAGGGCAUUAACCUAAGGCUGAAGGAGCUUCCAGCUGAAGUCGAAUCACUUCUUUGUUUGAGGUACUUAGCCCUUACAGCUCUGGAAAUGGAAUUCAUUCCACCAUCUAUAGCCAAGCUCUCACAUUUGGAAACCUUUUGUCUAUAUUCUAAUCGGAUGGUUUCAUUGCCAGAUAGCAUCUGGAACAUGAAGAAGUUGAGGCAUGUAUUUUGUGGCUGGCGUCGUUAUUGGUCUUUCUUCCAAUGACAACGUUGUUGAAAACCUCUCCACUUUACCCAAUUUAGACACACUCUCUCGUUUGCGUCUUUAUAAAGAGGGAGAGAACUUAUUGAGAAGGAUUCCCAACGUUCGCCGACUUAAAAUUAUCGAUCAUCAGACUGGAGUGUUGAACAUGAGUCGACUAGAAUGCCUAGAAUCACUCACCUGGUUGGGCAAUUACUCCUCACGUUCACGGGUACAUGUUGAGCUUUCCUUUCCCAUGAAUUUGAAGAAAUUGUGUCUUCACAAUCUGGGUCUUCCCUGUAGUAAAAUGUCAUUGGUUGAACAACUACCCAACCUUGAAGUCCUCAAGUUAAGAUGGCGUUGUCAAGGGACGGCGGCCAAAGAUGGGAGCUGAUGGAAGGAGGAUUCCCUAAACUCAGGGUCUUGACCUUGGAAGAAGUACAGGUUGUGGAGUGGACAGAGGCAGACCCUAACAGUGGUGAAUUACUUCCCGUGCCUUCAGCAAUUAAAACUCCACAAAAUUUUUAAUUUGAAAAUGAUGCCUGCUUGUUUAGGAGUACAUCUACUCUUGAAACAAUUAAUGUGAGUUCUUGCGGAGAUGGCGUCAAAUCUUUAGUACGGGAAAUUAAAGCAGCACAGGAAGAUAAUUAUGGAGAUGGGAAUCUGAAGAUCAUUUAUGGAAAAUAUUGAAGGGCAUCAGCUGGUGCAAUAUCUGGUAAUUUUUUUUGUUGUCAUCACCAUCAAUUGGCUUGUAGAAAUAAUCAUGCUUUUUAUUUUUAAACAAGUUUAAUUUAUAUUUACCAUUUGGUAGCUUUUUUGUACUUCAGUUGCCUGUAAUGCAUGCACGAGCACAUUGAAAUUGAUGAACAAACAACUAAUUAUUGCUCUAUUUUUUCUCUUGAUGAUAUCAUCAGGGAGAGCUUUUUGCGCUACGGUGGUUUUCCCUCUUGAGAUUGUAAUUGGUGGUCUGGUUUUCUUUGGUGCUUUUGUGGAAGAUUGAGGUAAAAGUUGGAAAGGAUCGACGGCUCUUUUCUUGUCAAGAUAUGGUGGAAACAAUCAAUGAGAUUAUUCAGAUAUUUUGCUGUUGGCCUAUUUUGUGUAAUUUCGUUUUGCUGAAUUUAAUGAUGGUUUUGUGCUAUUUCUUUUCAAACAUGUGUCAAUUUGCCGUCAAGGAACUUUGUUAUCUUUUUUUUUUCUUUUUUUCUAUUUGAGUUUCAAACUCCAUCAUUUUUUUGAUGUUUGAGCUCAUGAUUCUUGGAAGAAUAUGAUAGCCCAAUUUGGAAACCUCUAUGAUCAUCUCUUUUCUGCUCAAUCUUAGGUUUGGAUUUAGGAUAUCCAACUUUGAGAUUUGCUUAAUUUUCAGAAUCACAUUUCACUUCUUCAAGUUGGAGAAUUUUUGCAAAGAAUGAAGAAGUAUGGGACUUGAGUUCCUUUAAGAAGGAUGUCUGCAACUUGGUUUUUCUGCUGCUUGAGCUAAUUGCUCGAAAGGGCAUUAGUAAAAUAAUUGAUUCUCCAAAGAGCUUUAAAUGUGAUAUGUUUUAGAUGAUAUAUAGAGCUAGGGAUAAAAUACCCAAAUUGAAGAGAAAACAAGUAUAAAUUUCACAAUUGUACAAUGGGCCGAUGCCUUUAUUUAUGCGCUAUGUCAAGUGAGUACAAUGAAUUUUGGGCUAAUUAACAUAUAAUCAAAAGAAAAAAAAUGAGAUUUGGAGAUUUUCAUAGUUAAAAAAAAAAAAAAAGAGCAGCUAACUAAAUUCUUCGUGAUGCAUGAAUGAAUGAAAUUUCACUCUUUCUAAAUACAUGAAUGAAAUUUAAUUGGAUAAAAUAGGAACUGUUUCACGUAUGCAUUUCUCUAUUUCCUAAUCUCAACUAGAUGAUUUGUUCUGAAUACUUGUGAUGAGAAUGGACUACAACUCGCAAUCUAUUUUCGCUUCUCUAUUUAUUGCGAAUCAAUGGAAAAUUUCUCUUUACUACUACUUGAUAACACUUUGUGGUAGUAUAUCAAGGCUAUAAAUGAGCAUGGUAUUUUUACAGAACUUCCAAAGGUGAGAUUAUGAUUUUUUUCACAGCAAAUCAUGUCUCAAUUAGUCUUUUAUAGGUUAGGGAUAUUAACUGUCAGUUAAUAAUCUUUUCAAGUCAUGCCCCACUUUCAUCACGCAUGCUGGCUGAGGCUUACUUUACUUUAACCAAAUGAGAAAGUAAGGCUAACAAGUAACAACAACGUGGUUCUACUUGCAAAAACUAGGACACGCAGAAGGUCCAAGUCUUGGGUUCCGUUUGAUAAAAUUGAAUCUGAAUUCUGAAGUCUGAAUUCUGAAAUCUGAAUACUGAAAUAACUAAUUUGCUGAAUUUUAAGCACUGAAAAGAAAUAUAUGAAUGUCUGAAUUUUAAUGCUAAACCUAUUUAUACUGUUUGAUAAAUAUUUAUAACUAAAUGCUUAAUAAGUUAAAUUUGACAAUUUUGCCCUUAUAUCUUUUCAUCCAAAAAAGAAAUAGAACCCAUGAUUUAAUUAGCUAAAAAUGUUAGGUAUGAAAAUAACAAUAUUUAUUUUUAAAUCAAAUUAAUAUAAAAGAUGAAAUAUAUUAUAUGAGGAGUAUGCAGAAGAUGUGAAAGUCAUUCAAAAGGGAGAAAAAAGAAAUAGAAAAUCAUUAGAUAGAGAAUAUUAGGUUGUUUAAUUAGAUAAGAAUUUUGAACAUAAUUAACAAAUAAGGGUAGAUUUGAUAGAUAAGAUAAGGUAAUUGAAGUAAUUUUAUUGAUUCUUAUUAGAAUUAAGCAUUCAAUUAGGAUUCUUGUGCUAAAAAAAAAUACACACAAGUUCACCACUACUUAAAAAAUUCAGCAAAUGGAUUUUCAUUUAUCAAACAGUUAAAACAUCUAAAUGUCUGAAAAAAUUCAGAUUCAACACUUUUUUAUGUUAGCAAACAUACCCUUACCUAACGAAAAAUGAACAAAUUUGUAAGACGAUGUCAGAUUGGCCCUUCUCAACUAUAAAAAUGAUUAAUCAUCUAAUUGUGAAUCUAAAAUACAAAAUAUGAUAGAAUUUGUUGACAUCACUUUAGACGGAUUUUCCUCUCUAAUGAAUUCUCUCUUCAUUUCCUACGAUGCACGUUUAGAUGUAUGACACACGUCUUUAAUUACUAGGAAAAGAUAUGGUCAUUUUAAAUUUGACUAAUUCUAACUCUUAUUAAUAAAUGAGAAUACAUGUCAUACAUCUAUACGAGUACUGCAAAAAAUGGAGAGAGAAUCAACUAGAGAUGAACCAAGUCCCACUUUCGCUUGGUUUUCAAUUUUGGCGCUUUUGUAUUCCGUGGAUCUUUACAAUACAAAAUAUGAUUGCUUUUGGUCUGUGAAGGUAUUACUAUCAUUUAGAGUGAAAUUGCUCUGGCAAGAAUUCUAUACUUUGCUACCAAGACGUACUAUCGAUAAGGUUUGGUUAAACAAAUGAUUUAUAUGUUUUGUUGGAGGAGAAAAUUGAUAGCAAUAUGAAAUUUCAAUAGUUAAUUUCUAUUCUUUUUAAUUAAUUUUAAAAAUUUAUCUUAGUACCUAUUCCUAAAACAAAUGCCCACUAUGUGCAACGCUUAUGCUCCUAUGCUAAUUUCAUCAAAAUAGAUCUUAUAAAUUUUAGUUAUAAACUUAACAAUUUUCAUUUGAAGUUUAAAAACACCAUGUAGGAUAAUUUUUAUAGGCUUUUCAACGGUGUUUUGUUAUAUUUGCGACCAAAAGUAUAUUCAUGACUUCCUUCUUCAACAUUUUUACUCUAACCUAGUCUUUUUUUUUUCGGAGACAAUAAUUAUUGUAUAAUCUAUUCUAUCCUAGUCUUUUUACUCUAACCUUGGGUUUGGAUUGUAAAUUAUUUGAAAUAAUUUUGUGAAAAAGUAUUGUAGCAUUUUUUUGGAUAUGAUGUAUGUGAGAUAAAAAGGUGAUUGAAAAAUAUGUUGAUGAUGCAAGCAAAUCAGUGUGUGUAAAUAAGGUGUAAAUAAAAUGAAAUGGAAGACAAUCCAGUGACUUUUAUGUUUUUCGCAAAUACAUUUUUCAAUUACUUUUUUGAUGCAUACAUUAAAUUGCUAUAAUACAUUUUUCAAGAAAAAACUUCAAAAAAAUAGAAAUUCGAACAUAACUAUUUCGUAUAUUACAAUUCUUUCAAGAGCAUUUGAUACACUAAAAUUCUCAUUAUAUAAGAAGCCACAUUGUGAUACAUUUCAAAUUCUCUAAAGGCAGAAAACUAUGAUGUGAUUUGUCUACCACAUAUGGGGCAAAGUACAAAUCAAAGAAAAUGUAGGAAGAACAAGUCUUGGUUCCUCCUAUGACAAAAUAAUUUCAUUAUUAGUUCCCCAUAUUUCAUCUUUACCAUACAUGAUUCUUUAAGGUAUAAAUAAUUUAACUUUAGUCCUUUACCUUUUAAAUUUUUAAAUUCGAUCUCUUAUCUUUAUGAAAUUUGCACUUCAAGUCCACUCCUCCAGCAUCCAACAUGCUUUUCAAGAGUAUAAUGUUAGAAAUAAGAGGGAUCAAAUAUGUCAAGAAAAAUUAAGAAUUGAAGAUCUAAAUGAGAAGUAUGCAAUUCUUAAGGAAGAAAAUAUUAUCUAAAGUGAAACAUACUAGGCUAUAGUAAGACUAGCCAAGCAUGCAUAGGCCUAAAACUGCAAUUUUUACUCGUAUUCUAUCCAUCAAUAUGUUCUUUACCCUUUGCGCUUAGAAUAAAGCUUGAUAGUUGAUACAUGAUUUGUAUAUAUCUCAACUCGUUUAUUGAAGUAAAGCUUUAACUUUUAUUUUGUUUCAUAUUAGUAAUUAUCGAGUAUCUUAAUUAACUCAAUUGUAGAUAUUUGAAUGUAGAUAUUAAGAGAAAGUUGAAAACAUAUUUCGCUUUUAGAGAAAAUGAGGAACUUACUUUGCUACAUUAGCCCAGUGAACUCAAAAAAGAUUUUACAACAUAUGACCAUCAUUUUUUGGUGUAUAAAAUGUACAAACGAAUAUUUCUAGUUUAAAGUCUUCGUUUAAAUAGAAUUAAUAUUCUUAUGGAAGAAAUAGCAAGAGAAGUUAGACAUUCAAAUUAGAUACAAGUGUAUAAUGUGAACAAGCAUAUUGAUUAUAACAUAUUUGUGCAUUUUUCCUAAGCUUCAUUAAUACAUUCAUACCCUUUUAGAUUCAUUCUUAGAUCCAUGUACGCGUGACCACCUGGCGUGGGCACGUUUAACUGCCUUAGAAUCCGCAGAUUCUCGACUUCCAACCCUUUUCCCCAGACGUGACCACCUGGCGUGGGCACGCCUAAAUGCCAAUUCCCUGUCACCAAACAUCAAACUAUUAAUUGCUACCAACACCUAACUAAAACUUCAAAAAUGCAUGAAAACUGAAACAAAUAGUCUUGGGUUGCCUCCCAAGUAGCGCCUUUCUUUAAUGUCUUUGGCUAGACAUUUUCAUGUGUAUUCAUGGAGGAUAAAAUCUUGUGGUUCGUUUCAGUGCUUCAUCUUCUAUGUAAUCCUGAUAGCCCUCGUAAAUAGAGUAAUUCUUGGGCACACGAGCUACGGGCUUCCAUGGACUAGUAAAUGGCACCAAACAAACAAGUGAUGAUCUUAAAUCUUCACUCACUCCUCCAUCAAGAGCACUUAUGGGUUCGAGAUAUUUUGCCAUCAUGACUCUUAAUUUAUUCCUGGCAUGAAAUUCAAAAUCGUCUGGUAUAAUAAAAUCAAUCUCACUAACAGGAAUUAAAGAAUAAGAGUCAGGAAAAUAUUGAUCAAGGAAUGGAGGAGAUGUCACCGCAUUUGGAGAUUGUUCACUGGAUUCAUUCACUUGAACCAUUUGAUGUUGGGGUCUUAAUUCUUGCUCUUUAACUUUCUUUUCAACUACAUCUUUAGAUUCUUCUUCUUGAGACUCUUGCAGUACCAUGUCAUUUGUCAGAAUAAUUGCACUCUCAUCUUCCUCAUGGUCGAUAAUAGUCGGUGAGGGCAAUUCUUCAUAAACUGGUGAAAUCAAUUUGCUCAUUUUAAAUGCCCAUUCAAGCCUUGCUUCUUUCAUCUCUUUACUCAUCCUUUGUGUCUCCUGUUGAAGUUGAUGUACCUCCUGUUGAAUUUGAUAUGUGUUAGUAACUAUUAAUUCAACUAUUUCUUCAAGAGACAUACCUGACAUGGAUGACGGUUCUUGAGACUCAUACUGCUGAAAAUUCAUUGGCCCUGUUGUAUAAUUAUAACUGGAGUUAUCCCACCAUCCUUGAUCAUACCCGUUUGGAUUAGGGUUAUACCACGUUUGAGACCAUGGUGAAAAAUCUCCAUAAUUAUUGAGUGGGACACUCAGAUUAUCUUGAUAUUCGGGGCACAUACCGGUCGAAUGAUCCAUGGCAUAACAAAUUUCACAGGUUGCAGCAGCCAUUCUUUCUCUAAUAGAGUUUAGUGCCUCUAAAUAUGCAAACUUAGAAAAAAAUCAGUCUCAUUGCCUUCCUCGAAAACAAAAUCCAGUAAAUCACCAAAAUACGGAGUGUUAGAAGCCAUAAACUAUAUAAUAAAAAAAAUAAGAGAAAUAAAUUAAAAAUGAAAAUAAGGUGAACUCAAAAAGAAACAAAUUAAUCCGACACCAGUCCCCGGCAACGGCGCCAAAAAUUGACAGGGUGUCAAACCUGUGCAAUAAUAAAUACCUGCUUAAAUAAAAUAUAAUUUCUAUAGAUAGUGAUAAGCAGGGUCAAAUCCACAGGGACUGGGGAUAAUUUAUUUCUUUUAGAGUCCGAAGUAUGGGGGGUUUUUGAAAAUGAGAGUAACUAAAUUACUUGGAAUAAAUUAAAAUAAAAUAAAAUAACUACAACUCAAAUAACUAAUUAUCACAAUAAAAAUAAUAAUGGACGAACUCUAGUCAAGAGACAACUUCGGAGAUGGUUCACUUAAUUCGAUCACAGAUGCAAGGAUUAUUCCAGUUACUAUCUGAUAAAUUAGUUAUAGUUGUCAUACACGCGAUAAACAACCAACUCUUCCUCAAUUUGUCGAUAGCCAAGGUACGACCGUUGACUAUUUCUCUAAUCAGGAAACAACCCUAGGUACGACCAUAGAAGUUUAAUUCCCUAAUUGCAUGAAUAAUUAGAAGAGCCUAAUUCUAACCAAUCAACACGCUACGAGGGUCUCUUUAAGUUAGCAUGUCUAUCUCCCUGACACAAAUCCAAUCAUGCCAGUUGCCACCAGUUUAGAAUAAUUAAACAAUUACGAAUUUAACUACCCUAAUUGGCUUCAGGUUAUUGAAUUAAUCUAGAAUCCGGGCCCUGGAUAAUCGAAUAAUAAAACAACCAUAUGAACAUAAAGCAGAAGAUAGACAAAUACCAGUGAAUAAUGGAAAUAAAUAAAAACUAAUUCGAACUCACAAAUUUAGUAGAACCAAAUCCUUCGUUGUUCUUGACUAGACAAACUUAGCCACGCCUCAUGAGAAAAUCUUCAAGUAAUUCCACUGAGGUCCAGGCCAUCAAAAGAGCCAAGAAAGAAACAAAACUAAACUACGCUAAAAGCUAAGCUAAAACUAUUCCUCCUAGCCGCCUGUACGUUUCUUCCUUUUUAAAGCCAAAAUGACUAAUCCCUAAUGCUUUCUCUCCGUGGUCCCCGCCGAAAUUUAGAGUCAAAGUCCAAGAAGGGAACUCUACCGAAUUGAGAGAAACCAAGUCCACAAGGUGGGUCCUGCCGAAUUGCUUCUUGUUUCCCAUCUCUGUACGUUACUUCUCUUAAAGGCCAAAUGAAGAAAAGCCUUUUCUCCACUCGUGGUCCCCACCGAAAACAAGAGUCCCAAGUUACAAAAGUAGCUCUGCCAAAUUCUCUCCUUUUGUUUUCUAUUGCUCAUCAGCAACCGAAAUUUUUGUUCUCUUGCAGCACCAUGUGGGCCCAACUUGUAAAUCCGCUGGAGGCUCUAAUGUGUGGAGAAUUUUUCUCAGUAAAAUCUCCUUAUUAGCAUUUGUCAGUUCAACUUCCUGUAGAUAGGUCCAAAUACCAAAUAUAAGUAUAUAUUAACAAUUUAAAACAAUAUUUGGUAGGGACAAGGGAAAAUUAACAAUAAAAUUACUAACAAUUAACACCCUAUUACUAAUGUGUUUCUUUGUGUGAAGGCACUAAUGUGUAUCUCUAUAUCCAUGCUAGGGCUGCAAGUUGCAGCGCAAUCGAAUUGAGUUUAGCCGAGUUCGACUCAAUUUUGACUAGGCUCAAAAUCGAACUCGAGUUUGACCAAUUUUCAUUUUAAAACUUGAACUCGAGUUUAAAUUCGAACUCUAAGUCAAGCCUAAUCGAGUUCAAGUUUGAGAAUAAUCGAACUCAAAUAAAAUAAAAAAUAAUUUUUGUUUCUUCUAAAAUGGAUGAAAUAUCAAUUUCAUCCUAAUAAAUUAAAAAUAUAAGGAACAUAAAUUUAAUCUCACUAUUAAAAAAUAAAAUAUUUAUAAUAUAUAAAUUCAAACUGACUCGACGAGUUAACGAGUCAAGUAUCUGUGUACUCGACUCGACUUGACUCGACUACCUCGCCAAACCAACUCGAUUCAAGUGUUCACUAAACUCGAGUCAAUCUUUAACCGAGCUGAUUUACAAGCGCUUGCGAAUCGGCUUGAUUCAUUUGUAACCCUAAUCCAUGCACACGAAGUUUACUUAAAUAAUUGGUCUUGUAGCCUAGCCUUAUUGCAAUAUCAAGUAAAUUACUUAGUGUGCACGAAAUAUUCCAAAUUUCCAUUCGUAUUAGGUUGUAUACGGAAGAAGAUAAUGGAGAUGUGCAAGAUUUACAAAUUCCUUUUCAAGUUGAGAGAAGAACUGCGCUGGUUAUGUUAUCAUUUAUUGCAUCAAGUAUUGUUGAGCAAGUUAGAAGAGUUCCAUUGGCCAUAAUAUUCUACUAUUUCCUAGGAACUUAUUGCCUCUCUCGGUUGGGUUUUGCCCUUUUCUUUGCCAGUUUCAACUUAAAGGUCAAAGCAUAUCUAGUUGUGAUACCAAGCCCAACACCCUUACUGCAUCGUCAUUUAGCCCAACAAGUCUUUGAGGUUGCUUGGUGUCUUUGCAUUUGCAUGGAAUUUAUGUAAUAAGCUUAAACUCAGAGCCUAAUGUAAUACAAAUGAACUUUCACUGGGAAGGGGCUCAUUUGCCAAAACCCGGCCGCUUUCCAAAACUCUCUUUCGCUCUCUCAUAAAAUUAGUUAGUUAUUUGAUUAUAAGUAAAUGAGCAAAGAAUUGAAAAAGAAAACCGCUAUUGAUUACACAGUACGAUCCCAAAUGCCUACAAGCCAAUGGUGUGGCACUAUUAUUUUAGCACUAUACCUUUACUUUUUACUUUGAUUUCAUUUUCAUUCUCACAAAAUCACAUCACAUCAUCCCUCAUGACCACGGACCAGCCAGUCAAACCGGUUGAACUAAAUAGGAACGGACAAUUUGAUCCGAUUUGAACCAUUUAGUUAAAAUGUAAAACAAACAACUCAAUGAGAAAAUUGAGAAUUUUUCCUCCUUUCUAUUUCAAUUUCAAUGAGAAAAUUAUGUCACUUUUAUAUUGGGCUAGUGCUUUUAUUUUACCAAAGGGAGUGAUAAAAAAAAAUAGAAAGUCCCAUGUCUUCUUUCCUUUGGGCUGGGGAGGUAAAGAGGCAUUAUGGAACAAAAAAUAUUUGUUGGGGAGAUAUAUGUAAACCUACAAAGGAAGGCCGGUUGGGACUGCAUGAUCUAAUCAUAUGGAACCAAUGUCUAAUACUCAAGCAGAUCUAGAACAUUUGCUCCAAGAAGGACAAUACAUGGGUAAAAUGGGUGCACACCAUUCACCUUAAGAAGACUUCAUUCUGGGGUGCCAAAAUACCAUGCGACAGUUCUUGGAUCUAGAGGAAAAUCCUUAAACUAAGGCACAAAGCCCAACAUCAUAUCAAGCAGGUGAUAGGUAAUGGCUAUGAUCAAUGGCAUCCUGUUGGGCCACUAUACCAGAAUUUUGGUGUGCCUCUACUGUCAAGUCUUGGAUUAACUAGAUAUGACCUUGUUGCUAAGUGUAUGCAAGGUGUUGAAUGGAGAUGGCCAUGUAGGAGAUACUACGAUUUGGUUCCCAAGGGGUUAAUACCACUUUGUCCCCCCAAACUUUGAAUGAUUAUCCACUUCAGUCCUUAAAUUUCAAAAUAGGACAUUUAAGUUCCUAAACUUAUAAAUACCUCCCACUUAAGGAAAAUUGUUAACAAAUACUAAAUGCUGUUGGUGGUCGAAGUGUCCCAUUUUAUAAGGGUUUAGGGAUUUAAGUGUCCUAUUUUAUAAGUUUAGGGAUUUAAGUGGGAGGUAUUUAUAAGUUUAGGUACUUAAGUGUCCCAUUUUGAAGUUUAGGGACUGAAAUGGGUAAUCAUCCAAAAUUUGGGAGGACAAAGUGAAAUUAACCCGUUCCGAAGUAGUUCUGGCACAUACAGUGCACAGUCUGCUUUGAAGGUUCUUAGGCUCACUUCACAAGAAGUCUCUUGGCACAGACUUGUAUGGAAUAAGGGGUUCAUUCCAAGAUUCUCAUUUAUCCUUUGGUUGUUAUGCAAGAACAGACUACAUACCAAGGAUAGAAUGAAAAAGUGGUGAAGAUUAAGUGGUAAUGUUGAAUGUGUGUUGUGCAGUGGUAUGGAGGAAUCGAUGAAUCACAUCUUCUUUGAAUGUUCUUUUUGAGCUGCCGUUUGGUAGAAAAUACUAAAAAUGGUUUCAUUCUUCAGAGAUCCUUUGCUAAAAUGCUCUUCUAAGUGCCAAGAAUAAAUACUAAAAUGUAAGAAAAAAUACAAAAAAGUAAUAGCAAAAUAAUAAAAAUACAAAAGAGUAAUAGCAAAAUAAUUCCUUCAUUCUUGUGAUGCUAACUAAGUGAGUAAAUUAGGGAAACAUUGGCUGAUAGGUGGGCGAAGUUUUAAGUGCUAACGACAAAAGUUUAGAAUUUGAUUUAUUUUGAAAUAUGUUACUAAAGAAAAUUAGGUUCUGUGUGGAUUAUUGCUCAUUAUGCACUUUUUAGGUCUUUUUUGCCUUCAAUAAUUCCGCCCACUACAAGGUGUGACUAACUCAUGCAGUUUCCUACCAAUACAAAAUCAAAGAACUAGGAAUUCUAAAGCUAAAUUAAAUCCAUUUCUUCUAGUUCUCCUUUCCCCCCUUUUCUUAAAUCUCACUCUUUUCCUGCUGAAAAAUAAGAAAAAAGUCCAUUUCAUCCUAAAUUCACACAAAAUUCAUACAUAUUUAAGUCCUUAAUACUAAUACUGCAAGUCUUUUGGCAUCGCAAGCGUGAAUUAGAAUUACAAAGAUUUUGUUUGAAGCUAAAGCAUCUAAUGAAAACCUCUGGAGUUUUACUGCGCUGCAUGAGGAAUCUUGAAGCAUGUCCGAAUUGCAACAUCAAAUAACUGAAUUCUGCUUCUCAACGUGACCUUAAAGCACAACAAAACUAUAACUGUUACGUUUGACAUGCCUUUUCCUAACAACUACUUUGCUUUUUUUUCAUUUAAAAAUGCUUAUCAAUCUCUCAAGUAUUGCACAAAAAAUCAUCUAUGAGUUCAGACUCACAAGUUCGAAACAUCGAAAUUUCGCUACAAACCCUCAUCAAAAGCUGGAAUAGAAGACAAAAAUGGCGAAUUUUCGUCAAGAAUGGAGAAAAGCAAGAAGUAUCAAGAUCUUCAUGGAGAGCCCAUUUGUCUAAUUUCCUAGAAUCAACUUACCUUCGAAUUUUUACAAUUUUUUUACUUGUCAUAGAUCUCAUAUUGACUAGUCUUGAACUUUCUUCGUCUCAUGCCCAAAAAAGAAGAAUUUUGAAGCAGAAGAAGUUUGGUUUCAUUGGGUAGGUAUUGCAAUCUUGAGUUUGCUGUGUGUGAAAAGUCUGGCUCUUUUUGUGGGGCUAGGAAGGUCAUUUAUUCUAAGGCCUGGUUAUGUUCUUGAUUGUAUUGUUGUGAUGGUGGCUCUAAUUUUGGAAGCAUUUUUGGAGAGAAAAGGAGGAGGAUUGGUUGUGGUGAUGAGUUUGUGGAGGGUUUUGAGGGUUGUGGAGAGUGCAUUUGAGCUUAGUGAUGAGGCCAUUGAAGCACAGAUUGAGCUGAUUGUUUGCCAAUUUGAGGCACUUAAGCAUGAAAAUGCAAGACUUAUGGAAAUUAUUGUGGAGAAAGAUAUGAUCAUAGAGAAGUUAGAAGAAGAAAUAGAUAAGUCCAAGCAUGGUUAAUUGUUCAUGAAAGUUUUAUAGUAUGCUUUCGGCAUCAGAAGACUGAUCUCUUUGAACACAAAAAGACACCUUUAGAGCAUUAUUUAUUUAUCACCACCGCCACUACUAUCAUCAUCAUCAUCAUCUGUUAAGGACAAUGUCAAAGUAUUGGACUUUAUAGAUGUAUGCAAUAAAAUGGUUGUAAGAGUACGUCUUUUAAGAAAUUUUCUGAAAACUAAUUGCAAAUGUAAAUAGAGAAUAAAUUUAACGGAUCUAUGCAUAAUAACAUCAAGCCAAAUGAUAAGUUUAUUAGUUCUUAUUAUUGAGGAAAGAUUGAAGAUCUUCAUUACAUACUUUAUAGGACUGCAAAAUAGAAAACCAAAAUUUUCAACCUUAAUUUGAUAAAGAACACAAGAUAAGUUUGGUUGAUUCUAUCAAAAUAGCCACGAUUUAAUGGCCAUAUUUUAAUGAACUUGUAGCCUUGUAGGUAAGUGCAUUUCUUUUAAAUUUAGCUAACAAUCCAUUAGAAUGAUUUAGAUUCUGUCUUUGGGCUGAUCCAUCAUUAUGUUUCUACUACUUGAUAAGUGUCAACUAAUCCUAUAUUACACAAGACUAUGUAUGCUCUUGAUCUUCACGCUCCAUGCUCAAAAAUUGUGUGAACUGCAAACUAUAGAUGUUCAUUGAUUUUCUAGGUCCUUUUGCUUGAUAUUACUCUUUUCAUCUCACUUUGAUAGUUUUAGUUUUUAGUUUCACAUAAUUUAAGUAAAAUUAGUUAACCUUGUUGCAAAAAUAAAUCUAGCCUAAUAUUUUUCUAAAAUAUCCUUUCAUUAAUAUUACACUAUAUCUUUAUAUAUAUAUUUUUUGCUUUGAGGACUCGGUAUCCCCACCCUUAGUGAGACUAAUUCGGAUUCGGUUUGAGAACCGCUUGCAAAAUUCGACUCUUAUUUAGGAGUGAAGGUCUGACCCAAAACUUUUUAAGACGUCACAUGCAAGAGACGAACUUGCAACCCAGGAAGCACCUGCAAAGUUCAACUCUUAUUCGGGAGUAAAGGCAUGACCCAGAACUUUUCAAGGCGUCACAUGCAAGAGUUGAACUUACAACCUCCUCGUUGGCAUUAGCAAGCUGCUUAUAAGUUGCCUCAAGCUCAUCGGUUUAUAUCUUUACAUUACUUAAAACAACAACAAUGAUGGUAUAUUGUACCAUUCAAGACAUAUAUUAAAGCAAUUAUUGGUAAAAAUGUUAACUGUAUUAAAUACGGUAGGUUUUAUUUACUGAUAAUAAAGUAUAUUAUAUAAGGGUAUUUUAGAAAAAUUAAAAAUUAAUUAUAUUUUUCAAUUAUAAGAUGGAUUAUAUUUUGGAAUGGGUGAAAAAGGAAAACAAAACUAUGAAAGUGGGGCAAAGGGAGUAAGAUGCAAACUAUGGCCCUUUCAAUUAAGGCUUCAAUCCCAACCAACUUAAUAAAUGCUUAUUUAGAAGCUAAAUUGUGGGUUGAUGUGAUAGUCACCACCAUCUUACACGUUUUUAUAAUAAUAAUAAUAAUCAUCAUCAUCAUCAUCAUCAUCAUCAUCAUCAUCUAUUUGGUACAAACAUAUUUGAAUAACUCAAAUGGCCGUCCCGUGAAAAUUUAGACACUAGCUGAUUAAGUAAUUUAGAUGCAAAAAGGUAAUGAUACUGGACGUCAACAACCACAAAUCAAGCCAUAAUAAGGCCGUUAAAAUGUCAGAAAAUAAUACUUUCUACCAGUAAAAUGACCAUAUUUCAUGACAAUCAUGAGAUCCAAGUAUCCUCACCCAGGUAUUGGUUAAAAUUGAUUAAGACUUGAUUAGGACUAAUAAUGUGGAUUGUUAUUGACUUUGUUUAUCAAGUUGCCUUUGACUCACAAAUCACAAUAAUAAUUCCCAUUUCCCACCACGGUUUCUUUCCUUCAAUUUCCAAAACCAAGCAAAAACUAAUGGUAUAUAGACGAAACCAAAUGACAUGAAAAGAUUAAUGAAAAUGCCAGUUAGCCCUGUAAAUCAUAGAGUAUCACUCUGCCUUUGAUUUGUUCAAUAGCAUCUAUGCCUCUUAAACUUUUCAAUUUUUUAAAAGAGUUAAUCUUAUAUAUACUUACGAUAUAUACAUGAUUGAGUAUAGAUGUACACUACAUAUGUAAUAAUUGAAAUUUAAAUACGAUUCAAAACUAGAUGAGAUAAAAUCAUAUUUAUUAAUGUACAUAUCUCAGUGCAUGCAAGAUUAAUGCUUUUUUAAAUCUUGCAUAAUUUUUAUUGAAAUCUCGAUUUGGAUGGUAUAGGAUGAUUGUACAUAUGUAUAUAUUAGUGACAUGAUACAAUCACUGCAUCAAUCAAAGGCAGCUCUUAUCUAUGAAUACGGCUUCAAAAUUGUUUUUAUGACUAUUAUAAAUAUAUACGGUUUCAAAACUGAUACAUUCAUUUACUUUCUUGUGAAAGUUUAAAUAAUGAUCAUUAAAUUGACUUUGUAUUACAUUACAUCCUACUAGAACAUGAAAUUGAAAAUCAUUGUUGAUUUCCAAAAUGACAACUGUUUGUUUGUCAGCCACUUCAUAACCGUUUGGAUUGACCAUUUUUCAAAAACAACGUUUUCAAAUAUAAUGUUAAAGUAAUAUACAAUAACUCAAAAAACAUCUCAUCCAUAUAAUAUAUCAAAUAUUUUAAAAAAUUUUAUAAUAAAAAUUUUUAUAUACACUGCUACAGUAAAAUUUUUGAAAAAUACCUCCAAAAAUAGCUAAUUCAAACGGAGCGGUUUCCAGUUAAAAUCUUAAGAGGGGACAAAUUGAUGGAAGUAAAGCUUUAGGGCAAAGGGUUGAGUAUUAUUUUCUACAAGGAGAAAUUUGAGAUUUACAGAGAAAAGACAAGACCACUAUUUGCCAAAUGGGGUCCAAACUGCAAACCUUAAACACCACUACAAACCAUUGGCAGUACAAAAGCUUGCUUAGAUCUUUCCUCACCAAGUUGCAACCUGCAACUAGCAUCCCACACACCUCUAUUAAAAAAUGAACUAUAUAUCAAAAACAGAAAAUUAGAAAAAAAAAUAAUAAAACAUUUGUUUCUUCUCUCCUUUUCCCUCCUCCUCCCCCUCUCUUUCACAGCAAAAAGCUUUACUUUGUCCAUCAUUUUUCAUCUAAAAAAGGCAAAAAAAAAGCCAUGUAUCCAUCAUCAACUUCUUCAUCAUCACAAGGUUCAAUGGGUCCAAAUGGAGGGAGCAGCACAGGUGGGCUAAUCCGGUACGGCUCAGCUCCAAGUUCCCUCCUGGCUACAGCCGCUGAUUCAGUUACAAAUCCCAGCUCACGUGAAUUCUCAGCCCUUGGAUCCUCCCACAACCUCCACAUGGGCCCUACAUCAUCAUCUUCAUCAAGAUUCUUCCCUUCUUCAGAAACAUCCUCCCUCACUUCUGAAUCCACCUGCAAAACAUCCAACAGCAAUCCCAGAGAAAAGGGUCCAAAUAUCAGCAGUGGUCUGCAUAGAGCUUUCGGUUUCAAGCAAGAUAAUCAUCAAGGGUCCAUUAUUGGUGGUGCUGGAGGUGCGGGUAUGGUAUCUUCAUCUUCUUCUUCUACUGCUACAACUGCUUCGCCUUUGGUUCGUCAUAGCAGCUCGCCUCCUGGUUUCCUUAAUCAUCUUACUCAUGCUUGUGCUUCCAAUGAAGAUAAUGGUACGUUCAUUUUCUUGAUUCUUGUUUGAUUUUUUUUUUUGUUUUUUGGCAUUUUUUGUUUGGUGGAGUUUGGAGAGAAUAAUAUUUUCUUUUUCUUGUUUGAAUGAAAUUUCUGUUCUACCCUUGCAUUAUUGUUUGCUAGUAUGGAUUUAGAUAUAGUACUAGUAAAUUAUGGUGACCUUUUCAACUUUUCUUUCAAGAUUUUUUAACAGGUGCUCAAAGUUACGAGUUAGUACGUCUAAUCAAUACUCAAUUUGUCAUUUACCACACUCUCAAAUUUAUUGUUAUUAUCAAAUGUAAGUUUCUCUUUUUUUCCUCCCUAAGAUUUAGUGUACUUUUUCAAGAAAGUUAAUACAUGGAUUCUCUAACAGCUAGUGUUCAUCAAGUGCCCGUUAGAUAAAUUCUUUAUCUAAUAAUAAUUCCAUCGAGGUGAUUGUUAAGUUCUUAAUACAAUUGAUAAUACAAGAUCUAAAAGGAAGUUAGUAUAAUUGCAUAAAUAAGGCUAGAGACUUUUGUCGUUUAAUUGAUAGAGUACUAGUAAUUAGGGGGCACUUAUUCUACUUACACGUAAUUUGGUAGUAAUUUCUGCCUUGUCAUUGGUUUAUGUACGGCUAAAUGAUGCAAUUUUAAUUUGGUUCCAGGAUGACACCUUCUUGUUUUAGUUGUUUCCUUUCUCUUUUUUGGUUUGCCCUUUCAUCUUCCUUUUUCUUGUUGGGGUUAAGUGUUCUUUUCCUGUUCUUUGUUUCUUUGUUUCUUUUUUUUGUAUGUUUCUGUUUCUCCAAAACUGUUGACCUUAAUAAAUGUUUCUUCUACAGUUCUACUAGUCUGAAACCUAGCUCUGGGUUAAAACAUUAAAAGUCAAUGAAGGUUUCACCUAUAUUUUGCUCUAUUCCUUUUUUUUUUUUUUUUGUGUACUCCCGUUUGCUAGUCAUUUUGGUAAAAUCUGUAACUUGACUCCUUCAGUUUUCUUUUUCUUUUUUUUUUUUGGUUGUAUUGUUACAAGCUGUUUGGUAUUUUAUAGCUUAGGAAGAAGUUCAAUUGGCUUCAUAAAAGUGGUGAAAUAGGAUGGAUUUCUAGAAUUCUGGCUUUAUGAUUAUUGGAUUUCAUAUUGAAAGGUCAUUGAUGUUUGAUGUUGUUUAAUUGGGUUUGAACUUUAAUUGAAGUAUAAUAGGCAUUUUCUGCAAUCCGAAGUUUAAUGUCAAAUUGGAAGCAGUGUUCUGUGAACAUUUAGAGGUUGUUUGUUUUGUAUUUUAAAGAGUUUUUAAGGAAAAAUUAUUACAGCAUUUUUUUAGAAUAUGAUAUAUAUGGCAUAAAAAUGUGAUCGAGAACUAUGUGAAAGAAAUAAUUAUGAAAAUAGAAAAAUAUUUUAUAAAAAAAUGACAAUUCAAACAAGGCCUUGACUUUUCAAUAAAGUAUUGGAUUUACGUGACAUCUUACAGAGAUAUGAUCUAUGAACGUUUCACUUUUUAAGUAAAAUAUUUACUUGACAAAAGUGGAUCCUACAUUUCUACUACAACUCAUGAUUUUUAGAAAACAAAAUUACAACUUGCAAUUUAUCACUUUUGUAGGUUACACGUGUAGAUAGCCUCAUAAUUUGCCAUUGGACACCUAAAUAAUUAACUAAACAUUGAAGUUAAAGGGUAAAUGUGUUAAACCUAAGGUAUCUAGUUAUCUCAUAAAGGUAAAUUUUGUAUGUACAAUAAAGUUGACAAAAGUGCCAAUCUAAGUCUAAUUCAUUUUGAUUUCUUAUGAGUGGGGAUUGCAAUAUUUAUUGAUAGUAUUAAAAGUAUGGAUUAAUUUUCUAUACUUUGACACGUUAGACGUAUAAAAAUUAAUUUAAAUUUAUAUUUAAAAUCUAAAUUUUGCACAUAUAUCAUAUAUCUAACUGUAACAGUGUAUAUAGUGUUUUAGUAUAUAUAAAAUUAACUCUAAAAAUAUUAACCCAUAAAAUACGAAUGGUCAGGUCAUUAGAAUUUAGCGUGAUAAUGAUAAUCUGAAUCAUCAAUGGGCAAAAUCGGAAGUUUAAGAAGAUUGGGUAGGCCCCCUCCUGUCUCACUCUCUCCAACCGGGAAUGGAGCCCGCAUGGGGGCCAAUUAAUAGGCACCCUAGGUUUGAAGCGCCCAUUGUUUAGCCAAAAAACCCACGCUGAUAAAUUAAGAAUAUCUAUCUUGAAGAAUAAAAUAUCCUGUGCUUGAAAAAAAAAAAGAAAAGAAUCUCACUCUUUUUUUUCCUUCUAUAGACAGCCCUAACCCCUAGGGCUAGGGGCAUUGACUUCCAAAGAUAGAGAUGUUAAUAUUGGUUUUAGAUUUUGACACGAAAUGUACCCAAUUGUUAAUUUUUUUAGUUCUUUUUUUUUUCAAUUUUUUAGUUCUUCCUAUAUAUGUGAAUUAUUCUAUUUUUUUUGGGCAUCAAAUGAUCUGAGAGCAAAAGUUUUUCUAAUUUAUCAUUUAUAUGGUUUUGAGUUUUAGUGGCCGAUCUAGUUGUAUGUCACAUCUAGUCAUGGAAUUAGGUUCCUAAAGUUUUCUUUUUGUUCUCGAGCCGCCAUAAUUAAUUAUUCUCCCAAUCAAUCUUCAGAUUUUUAUUGGGCAAGAAUUUCACUUUGGGAUAAUUUAAUUAUCUAAUAUUAGUACAAUUUUGUACUUUUUUUUAUCUCACUCUGUAUUAAAAUAAAAAGAACUUAUACACUAAUAAUUGAAAUGCAAAUUAAUCAUUGUACAACGCUCUUAAGACUCUUUGGUGUAUAUUGAAUAAAAAGAGAAAAUCUCUUAAUUAUUUAAUCAAAAAGAAAAAUAAUAGUCCACAAAAGUAUACCACAUAUUUUUUUUAUCCCUUUACAAAACGGGUGGAAUAUUUACACGUACAAGUCAACCCAACUAUAUCCUAAAUCAAGAAUACUAACUUGCAGGUAUACUACUAGGUCAAUUCAAUUUGUGACAAAAAGCAUUUGUGGAAAUUAUUUCUUUUAUUAGUAUGAAAAAAUAUAUAUAAAAAAAAUUACAUUUACAUUUCCCAUAUUUGGGUGCCGUCAUAUUCAUAUUCUGGCUAUAGAGUAUGACUUUAUACACAUCAUUAAUAUACUAUUGAAGCCUUCAACUUGGUUGAGUGGAAUAUUUCAUUAUUCCCACUUGCAGAAGAAGCAAGUUGACAAUUUAAUACUCUAACUACAAUUAGCUCUCCUUGGAAAGAUAUAUCCCAUUAGAUUACUUUAGAAGAAGACUAGUGGUGGCCAGAUUCCUUGAAUCAGCAGACAAAACCUAUCUAGUAAGCUGGUGGAUGUCACAUGCCUAAGCUUCAAAUGUUCCUUCAGCCAUUGGUUUAUUCUGAUUACUCUAAUAAUUGUUAAUAAUAAUAAUAAAAAAUCUACUACUUGUGCCAAAAGCAAAAGCAGCCGCCAAUGAAUGGUUUUGAUGCUAUAGAGAUCAUUAAUGGAAAGGGGCCCUCACAAGUCACAAGUUACAUUUCACACACGUCGGUGUAAAUUAACAAUUUACUACUCUUAAUUUACAUCAAAUUACCCUCAAUUUAUAUGCCAAAGUGUAUCUGAGUUACAUCAAAUAACAACAAAUUAACAUACACUAAACUGCACCUGAUUUAUAUCAAACUAGACUUGAUUCGUACUGAAAUCCUACUAAUUUAUAUCAGAGGUCAACUUGUGUGAAAUUGUUCAAAAUACAAAUUGUGAGGCUCCGGAUCCAUCGUUAAUUAAGAAAAACACACAAGUUUGGUUGGAACUUGGAACUAACUGUGAAGUUCGUAAAUCAACAAAGAGUACAACUUUGGAGGAAUAGAGUUUAUGCACCUCAUGUAUCGUGCAAAAAUACUGGAAUUAGGUCCUGAAAGGCUAUAUCGGAUCAAGGGCUUCUAUAAAUGAAUUAUAUCGUGUAGUGUAAACACUGACUGAACAAAUACAUACGUUAAAAUAACAAAUGUAGAUAUUAAAACAAAAAUAUGUUAAAAUAUAUAUAAUAACUUUUUUUAACUUAUUAAAAUUUAUAUUUAAAAUUCAAUCCUACCAUCCAAAUUCAAAUAUAUCAAUCUUUCACCGUGAACUGUUUUGAUGCAAUCAAGACUCUGAUUGCAGAGAAUUUGUAUCCAGCCCUAAAUAAUCCUCAAUUAUCAGAAAGAAAAAAGAAAACCAAAAUUCGUGGCUCGAUAUGUGCCUUGUCAGAAACCAUCUCGAUCGAGCUGCACGUAGUUAGAGCAUUUUUUUUCCUUUUUAAUUUUAAAAGAGACGAGCAGGCCAUUGAUUUGAUUGUGACCAGAUGUAGACCAUGAAAUUUGGAGACUUGAUAUAGAACUGUGCUACUCAUGUUUUGCAACCUUCAGAAUAUAUGAAUUUUUUUUUGUUUUGAAAAAUGAAAUUACUGUUUUUUUCCCAUGCCCAAUUCCCCAGGAUUACUGUUUUUCUUGUUUAUACCAAAUUAGACUGGUUUUGAAAUGACAAAAAACCUGUGUGGAUGUGCCUCAUUUUCUUUGUGGUUUCUUUAUAAAAGAAAAAAAAAUGUUAGUGAUCUCUCCGAUGUAAUCCAAAAAUUUGAGAUAGCGGGUUUGUUCGGAUUGAAGAUAAUUUGGAAAAUUUUUUUGAGAAUAAUAUUGUAGCACUUUUUGAGAUGUAAUGCAUGUGAGAUAGAAAGAUGACCGGAAGAAAAACAGAAAAGUGAUUGGGAAAUGUAUUUAUGAAGCAACGGAAAACUUUUUGAAAAAAAAUUUCAUUCCUCAGAAGAUCCAAUAAUCAUCUUAGCUAUCACAAUAUUCAGUCACAAGAAAAUGUUGUUUCUGAUCCAAAUAUAAGGUACUUUCAUUACCUCCAGAGGCAGCUUCAACCUCUCAGAGGUCCCAAGCUUCCAAGCAACUAGUGAGAGCUGUGAUAAUCACUUUGGUUGAUAAAUAUUUGCCCCAACAUAUCUGCUAAUAUGGCACCUAAUAACUCUACCAUAGCAGGCUUCUUUUGUCCCAUACUCUUCCUACUGACAUUUAUUUGUACUUUCCAACAAAAAACCAAGAAGAUAUUAUCAUAGGUUUAAUAAUAUGUAAUGCAGGAAUAAAAAUGCAAUUAUUAUUAGAAAACAAAAAAGCUACAAUAGGCAUGUUAAGGAAACAGACAUGAAUCUUUUUCAUAAUGCAGAGAGUAGAAGAUUGUUUUAAGCUCAUGUAAACUUUUGCGAUCCAUGAAGCUUUGAAUAUCUAUCCAACCUCAUGUAAAAAUCAACCUAAUACUUUUGCUUUGAAUACCAGAUGGAAUGUUUGAUAGUCAUUUGUAGUUGUACAUGUUCUAGAUGAAUAUGUUCAAGCAACUUGAAGAUGUGAUUUUGUUCAUUCACAGCAAAUACCUGGCCAUGCACCUAAUGGUCUCAUUCUUUAGGAGUUUAAUUAUAAAAUGUCGAUGUUAUGAUACAUGAAAAGUGUAGUGCUAUCAUUCUGUUUAUCAGAUUAGCUCAGAAAACACAAUGUGAAGUACUAAUCGCUGGUUUAGCAUCAAAAGUUAAUAUUCCCGUUCUUUCGGAAUCCUCAACUCUAAAAUAUUGAACUUUGGUAUGAAACUAGGUUUUCCGAUUGCUAGGACCCAUGAUAUCUCAAGAUUGAACUCUCAGCUGAGCUUUACGCAUCAAGAAACUCUUUCCCAGAUCUCUGAAGAGACUGAGAAUGUUGAUAAUGGCCUCAAUGCAGAGAAUGAGAAAAGAAAAUCUGCUCAUACUUACAGCAAUGUAAGUUAUGGAGUAGGUCCUUGGGAAGAUGCCAAUACGAUAAUGUUUUCGAUGGGGCCAACAAGCAAAAGAGCUAAGAACAUGAGCGGUGACAUUGUCAAUCUGAACAGCAUGGAAACUCAGGUACCAAACAUAUCUGUUGAGCAACUUGUGAAGCAAUUUUCAUGACAAGGACAAUCUAAGCAUUCUGUUAAUUAGAGAUCAUCACUUCUCUGCUAACAUCCUUCUAUGUGAAAUCAAAUAUCUCUCUGCGCCACAUGAAUGCCUGGUGAAUAAAGGUAUCUAGACUUGUUUUAUGGCAUUCACCCUUCUCCCCACCCAUUCCUACUGCUGCGCCUAAAGAAAAGGAACAAGAAGGACAGUAAAUCCUAGAUCUUACUCAAAAUCUGAAAAAGUAAAAAGAAAAUUGGUUCUACUAAACAUUUUGUUAGUAUGUUAAGAACGUAGUAUUAAAGAAAAUUGAUGAACCAUUAAUUGACAUUUUAUUCCGUAAAUUGAAUGAGUAUGCUCCUGUACUCUGAUUCAUUUUUUAAAUGAGCUGUAUUCAGUUACUGCUAUAGAGAGUCCUUUGACAACUUUCUGACUUUCUCCAAUUAUAUGUUCUUAAUUCCAUAAGUUGUUGACAAGUUAACUCUCUCCUUCUUUAACCUAAUUGGGCUUUUAGUUUCAGUUUGGCAUGCCUCAGACAAUGCUGGAUAUGAGCUCCAUGGAUAAGUUGCUCAACAUCCCUCAAGAUUCUGUGCCUUGUAAAAUCCGUGCAAAGCGUGGUUGUGCUACUCAUCCCCGCAGCAUUGCAGAAAGGGUGAGCUUUAGAAUUUGACCUACUGUUUUAUAAAUAAUGUUUUGAUAAAAUAAGAUAUUUAGAGGUUUCUUUUCUUCGAAAACUUAAAAAAAAAAUAGUUUUCUUGUAUUUUAUUAUGAGGUCUUAAUGUUAACUAUAUGCAUUUGUAACAUGAGGGUCCUUUCCCUUUUCAAUUUGAUUUCAAUGAGGUUUAACUGCACAGCACCUCCAGUUAAAGUCCAUUGUCCUCAGUCUAUCUUUUAUUCUUGCAUUUCAGCUAAUCUCUUCCAACUCAUCUAACUGUAGCUAGUUACAUGGAUGUUUUCAUAGAGUUUGUAGUUUUUUCUGCCAAGUCUCUCAGUAAUUUCCUUGUUACUCUGGUAAUCAUAUAUCUAUGGGUAAAAUUUUUCAUCAUGGAGCGUGAUAGAUAAAAAUGUAAUGACAAAUUGGCCAUGGUUGCUAUGAUGUAAUGCUAUUACCCUAAGUAGUAUUUUUCUACCUAUGUGCAGGAGAGGAGAACGAGAAUAAGUGGGAAGUUGAAGAAGUUACAGGAUCUUGUUCCUAAUAUGGACAAGGUAAUAUACCACGCCUUUUUUUCCUAUUGAUUUAGGUUUAUAUAUUUGAGUUUAAAGCUUCAAUUUUUAGAGUUCUAAUAUCAACUCAAUAUAGAACUAAAGAACAAAACAAUAAUCACCUCUUUUCCCUUUUUCCUUUGCAGAGAAUGUAAUAAACUCACAAUGAUAACUUUACUAAUAUCUUAUAGGCUUCGUUAAUCUUUCCAACAAUUUUGAUACUGCAAAAAUUUCAACUGCAACCCGCAGAACAGUAUGAAUAGCAUUUCAAAAUGUUCCGCUUUUAUGUAACCAAAAUUACUUGUAUACUCUCUUAAAUGUUGUAUCUGGUAUGCAAGACUCAGCAAGAGUUGAAGGCAUGUGACAAGUAUCAGGUGGCAAAUAAGGCAAAAUGAGAUGUGUAGAAUACUGAAAGUUAUAUAUUGAACUCCUUAGGUAGAUCUGAUUUAUUGUGAAAGUUAUAUAUUGAACUCCAUAAUGAAGUGCAACACUUCAGAAAGGUACAAAUACUUAAUACAUGAUGAUACAAGCCUUUAAUGCAUGGUCUAUGGUAGACCUGGUCUACCUAAAGAUUAAGCAAGAUAGUCCAGAGCAGCCUUAGUAUGAUGUUCUAGUGUGUAGCAUGUGUCCUAUAUGAAGGGGCAACUGAUAAUGCGACAACCAAAAUUUAAUGUCAACCUCUCAGCUCAAUUGAUGAUUCAUGAUUGUAUUUGAGUUAGGUUGCAGAGAUAAUUUUGGUGUUUUAACAAACUUUUCCGAGGCAUUAAAAUUUGAGCUUUGGCAAUGACACCAAGCCAUAUGAAGAGAACAUUUUCAAAAAUAUGCAAAGUGAAACUUUUGAAGUCCGUUUAAAGAGAUGUACAUCAUAUGAUCAAUCUGGUAGUACAGUACCUUGCCAUAUUUGUGGACCAGAAUCUUAAUAGCUGCCCUUGCUUAUCUCACCGUUUAAAAUGAAAGUGAACUAGCUCAGUCAACAGUGCCACUUUUCCUUUUCAUCAUUCUUAGCUUUGUGGAUAAAGUAAUCAGCCAUAUCCAUUGCCAAGAAGAGAGUAGUUGCUUUGAGUUGUGGUAUAUUUAACUUCCCUGUUAUCAAAACGGGUGCUCAUUUACGAUAAAAUUAUUUUUGCUACACAUCCCUCGUAGAAAGCUAGUAAUAAAGUUUUACGUCAGUGUGCUUGUUAAAUUCAUAAUACCUUUUCUAAAAAUAUUACCUGGAUGUAGUUUUUGGAUGAGCACUUACGAAUCCUCCUUUGGGUAAUAAAGCAUGUGUUGUAAUCAGGUUUUCUGUAUAUAUUGCUGUGGUCUUGUGACAUAGUGAAGGAAAUCUUUUCCAGAGCAUGUGGUUGCUUGCAGUGAUGCCUUUGAGAGCAUAAAAGGCAUCUCGCUCUAACAAGUCUAUUUACUUGAAAGAAGAAGAAAAGGCUCGUCAACAUGCUUCAAAGCAUUCAGUUUCUGAACUCAAGUUAAUAUGUGGCAUUCAGUUUUGACUGAAAGUUCAAUUGGUUGGUAUUUGGUAUCCUAGGUUGUAUGGUCCUGGGCCAUACUAGACUAUCUUUUCAUCCUAAACCUAUAGAUAGAGUCUGUUGUUAUGCAGUUGAUUUUAUUGGCUUUGUUGCAUCACCAUACUUUAUCUUUUUUUUUUUUUUCCCGAAACGAUAUUAAUAAUAUAUUGAUCAUCAUCUAAACUUUACACUUGGAGCAAAGGCUCCUCAUUUCUUUACAAAAAGUGCUCAACGGCACAGAGGAUUGAACCAUUCCUCAUCAUGUAUAAUGCCUAAUGCAUAAUCACCAACUCUAAUGCUAAUGUGAUUAUCAACUUUAGAUAUAGCACAAAAAGAGCACAUAUGAAACAGAGCUUUCAAGCUAAGAAUCUUAUUCUCUCUAGUUCAUCUAUAGACUUGGCAGCCAUGUUCUAAGCCUCCUGACAUUCAUCUCUUUGAAAUUCAUUUGGACAAAUCAAUGCAAGGAUUAUCAUAAUUGAAGAUAAGCAAGGAAAACUGGGAAACAAUUUGAGAAAGCAAAUAAAAGAGACUACAAUUGAAAAGAAAAUCAGCUAUAUCAUUAGCCAUUUCAUUCCAAUCUUAGGAAGAAAAAGUUUAGACAAGGAGAAGCAUGCCACUAUCUAACCUUAAGCUUGUGUACAUUCUUUGUUAGUAAAAGUCUUCUAAUAUCUGUCCUUUUCUUUGUUAAUGAGGCAGCAUCUUUAAGAGUAAAAAAAUUGCUUACUUUUUUCUCAUGCCAGCUGCUGCCUUAAUGCUGCAGAAUGGGAUGAUUAGAAGCUUAAUUGUUAGAUAACUCUGCAAACUAGCUUAUACACCUCAGAUCCUGCUCUAUUUUUGCUUUUCCUUUCUUUAUCUCUUUGCUUUUAACUAUGUAAAGUUUAUCAUCUGAACUUGACUGAUUUAGAUCCUAUGGCUUAAACUAGACUGGUCUCAUCUGAAGAUCAGAUUGUCAUUUUAGUGGUUAUCCAGUUGAAACCUAUACACAGUCAGAUUCAUUUAUUACCUGUUCUAACAUAAUAUUUUGUUUUCUGCAGCAAACUAGCUAUGCUGAUAUGCUGGAUUUGGCGGUGCAACAUAUCAAAGGCCUUCAGAAUCAGGUUCAGGUGAGUACUUGUACAACUCUUCAUUAUCUUUUCCCUUUUUGCUAUGUUUCUUCUUCAAUCUGAAAGACAAAGGAGAAAAUAACAAGAACAAAAAGAAAGUUCAUAGACCCUGAGGUUUUCAAGAAAGAACACUGGAGAUUGGUUCCAACGCUUACAUGCUUCUAGUUGAUGAUUUAUGUAGUUGCACCUGCAUACCUUGCACAUAUGCUGGCAUCUUAGAUAUGUACUUGCUCGUGAGUUUCAGGUGAUUAUAAAUAAACAACAUUUUCCUUUAGUCAAUGUCAAAAUUAUGACAGAAGUUUCGAGACUUGAAACAUGACCAGCAUUCAUGACUUGCUAAAAUUAUUACUGAUCAUUCAGUAUAUAGGACUCUUCCUCCUCUUUGGGUAUGCUCUAAGGCAUGAAGAAAGUUUUUGAGGCAAUUGACAAAGAAUUGAAUCUUAAUUAAAGAAUAGAAACUCUGACAAAAGAAUUCUAAAGAAGAAAACUAAAUAAAAUAAGCAGGAAUGUAUACGGAGUACCGAAAAGCUCUCUGCACUUAUCUUGCAUGACUCCUGCAUAUAGAUUCGAGUUGAAUUCAAGGAGGAGAUACAAUUAAGCACAUCACUUGGAAAGAUCUUUUUAAAUGUUACUUUACUCAAGCCCUUCUGUCUUUUGAAUUCCACAUCAAAUUCUAUGUUAAACUAGAGUGCUUUGUGUAUUCAACAUGAAAGGAAGAAACUGGCAUGAUAUGUUUUAGCCGGUUUUGAUUUGUGUAAAAAGCUUAUAUCUCUUCUGUAUAGCACAAAAAUUAGUUUAGACUGCAGCAUGCAUGGUUCAUAGCAAAGUUCCAACUGAUGCAAUUGUAAUCAGCAAUUUGCUCGUCUAAUGUGGUCUACAGUGCAUAGUUGCAAGUCUGGUACUAGGUUAACCGUGGCUGGUGUUAGCUUAAUUUAACUUAAAUGAAGUUCUGAUGACCAUCAUUAAAUGGCUAGAUGUGUUUGCCCUCCAUUCAGAACUCAUUCUUACUCUAAAGUCUGAAAUUUUUUCUUUCCACCACCUUCUCCAGAGGCUCCACAAGGAACUUGAUAAUUGCACAUGUGGCUGUAGAAAACCACAAGAUUCUUGUCGAGGAGGAAAGAGCUGAAGCAAGAACAGUCAAGCUUGAUAGAAAGAUUUUUGUUGGUAAUGCAAGACAUAUCUGACUGGAUAGCAUCCUUUGCCGGGCUCAAAUGUGGAACCUAAGUUCCAAGCCAUGCAAAUGAGCCAGAAUGAAACCUAGAGUUGCCAGAGUUGUAUAUAAUGAGGCUCUCUCAUGGUUCCGCUGAGGAUGUCUGGUUAUUUUUGCUUUCUAAAUUCCAAAUAAUGCUUCUAAGGGGAUUUCUUAACAACUACUUAGAUCCUUUUCGAUCUUUUGUCCUCCCGAUUUGUAGAGAUGACCUAAUAGUUGGUUUUGGGAGCUCAAUUUUGUUCAUCUCAGAUGUUUCAAUACAUUGGUGUCUAGAUACCGGUUGUAUAUACCACAUACUUUUGUUCUGUUCUUAGUGUAUCGAAAAUGUCCAAGUAGAUGGUGAUGACCAGUUCUCUCUUUUGUUGUAUUUUCGUUUCGGAUGCUUAAUUUCCAGGCUAUGUUAUUGUUAAUCAGAACCAUCUUGGUGGCUUGUAACUUUUAGUUAGUGGCCAAUUACUUGUCCAUUUAGAACAUGUGAAGUUGGGAAAAGAUGAUAAUUUUAGCAUAUUUGUUUUGUACUUGGAUUCAUUACUAUUCUACUUUCUAAGGAUGUUUGAUUAUGUUGAAGUUAGCUAAACCCAGAACCAAACAAGUAUUUGAAUUCUUUUUAGUGUAAAUUAUUAAUAACUCUUCUGUAGUUUCAUCUAUUGACACAUAAUUUUCAACAUUUUAAAAUGCGCAUUUAACCUCCUAUGGUUUCAUGUAAAUUGAAAAUUUAACUGAAAACAACUUAUGUAACGCCGUUACUUGAAAUACAUGUAGUGUUUUUAUUUAAAUGCUAAAUCAAAUAAUGACAUAACCACCUUGUACAAAACCAUUGGGAAAUUAUGUAAAAAAAUGCAAAAAUUAUAAAAGGUAAAGUAGAUAUUUAUACAAAUCAUAGGAGGAUUAAGUGGAUAUUAUAAUUUCAUCACACAUAUUUUUGGAAUGUGUAUAGUCUAAUCACCAUAAUUGAUUAUGCAUUUUGUCUAUUUUUUGUUUUACAUAAAUCAUAAAGGAUUACGUGAUUAUUUUAAAACUUCAAAUGGGUCAUUUGGAUUAUGCAAAACCACAGAAAAACUAUAUGUAAUUUACUCUUUUUUUUAAGUGAGAUGAGACAGCGCUCGUGAACCAUUUGGUGAAAAUUGUGACAACAAACAAACAUGUCAAAAUCCCAAUUGGAUUUCAGUUAUUUUUCUUGAGAAUCAUUAAGAAUUGGAGAGAUUGUAGAAAGAAUAAGAGGAAGAAAUAGAAGCAGAAUCAAGAAGCAAGAACGAACAAGGAAGAAUAGGAAGACGAAGAUAAAAACAAGAGAAACCAGAGAGUAAUUGAUAGACAUAGCAAAAUGAUUUCCGUUAUUCCUAAGAGACCCCUCUACCCAAUUACAAGUUUUUGUAGACCCCUCAAUAUAUUACCAUUUGAACCACACACAAGGAUACCUCAUGGUUACAUUUUCAAUUAUUAAAGACUAAGCAAUUGGUAUAUUAAAUCUACACAUUUGGAUUAUGACAAUAUUUCUCCCUUCAAAGAUUAUUUGUCCUCAAGGAAUGCAAUGGGGGCAAAAAACAAUUGAAUCAAUGGAAACUGGUAUUAUUUCUCAAAUUGUUCUUUGCCUAAUUGGAUCACUUCCGGAGGAGAUACAGAUCACAAAUGAAUAAAUCAACAAUCAAGGUGGCACAAUUGGUUGCAAUCUUCGAUGAAUUUGCUAUGAUUGAAGAGAGAACAACACAGUUAGCCACAAACUAGCAAGAUUUGCUUUAAACUUAAAGAAUGUUACUGAAUGGAAGUCUAGCUUCCCAGCUUGGAUACUUGAGGCUGUUCAAGCAGAUAUAACAAGAGCAAUGGCUUUACUUCUAUAAAACCUUUGGGUUUAUUUAAUAGAACUUGCUUUUGCCAUUUGAAAAAAAAAAAAAAUUGAAGUCCCAUCCAAAUCCCAUCCAUCCUGCCUAUUUGCAAUCUCCAGAUAUAUUAGUACAACUAGAGAUUAUUUUUUAAGGGCAAAUAAUUGGAUGGAUCUGAUUUAUGUAGAUCUAGUGGCUCAAAAUUUAUCACACCAUCUCACCAAUUCAAGUAUUAAAGAUGUGACAAAAUUUGGACCAUUAGAUCUAUAAAAUCAGGUCUAUCGUUUUUUAGGUGGUGAUUUUUUAAGAGUAAAUAAAGUGUCCUAGAAGUAUUUUUAUUUAGCAAAAUAAGGAAAAGGAUAGUUUGGAAUUUUUAUGAAUUUCAUUGCACAAAUAACAAAAGUAAGGGAGGUAAGUGAUGUUUUUAAAACUUUAAAAGUGCUAAGUGAUAUUAAGAAAGACCUAAGGGGAGUCUUCUGAUAUUAUCCUUAUUUUAUUAUUGCAUCCAUGUAAUCUCUUGCAAUCCGAUCUACUAAUAAAUACAAAUGAUGCCGCUCGCACCAAAAUUCCAGCGUCAAUCGCCUUUAGCGUUUCUUGGUAUCCUUAAAAUAAGAAGAAAAGGCGCACAUUUCCAAACCAAAAGCACGUAAUCCCUUCUUUCCUUUUUCCUCUUGUUUUCUCUUUCGGUAAGAAAUCUUUUCCUGUUUUAUCUUUUACCAAAAGAACCGUUGAUCCUUCGUUGAUUCAAUCAUGGAAAAACCAGUCAAACGCCAUUUAACACCGACAAGUUGAUGAUAGACCAACUCAGAGUCGUGGGCACACACCGCAACACAGCACUAUUUAUCAUCAUUCAUUGUUACCUCUCUGGUCAUUGUCCCUGCCUCCACCCUGUCUCCUCAGCCACCUCUUCUCCACCAUCCCACAUCUUUCUGCUCAUUUCCUCCUCUCAAAAAACCCACCACCCUCCCCUCAAGCUCACAGUUUCUUCGCAUGGAUUCAUCAGAUGAAGAGGGAGAGGAGUAUCUGUUCAAGAUAGUGAUAAUAGGGGACUCAGCUGUGGGAAAAUCCAACUUGUUGUCUAGAUAUGCAAGAAACGAGUUCAACCCACAUUCUAAAGCCACAAUUGGGGUGGAGUUUCAGACCCAGAGCCUUGAAAUUGAUGGGAAAGAAGUUAAAGCUCAGAUUUGGGACACUGCUGGUCAAGAACGCUUUCGGGCUGUCACCUCUGCUUAUUAUCGUGGUGCCUUUGGUGCGCUUUUGGUUUAUGAUAUUAGUCGGAGGACCACCUUUGAAAGCAUUCCUCGCUGGCUUGAUGAACUUAAGAGUACGUUUUUCGAAAUCUUAAAACUUUUUUUUUCUUGAAUAUAUGUUUCUUAUUGUGUGUUGUACUUCAUGCAUCGGUAUUGGUACUUUUAUUGGUGACAUGUAAAACUAGAGUGAUAGGCUUUGCAAUUGCUAAUACAAAAUCUAGCAAUUGCACCUGGGAUUGAUGGUUGGGAUCAACUCAUUUGAAUUUUGUUGGGUGGUGGUAUUGAUUGUUUGACACAUCCCUUAAAAGUUGGUGGGUCCUGCAUGAGCAGUAGUACACAUGUUUGAAUUCAGUGACGGAGCCAGGAUUUUUUUGUUGGGGGGGGACCAAAAUUGAAAUUCCAUUCAAAGAUGACUAAUUCAUAUAUAUAUAUAUAUAUAUCAACUCUAAUAAUAUAAACUAAAAUUGAAAAAAUUUAGGGGGGGCCAAUUUUAUUUUACACACAUAUUUACAUAUUAUGAAUUAAAAUUCUCAAAACUUAGGGGGGGCCAUGGCCCCCCUCUGCCCCCCUUGGCUCCGUCAUUGUGUUUGAUAGAGGUGCAUAAAAAAUUGGAAGUGUCUUGGAAAUGUCAAUUGUGGAAUCCUAGAUCCAUUUGAGAUUUUAAUUUUUAUUGUUCCAACGAAAAAAUAUAAGAUCAUUGGUGCAGAAUGUAUGCAUUCAUGUUUUAUACAUGGUGCAUUUCAGAUUGUAACUAGUGGGGCAUGGGGGCAAGGAUGUAGUUGGAUAGUUUAAGCUGAAUUUGUGUCCCUUUAAUGAAAAGGGAAGUAUCAUAGAUGUCAAAUGUGCAGAUCACCUGACUUGCGUGUUGUGGUUGAGAUUUGUACCAACCUUGACCAAGUAGAUUAGGCGAUAUUGACAUGAGAUCAGAGAUAAUUGUGAAAAGUGGUUAGUGUUUAGAUUUGAUUGAAUUAUUGCACUUGUUUAAGGUGGAAUCAGGAUCUUAUGACUAUAUGUGUGAUUACUAGUAUGAAACACAUGGUUGAUAUAGUGAUUAAUGUUACCUAUUGAUCUCUGCCAUCUUUAUGGAGAUUGAAAUUUGUGCAAGUUAACAAUGAAGGAAAUGCAUGCAUUAAUUCAAUGAUUGGAUAGUUUGGAUAGUUUCAACAAGAAGGUGAUCAUGGGUAACACGACUUCAUAAUCAAUUACAUAUGAACUUCCGAAAGCAAACAAAUUAUACAGGGGCUGGAGAUAAAAAGUAGCUUCCAAAAUCAGGGUUAAAAAAGUUCUGUGUUUCAGUCCAAUGUAAAUUUACAUUGAUGGAUGAUAUAGAAAUAAUUUUCGAGCACAAGACAGACAGAAAAGAUUGAUAAGAAUAUACAUUCUAUAACUGGGAAAAGAGGGCAAAAACUAAGAAAGAUAUUUUCUUCUUUAUUUGUUAUGACAUUGUAGAUUGAUACUUCGCACCAUUUUUUUCUCAUUUACAUUUUCUGGAAGCUGUAAUUGCUAUGUUCAUCUUCAAAUGAUGUGGAGGUUGAGGACACAUAUUGAAAUGAAUGAGUAACGUGAAAGUGUUUCUCUGGAAAGCAGUGAAUUUUCUUAUGUGAGGUCCUGAAAUUAGAAGGGAACACAUAAUUUUGGAUGAUUUAUGGGGUAGAUUUUGUUCAAUUACAUCCUGUACAUCUUAUAUUAAUUGAAUCCUCUAACUGCUUGAUAAUUAGUAAAAUAAGACAAAAAUCUAAUUUGCUUUUUUACAUUAGAAUGGCUAAUUUUGUUCAUUAUUAUAUGUGAUAUAAGAUAAAAUACUCCAUGUUUACCUGCCUGUAUAACAGAGUACUCCAAAUGGUAGGAAAUUUGGAUUCUGAAGAUCAUGCUAAGAUGGAUGUAUUUAUGCUGUGUAAUAUGUGUGUGUACACAUAAUUUAUACGCAUAUAAUUUUUUGCCAAUAUAAUCUAAUUAGGUUCUUAUUCAUUUUCUAAUUAGUUUUUGAUACCUCGUAUGAGGGUGCAUUGUUUCCUCCAAAAGCAGUAGGAUGUUUGACUAACUUUUCGUUUAUUGAAAUCAGCUUAUGUCUGUAUAUAGUUGUUCUUAACUUUUUGGCUCGCCGAAAAAAGCAACAGGAUAAGCUUUAAGCAUAAUGUUUCAUCUUCCACAUCAAAGUAGCAGUGUAUGGUUAAAAGACUUAAUUAGUAUAAAGCAUUUCAUUGACACACAAAAUUAAUUUUUAAGGAAUGCUCAUAGGAAAAUGAUGUUAUUUUUGAAUUCAAGAUAAAGGUCAUGAGUAUAUAUUUUAAUUUAUAUGUCACUACAAUCUUCUCUACUAGUGAAGCCCAAUAGAAGAUAAUUUGUAAUUAAGGAGUCACAAAGAUUUGCUAGAUGAGGAUGGGGUAUAAAACUAAUUUAAGGAGGAAUCUAUGGUCAAGUUACAGUGGAACUGCUUUCAAUCUAUAAACGAAUAAGCUAGUGAGAUGUUUGAAACUUGAAAGCUGCCAUUUGUCAACAUUCAUGCCCAGAAAUUAGAAAAGGGAGUGAAUUGUCAUUGCUAGUCCAUACAUAAAUUGUGAAAAUUGGAAGUCCAACUAUAAAGUUCAUUUGCAACAUUGAACAAGCUAUCAAACUAGCACAUUUCCUUAGAAUUGCUUACUCUUGCAAAAUAAAAGUAUGUAAUUUGCAUAGAGUAUGUUACGAUAUUUUGGCAAAGCACCUGUCACUAAAAACAUGAAAAAAUCUUUUGAAAUAUUCAUAGCAGUGCGAAAGGGUAGAGGGGAUGAUUUGUUUCAUUACUGGAAUUAGACCCUUAUAAAGUAGUCGUUUCAUUGACAAGUCUUGUAGCCAGCUGCAUUAGCCUAUUAAAACACUAUUCUUCAAGUGAUGUUUUGGGCACAAGGGAGGCUUUGAGAACGGUAAAACUUAAAACAACCUGUAGCUCAGAGUAAUUAAUACUCAAUUGUUAAUCGUGUGUUCGGAGCUUGAACAAUGGCUUUAUAGUUUUGAGGAAUUGUAUUGUCUGACUUUCGAGGAUGAAACUUUUUAUAUGGAGGGCAAAACGUAAUUCCUAGCCCAAAGUGUUACUUGAAUUUGGUCCUUAAUCUAUGGGACCUUCUGUUAUGAACCCAUUGCACAUAUGCAGCAUCGCACAAAUAUGUAGGCCCACAUGUGGGUAUGCAGGCCCAUAUGUUUCUGAUAUGCUGCAUCUGUGCAGUGGGUCUAUACUCCAAAAAAAAAAAAAUCUAUUAGUUGGGUUAUAUUAUCUAAUAAGCUAGAAAUUGAGGGACUUAAUGGUAAACAGAUCAAAUUUUUUUCUCCCUUUUUUGGGCAAAAACACACUCCCCCUCCUCAUUUGUUUGCUCCCCAUUUUAUGUUUUUUGCUUCCAUUUUUUUCUCUUAAAAGGAUAAAAAUCAGAGGCUCAAUUCGUAUUUACUGGAGCUUCAAUACUGUGCAUGUGCCUUUAAUCCUUCUUUCCCAUGACUCGAAGAAUCUCUUCCUCACUUCUCAGUUUUUGGUCACUAGACAUGUCCGCAAUCAACUGUCAAAGACGACAAGUUGCUAUUUCACAACAUUUUUCUGUAUUUUCAAGAUUUCUCUCAAUUUAGAAUUUCUAGACGUUGAUUGCAUUAGUUUUGGUAGAUUGGAGGUUAUUUACCUUCUUAAGCCUGUUAUACAUUGGUAUUCAUGCUUAGCUUUAAUUGGGGUAGUUGGAUUACAAAUAAAAUUGAUUUGGAGAGGUUAAUGGAGAUUUUACUAGGCUUUUAAUAUUAUGUCUAAUUAAUUAAGUUUUUUGGAUUAGAUAUACAAUAAACCCCAACUAGUGAAUUUAUUCAGAGAAAUAUUGAUAAUAUUAAAACUGCUAUUAAUAGUAAUCCAUUACCUUUGUCAAUCGCGGGUACAUCCGGUGACCAAAGAUCAUCAUAAUUGAGGAGUUAUUACUUCAAGUCACGCGUAAGAAGACUUUGGGCUGCGUGCAUAGUAUUGAGGCUUUGUUAAUGAUGAAUUGAGCCUCAACUUUCAGUGCAUUUGAGAGAAAAAUGGAAGGAGAAGAAAAGCAAAUAAAAUGGGGGAAAAACAAAUGACGAAGGGGAGAGUGUGUGUUGAUGGGUUCAGUGAGGCAUGGAAAAUUCUAUUGUUUUACCAAUAAGUCUCUAAAUUGUUAGCUUAUUGCAUAAUAAACCCCAGUUAAUAGUUAAAGGACCAAACUACAAUUAUAGUUUGGGGCUAGGUAUUCCAUUCUGCCCUCCACGGUUUCAUCCUCAAGACUCAGACAAUAAAAUUUCUCAAAACCAUAAAGCCAUUGUUCAAGUUUAAAUUAUAUUCCCCUAAAUGCAUGAUUAACAAUCGAGUAUUAUCUGCAUCGAACUCUUUUUUGUAGAUUAAGUUUUGGCAAUUUCCACUACUACAAAGCAAGCGAAGAAAACGUGAGGGUGCACGUUACCAAUCCUAAGUAAAAUGUCCUAUUAUUUUUUAAAAACCAAAGGAAAGCUUUGAUAUAAGUAAGAUGCACUUAACCACCCAACAUUGAAAAGUUGGGUUUGGGCUCGAAAGCCGACAUUACUUGACGAGCACCUUUCUAAAUAAGAUUGCUUGUCUCCACUCAUUGAAAUUGUUUAUACAAAAGGUCAAUGGGGGAUACUAAAAUGCCUCUUGUUGACACCAUUUACAAGAAGGUGUGGUCGUCUUUCUUUCUAGCAGCCAUACAGUUCAGCUUAAAUAUAGAGAAGGGGGGAAGCUGUUAUCUAUGCAGUUACGGUCUCUAAAGCUGUUAUUCUAGUCGAGCACUCUCUUUUCUUUGUUGAAUCUUGCCCUACCAAAGAAGAGUAACUUCUUACCAACCUGCGAGAGUUGUUUGGCUGGGAUUGUCUAUUUUCAUAGAACAAUAUUUAAGGAAAUUGAGGAUGUAAGACUAGGUAUUUUUCAAAGAGAAGAAACCAGACUUAUAAUUGAGCCAUGAUCAAGAAUCCCAGGAUCCAAGCUUGACUGUCUUACAGAUACACACACACACACAUAUAGACAAUAAAUGAAUCGACUGAUGGAGGAUCUAAGGAGCAGCUUUACGAUGGGUUUUGAAACCAUCAUUUGUGUGUGUGUGUCUGAGACAGAGAGAGCCCCCAUCCUAAUUAGAAAUCCCCCUAUAGUUCUUCAAGUUAGCAUUAUACUAUUCCUCUAACUCUCAAGGCCAGUCCCCUUUCAAAUUGAGGUCUGACCACUUCUCCACUAACUGGUUUGUAUCCUUAUUGCUUUUGUCUGGUCACCAAAAUUCUCUGAUCCUUGUUUUGUGCCUUUUAGCUGUCUAAUGCAGUAGAUAGAUAACUAUCGAGAAAAGAGAUAAUGAGAUAGCAUGAACUCCUAAAGAUUCAUAUGGCAUUUGAUGAAUCACAGAAAGCAUCUCUUAAACAGAACUCCAUUGUCAAAUUUGAGGCAUCAUCAUAUCAAGAGUUUGAGAGAACCUAUGGAAAACCCAUUCUAGGAAAAAUCAUUGGACCUAGUCUAGCUAAAAGUUCUCCACAUUGAAAAUAACACGAUACAAAGGUCUAUCUGGGACAAUUAGAUGACAAAAACAUUAACAUCAUGGACCUACUACAAUUUCUCUUCCAAAAAGUACAACUUCAAAAGAAGAGGGUUUGGAAGUAUGUUAACCAACAAAGAGGAAUCUGAAGAUUGGAAUGGUUACAUGUGUAGAGUUUGAUGAGAGGAUUAUGUGACUAAAAUUUCAUUUCAAUGGUCUUUGUUUCACCUUUGGAUCAUGGAUUCAAAGUUGCUGCUUUAAUUUAUCUCUGGAGCUCAUAUGCCAAUGUCAAUUUUCUCUCUUCAUUAUUUUUGUGCUCACACUACUUAUGCGUUCUCUGAAGUGAUUAGUCUCACCUGACCUUCCUUUGCUGAAGUCAAAAUUGAUUAUUUUUAGGUGAUGAACUUUUAUUUUUCUUUGGGCCACUCAAGUGAGAUGGAUCCAAGCUUAGCAAUUCAAGCUAUUGUCACUUGAAAAAGCACAUGUAGUUGAUGGUGCUGAAAUGUUGAGUAAGAGAGGAGUUCUUGUUUUGCAGAUGGGGAGCAAGAUUGCUGGUGCCCUCGUACAAGUUGAAGGAGGAGAUUGUUGGGCUUGGGUCCAUCCCAUUUGGGUGGCCCAAAGAAAAGCAAAAGCAAAUCACUUAAACUUAAUCAACUUUGACUUGAGGAAAGGAAACACAGUGAGGCUAGUCAAGUUAGAAAUGGUUAAAAAAUUAAUCCAACCAUCAACCAGGCAUGGGGCUGGUCAGCGGAUUAAUUUUUCAACCGAUGGAUCACUGGUUGAAUUUUUGGUUUCCAUAACAUAGUACAACAAUAUAAUUCAGUUAUUAACAUUCAAAUUAUUAAGAUUUUGAAAGAUACAAACCAACUGUUUUGAUAAUUCCAACUUGUAAUAAGUUGCAUGGUCAAAUUUCUAAAUCAAAAUGUACUUGUUCCAAAUGUAAGUUUGUUGUUGUUGUCCUUCUGGUUUUAUAUUGGAUAGCUAGAAGCUGUAGAAUAGCAGAAGUAUGUUUGUGAACUAUAAGAAAUCAAUUGAAAAGUUUGAAAUAAAGAGCAAAAAGAUGGAAAGUGAUAUGAUUCUCUACUGAAUGAUAAAAGUUUGGCUUAAAGAAGUCAUUUUGGGAUGUUUGCUCAAACCAGCUGAGUUCCCAGUCUCCCAAUUUACCAGUAGGUUUCACUGGGUCCAAAUGGCUGCUGUCCUUAUGUGGUUGGUCUAGUCUGCCAUCCCAGUCCCAUGGUUGGGUCACUGAGUUGACCAAUUCAAUCGUCUGGUCGGGUUGGGUUUAAUAACUUUGCUUGAGAGAAUGCAAUAGGGAAGAAAGAAGAACAAAGAGAGACACAGUUGAUAUUGGGACAAAGAGGUAAAGGUAAAGAAAGUAUAAGCUGUAAUUUUGAAGUCGUGGAAUGGUGAAGUAAGUCCGAUUGUGACUACAUUUUAGCCAUGCAAUUUUAUCCCCAACUCUACAAUGUUUUGAUUAUAAUUUCAUAUUCCUCUUGUUUAGUAAGAUCCUUCUCGAGUCACUUCCUUUGAAAUUGUAACUUUUGGUUAGGAAAUUGCAUUAGAUACACUUUACAGUUAAUGUUGUGAUCAUAUACGUGUUCUUGCAGACACCUUCGCAUACCAAUUGUUUUUGCAGUGGAGAUUCUUUAGCAGAUUAGGUCCCACGGUUUUUUUUUUUCCAAUUUGGGUUUGCCACAGUUACAAGUGAUGCUGUCCUGUGCUUGUUUGUUUUUUCUACUUUAAUGCUGUUGUUGAUGUCAUUGUUUAGUUAAUUUGAUUCAACCCAUCCCAUGUCAUUGUUUAUAUUGGGUUGUGGUUUAUGUUGAUAUUUGCCUGCCUGCACCUCUACCCCUUUCUCAAUCUUUUUCCUGCAAAGAUAUUUUCGAAGGGGAUUCUUUGAGCAAUUUCUUUAUCAUUCCAUGAUCAAAUGCCCCUCUACAAGCCUGAGGAAAGUGCUAUUGGGGGUUUUAAGAGGAAUGCGUGUUGGACGCCUAUAUCAGGGAGGCAGAAAAGAUAGUUAUCUUCUUUGUUUAAUUGUCAAAACGGAUGUACUGUCAGAAGGGAAGUAUAUUUUUCUCCUAAACAAUGACAUUGAUGAUUUCAUUUUCCACUUGGUAUGUUGUGGAAGUUGCGGUCACUGAAUAUCUUUUGUGCAUGGGUAUGGUUCUCAAGCUACGGUCUCUUGCUUUCGGAAUCAAUUUCAUGGUCUAUCAUUCUCAUCGUAUAAUUACCCUCUGCGUUUCCAAUGACCUUUAAGUUAUCAUCUUGCAGCUCAUUCUGAUACGACUGUUGCAAGGAUGCUUGUCGGGAACAAAUGUGAUUUGGGGAAUAUAAGGGAUGUGAGCGUGGAGGAAGGCAAGAGUCUUGCAGAAUCAGAAGGAUUGUUCUUCAUGGAGACAUCUGCAUUAGAUUCAACAAACGUUAUAACAGCUUUUGAGAUGGUUAUUCGAGAGAUCUACAACAACGUUAGCAGGAAGGUACUGAACUCUGAUUCUUACAAAGCGGAAUUAUCUGUCAAUCGGAUUAGCCUUGUCAACGAUGGGAGUGACGGUACAAAGCAGACACAAGGCUUAUAUUCUUGUUGCUCCAGAUGAUUGAAAUUAAGAUGUGUAAAAUGGUUUCUAUUUAUUUACCUUAAACGGUCUGUUCAUUUCCCUAUUUUUUCAUUUAUUGGCGGAUAUUAUAUUUAUCAAGGGGUUGCUGUUCCUUUUUUUUUUUUUUUUCUUGGAUACCAUAAGGACAAUGGGUAAUUAGUGAAAGGUCAAAUUUAAAUUUUCUUUGUACCAGUACUUAUUUUAUGAGAGUGUUUAUUUUCUGUUAUAUUUGUUCUGUUGUGCUCAAUCCUUAGCAUUGUUCUCAGGGCUAAAAGCUAAAAGCAGCUUUCCCAACAGUCUUCUUUUAGAGAACAUUUCUUUGAUCACUCAGACAUGCUUUGAUCAUUGCCUUUCUAUACUUUUUCUACCCUUCUUUUUGGACACUUAUUAUUUAAAUGAAGCAACUUCCUUCUUAGACCACUAGUCAGUAUAAGUUCUUUGAAAAGGUCAUCUCAGAAGUUCUCAAGAAAUUGAAGAUUUGACUACAUUAGAAGGAUUGCAAUAACCAAAUUUUUUGAAAAGGUAAGCAAUUGUUCAAGUUUUUUGUAUUCCUCAGGAAAAUCCAAUUUUAGUUGCAUUAGAAAUUGUGCAAUAAACGAAUUUAUUGGAUAUGUUCUGUUUCUGGCUAGCUUAAAACCUAUUAGGUAUACAGGAAAAAAGGCCUGUUAGAGUUUAAUCUUAAGUCUGGAAUAUGAAGAAAGGAAAAGAACUCGGAGGGUACAUCACUUGAAGAUUGGAGUCAUUAAUUGGCUGAAGAAACAGGCGUUGCUGGUCAGAAACGUCAUCUAGAAGGGGAAGAAGACUUUGGGAGUCUUGGUAGAAGUCUUUGCUGAUUGAGUGAUCAGUUGCCUUUUCUUUAGUCUUUCCCCAACUAACACCAUAAUUUAAUUCUUGAGAAAACCCCAUUUCCUAAAGUCUACCAAAAAUCUUCAAUCUUUACUGUCCAAUAAUAGUACUAUUCGAGACUUUUUCUAUUUCUGCUUAAUUUCCUUGUCAUUCCAGCUUCACAGAUUCGAAACAAAAAAAUUCCAAGAAGAAUUCCACUGAAUCUCAGCGUCAUUCCUCUUGAUUCUUUGUUUAUAUUUGGAGUACCUGGAACCCUCUUAAGCUACAUCAAACCCCAUUGAUCUGCCUUCCUGAAAACAAUUCCCCAAAGGGCAUAAAUUUUUCAACAGUCAGCCAUGCCUUCAAACAUCCAAAUACCAUCAACCAAAGCAAUCAUCUCUGCUGCAGCCUCUGUAACUGCCACAGCCAUGCUUAUUAGGUCCUUCGCCAAUGAUAUCAUCCCCCAGGAGUUCAGACACUUCUUCUUCACCAAGGUUCACCAGCUUUUCACAGCAUUCUCCAAUGAAGUCAUCUUAGCCAUCGAUGAAUACGAUGGCCUCGGCCAAAAUCUACUCUUCAAGGCUGCAGAAGUUUACUUGGGAUCCAUUCUAAGUCCGUCCACCAAAAGGCUUCGAGCCACGUUGCCUCAAAAAGAAAAGAAAAUCAACGUUUACAUGGAAAGCAAUGAAGAACUCACCCAACAAUUUAACGGCAUCCAGCUAAAAUGGAGGAUGGUUUGUAAGCAGAUUCAACCGAGAUACGUUACGAUGCCUGGUGACUACAAUUCGACAAUGAUAUCUGAACACCGGUAUUAUGAAUUAAUCUUUCACAAGAAGCAUAAGGAAAUGGUUAUUGGUGAGUACUUGCCUUAUGUUUUGGAAAGAUCCAAGGCUGUUGAAGUUGAAAAGAAGACACUGAAAUUGUUUAUGUUGGGAAAUGAUCGGAUGAUGGGACAUAGGGGUAAUCCGUGGCAAUCAGUUAAUCUUGAUCAUCCAGCCACAUUUGACACGUUGGCGAUGGAUACAGAUGAUAAAAAGACGGUUAUCAAUGAUCUUGAGAACUUUGUCCAAAGGAAAGAGCUUUAUAGGAAAGUUGGGAAGGCAUGGAAAAGAGGGUAUUUGCUGUUUGGGCCACCAGGAACAGGGAAAUCAAGUUUGAUUGCAGCCAUUGCCAAUUAUUUAAAAUUUGAUAUCUAUGACUUGGAGCUCACUGAUAUCAGGACCAACUCUGAUCUGAGAAGGUAUCUGAUUUCAACAGCUAAUCAGUCGAUACUCGUCGUGGAGGACAUUGAUUGCUCGAUUGAGCUCACGAACAACCGGCCAAAAGCAUCGAGGGCACCUGUGCACCCUCACCAAUAUGGUCAAGAAAACAGGGUAAGUUUCCAACGUGAUUUGUGCUGCUUUGGAGUAACAUAGCAUUAAAUCUUGCAGUGUGCUUUAUUACGAGGGUAUACAUAUUGUUUCAGUUUUGCCCAUUGCAUGACUCUCUCCUUUGCGUGAGCUGAAAUUGCUUGAUGAACUCUUGACACAUAGACAAACUAGAGUGCUUUGGCAAAUACCAUAUACCAGAAGACUAUCAAGCAUAUAUGUUAUCAUACAAGUUGGCAGAAAGUGAUAAUCACGGUUUAAGGCGAUUAAAUUGAAUGUCUAAACAAGUUCCAUCUACAACGGUAUGUCUUAGACUCCUAGCCAGGUACCCAAAUGCCAGUUGCCAUUUCUCGUUAGUGAAGUACCAAGGGCUGGAGAUUCACAGAAUUCCUUGUCAGUCUCUUGGGGUCUGACUUAGAUACUUGCAUAUAUUUAUUACUUUUUUUUUUCAGCGACGAUAUAAUUUGUAUUGAUGGGCAAAAGAUGUACACUUAUAUGAGCAAAGGCUCAAGUGAUGCUAUACAAAGUGCAAAGUACACUGAGGAUUAAUCCAUUCCUCAUCUUGAAAGAUGCCUAAAGCAUAAUCAUUAAUCAAUUUACAUCUAUGAUCUAUAAUCCUAUCCAAACAAAAGGAGCAUUUCUGGAAUAAGGACCUCAGAUUGUUGAUAUCAUCGAUUAAUGUUGCCAUUCUGAUGUCCCUGGUUUUCCUUGAUGUUAUCUCCUUCAGCACUUGGAUGAUGGGGAUACGUACUUUAAUUUCCUGCCACUGCUGUUUUUUGGCCUUGAUGAUGGCCAGCUUAACAGCUUUAGCAGUAACCUGUAGUUGACUUCCUGAUCUUCUGUCAUUAAGUGCCCAAGCUAUUACCACCUGUUUAUUGCUGUUAGUUGCAAUGAUCCCCAUCCCAACUCUGCUUGAAUCUUUCUGCACUUGAGUUGUUACUCGGAUUUGAAUAUCUGCACUCCCCUCUUCUACUGCUACUGGCUCUUCCCUGGCUCCACUGAUAUCAGCAGAGCUCAUUCUCUCAUUCUUUCUUCUGACUGUUACCUGCUCCUGCCAUUCCUGUUGUGCCUUUUGAACAGCUUUCAUUGGAUGUCUUUGUUUGGCAUUAAAAUUCCAAUCAUUUCUAUUUUUCCAGAUUUGCCAGAGUAUAUUGGCUGUCAACUCUAUAUGGGCCAUGCAAUUUAUCCUGCUUGUUGCUCCCAUAACAGCAUUCCACCAAGCUAAAAAGUUCCCUGUAUGCUCUACUACUCCAUCCCAUUGUAUUGGUGACAUUUUCCAUACCUCUUGAGCUUUUCUGCAAUGGAAUCAAUAGAUUCCUCUUGCUCUCCUCAUCCUUUACAGAUUGGAUCACCAGUCUGAGUUCUUCAAUGUAUUAGUCCAUUGACUGGUAAUGCUCCAUUGAUACACCUCCAAAUAAAGUGUUUUAGCUUGCACUUGAUGUCCGGUUUCCACAGUACCUUCCAGCUUUUCCUGCCAGAUUUAGCUGAGCUGGUUUCUCCCUCAGCUCCUCUUCUCUCCUCUUGAUCAGUUAACCCUUUUCACAGUUCCUUGUAGCCUGAUUUGACAGUGUAGGUUCCAUUUUCACUAUGAAUCGAGUAAUUGCAGUCAUCUCUCCCUGAGAUGCACAUAUUUAUUACAGCCAUGGAGAAAUUAGAUUGUCAGCACUAAUUAAAAUCUUUUCUAACUCACCAUCUUUCCAGGUUACCUUGUCUGGAUUGCUGAACUUCAUUGAUGGACUAUGGUCGAGCUGUGGGGAUGAGCGCAUCAUAGUGUUUACAACUAAUCAUAAAGAUAAGCUAGAUCCAGCAUUAUUGCGCCCUGGUCGUAUGGAUGUGCACAUUUACAUGCCGUAUUGCACCCCGUGCGGUUUCAAAUUGCUUGCUUCCAAUUACCUUGGAAUCACAGAUCAUCCACUCUUCUUGGUUGUUGAGCAGCUGAUGAAAGUUACAAAGGUGACUCCUGCAGAGGUAGGGGAGCAGUUAUUGAAGAAUGGUGAGCCUGAAACUGCACUAGAAGGCCUGAUUGAGUUCCUUGAGGAAAAAAAGAAAAAUGUCGAAUUUGAAAAUCAUAAAAGUAAUCAACAAGCACCCGAAGCUGCAGUUCCCCUUGAGCUUGAGGAAGAAGGCGGAAAUGAGGGAGAGACAAACGUAAUCAGCCUUGAAGCAAUCAAAGACCUGGUAAAGAUGAAUAAAGUGUCUCCUGAUGAAGUUCAAGUGAUCAAGAAGGAUGAGGCUGAUAUUAUUUUGAGAGGCCUGACUCAAUUGCUUCUGGAGAGAAAGGAGACUCAAGUACUGAAAAUAGACUCAGGAUCUUCUGCUGAGAAACUCUCCCUGACCUGAAUUUGAAGGGAAAGGUGGGCAUAAAUGCGGGAGCACCUGAUUAGAGGAGGAUAACAAAAUUCGCAGAUCAUGUCCCCUGGUGCGAAACCAAGCUCAUCGUGUCUCCUGGUGCUAAACUACCUUUGUUUGGAUUGCAGUUUUCUAAGAAAAUAUUUUCACGUUUUUCGCGGACACAUUUUUGAUUACUUUUUUGAUACAUACAUCAAAUUGCUAUAAUAUAUUUUUCAAGAAAAAACUCCAAAAAAAAAUAGAAAUCCGAACAUAACUAUU
rnacentral:lncRNA from 1 species